rnacentral:lncRNA from 1 species
AGGAGAUUUUCGCCAUUGCUAAGCUUGCUAAGAGAUGCCUAAAGUUGAAUGGGAAAAAAAGGCCAACCAUGAAACAAGUUGAUAUAGACCUCCAACAACUGGGCAGAUUUCAGGGGUUGUCUUUGCAGAAGACAUGGAUUCAAGAACCUUCCUUGCAGCAGCAAACAUGCGAGGACUACUGCACGGUAAGUGAAACAUCCCAUUCCUACACAUUUGGUCCAGUUACAGAAGAAAUAGUUCAUGACGAUGAGGACUUGCUUUCCUAAGGAAUACAGUAUGGUAGCUUGAAGUUUCGGUUAAAUAACGGGAUGUUUAUUUAUGCUAUUGACUUCUGGAAUAAUGAUGUAAUGAAUGACUCCGAACCUUGUUUUACUUUGUUUAAUUUGUUUCAAGUAUGGUAUACAUAUUAUUAGGGUCCAACCGGGGUUGAGGCUGGCUGACAGUCAAUCAAGGUCAACCUCUAUAUGCACAUGAAGUUCAUUUGCCAAAGCCAACAAUUCAAUCUAAGCUGCCUAAACUAUUUUCAUCAACCGCCUAUGACUUAAGAAAUAAUAAACCAAUGCUAACAUUCAUUGAACUAGUAAUGAAUCCAGAACUUGUGCAAUAUCACUCUCGCAAUAUGUAAAUUUAGAACAUUUAUUUCUCAAUUAAUCUAAACAGUGGGAUGGCCUUGACUAAAAUAAAGAUAAAGACCAUUACAUAUGAUUUUAGGACACUUCUAAGUAAUUUAAUUCUAUGUCAACCAUCAUAGUCUCCUGAUACGAAUACCAACCCCACAGGAGAAUAGAUCUCUUUAAGAAUCUAAUUCCCCCAUGUUUCACCUAGUUGCAACUUCUAUAUAAUUAAAGUAACACAGUAAAUAGAAGUCAACUACACUACAUAUAAGUGUAGCCUAAAUAGAAUUUACUUGCAUAGGAUUCCCUCGAAUCUUAAACUCAUAUAAAUUUUAAAACAAUUAUACAAUUAAGACGAGCCUACUACCUAUAAAAUGUCAUAAAUUUCUUUCCUAUCAUACAUAGGAUAUUACGAUUUUAAUAGGCAAUAUUAUUUUAUGAAUGAUCACUUACUUAUCCAUCUUGUUACGUACUCAUUACAAGUACUGUAUUAUGAACCUAUUCCUUUUUCUCCCGCGUAUCAUAUCUCAACGUGUGUUUUGGCUCACUUUUUUUUUUUGUCCUUUUCAAUUUUAAUAGGAAAUCUAUUUGAUGAAUAAAAUAUAAUAUUUCUUAUUAUGUAUUAGUGUAUUUAUAAGAAAUAAAAAAGAUUAUAUAUUUAUUUUAGGUAUAUGAAUUAAGGAAAAGUGUGUUUCUUGCACUCAUAUGAAAAAAAAAACCAUAAAAUAUGAUGAAGUCAAGUUUAUAACAUCCAAACUUCAAACCACCAUCUGAAAAUAAUUAGGAUUUUAUAUUUUUUUUAUCACAAUACUAUAUACUACAUUUUAAUAAUAUAGUAUUAUAUUUUUAUCAUCUCAAGUACUAUCGAAUCUUCGAUAGUGAAUGCAUAAAAUUUAAAUUAUUUAUAGAGAAUUAUAAUUUUGUGAUUAUUUUUAUGAGUGCGUGGAAACUGACUUCUCCUUAUGUAUUACAAGGGUUCGGUUCGUCCAAGUGGCAGAAAGGCCUUCUUUUAACUGAGCAAUGACCUUUCACGUGGCGUGAUAAAAUCUGGAGUUAAAAGGCAUAAGGCGUUAAAAUGCCGAAUCCGAAUGCCAUCCGGAAUUUGUGUUUGGGGUUGGUGGUCGCUUCGGAGGUUGCAAGUUAACGCGCGACUUGGGCUUGGGCUUUCUAUGGCCAUGCAACAUCAAGAAUGGCUUAGGGACUCCACCUAAAUGAAUGGGAGUGAUUAUUUUCACGGGAGUCCAGCUAAAUAAACGGAAGUGCUUAUUUUCAAUAUUUUUCUGAGCUUUAUAUUCUUAUCAAACUUAACAUCAUCUCAUUGGUGGUAAUUAAAUAGGUCUAACAGAGACGACCUUCAAUACGAGAAAAGAAAAAUAAAUAGUAAAUCAACACCUUACUCCUGUAAAGACCAUAAGCAGGGCCCAUGCAAUACUGGUGCAAUUAACUUUUAAACUGUUUCUUAUACUUAAAAUUGAAUCUCAAAAUUGAUACAAUAAUAUCAAUAACAUAGUAUUUCUUAGUUAUAAAACUAAGAUUUUUUUUUUCUUUUUUUCUUUUUUUUUUUAAGACUUUAAAGGCAUUUUAAAGAUGUUUCCCUUUUAUGUCAUCAUUUUUUUUUAAAUCAAUUUUAUCUCAAUUGACAAAGUAAAAGCUUUUUUACUUUGAAUUUAAUUGAAAAAGUAACUUUUUUUAUUUUAUCUUCUUAAUAUUUUAACUUUGUUAUAAUACUCAAAUCCAAUUUCUCAUGUAAAAUGAAAAUAUUUUAAAUUUUUUGGACAAUUCUUGACUUGAAGUUAACUCAAACUAUCCAAAUUUUAUGUUGUUUAAAUGAUAAAUGAAUUUAUCAUAAACUCAUAAAGUUUUGAUCAAGAAAAAAAUUAUAUUUAAUUGAGUAAAGAAAGAAAUUGUUCGAAGGUGAUAUUUCCUUGAUAUACCGAAUAUCAAUGCACCUUGACAUGAUAAACGAUGUAGAUAUAUCCUUAAUAAGAUAUUACAUUAUAGAAAAAUGUGUAUAGUUUCAUAGAUGACCCACUUAACUAUAUCAAUUAAUAAUUUCCUAAUAUGCAACUACAUCCAUAUUGAUUUGUUUAGGAGAUCUUUGUAAAAUAUUUGCUUAGUGUUGCUAGUUUUUUUUUGAAAUUGAUGUCAACUUGGAUCUCACCUUUAAUUUUCAUAAUGUGGAAAGAAGUUAUGAUCUCACGUCUUUAUAUUACAAUAAGAAAUUAUUCAAUGUCAUUAUCUUUUUAAGUACUUCUUAGCGUGAGACUGGAUCCAUAGUAGAACUAUCACCUUCAACUUUCUCUUCUCUACCAUUUCCCAUGAUGCUCUCUCAAUAAUCUGCUCAUCACUCACAAUCUUUGAAGUUGUAUCAUUUUCUCUAGGGCAGAUUGAUAAGUACUUGACAUCCAUUCCGUUAAUUAGGGCAAUACAACUCUUUGAUGAUUAUUUCCAAUUCUUGAAUGCCUUCGCCAGUUAAGGAUUUAUCCAAAGUCUCUUAAAAAAUGUUAUAUAUGAACCUAAUUUUACAAUAUCAAACGCAAUUUGCAAUUGUAUUCGCUUGAAUAUAUAUCUAUUAUUCAAGUUGAAAUCACAAGAUUCAUUGCAUCUAAAACAUUUAUCUUUCUAAUUUUUGUUGCCCUACUUGAUAACUCUCUAAAAGAUUAUGAUAAAAUCAAUGGCGAUAAUGCAUCUUGAAAGCUGGUAUGAAUCCCACAUCACAAGGCCAAUUCUUUGAUGUUGAGUUGGAUGGAAAAAAAACAACUCCUUAUUUUUCAAUCCUUCAUUUUUUUUUUAUCAGGACAAUUAUUGACAAGCAAGAGAACUUUUCUACCAUCCAUAUUUUUCUAUCAUAUCAUUAAACAUAUUCUUGAAAUAACGCCUUAAUCAUCCAUGCUGGCUUGUUGGCGUGAUACUCAAUUCAUACUUUGCAAAUUUACAUUUUUGAAACACUAAGGUUUAGCAUACUUCCAAAUAAUCCAUAAAGGAAUUUUCCUAAACCAUCUUCAUUGCAACAAAUAACAAUUGUAUGUCUUUCCUUGUCUUAUUUUUCCUUCCAAAUUGUUUUGUUGUAAGAGAAUGGUAUUGUUGUAGCCUAUAAAACAAUCAUGUUUCCUCCAUAUUAAAAACAUCUUUCAUUGCAAAUUAAUAUAAUUUCUCCCUUAUGGAUUGCAACUUUGUUUUCAUGUCCUUUGUCCUCCAUAUAAAUAAUCCACUUUUUCCGAAACAAUGAUAUGUUUUGAUACCAUAUCUUGAUUUGAAAAGCUCAAACCAACUUUAAGAAAUUGAAUCGUGAAGUAUCUACAAGAUAUAUUUUCUCAAAAAAUCUUUUGUCUUCUUUAUGAUUAGUUCUCUUGUCGUAUUUACACAUUCUUGGUAUAAAGCAAUCCACUUAUAGAAACUUUUCUCUAAGUCGGGGAAUUUUGCGUCUUUGUGCCAAUUAAUAUUAUUUUCAAGAUCAAUUGAGAGAUAUUCCAAAGACCGCUUGAUCAUAUUUGAUAUUGUCCCUUAACUCACUUGCAAGUUAACCUUUUGUGAAAUCCAUUGUCGCAAUUGUUUAUGAGUGCAAGUUGGAUUUUGUUUUUUGUACUUGCACAAUGUAGCGCACAUUCCAUGAGUCAUUUUUGCUUUCUUUACAGCUUUGAUAUGAGAAGCCAUUUUAGUUAAAUGUUCAUAAAAUAGAAUAAUGUGGUAAAUUGAAUAAUGUAAUACAAUAUUUUUUUUAAAAAUAAAUACUUUUUUGAAAAAAUAAGUAAUUCAUGAAUUUUGCUUGUUUAAAUAAAUACAUGAAGUAGUUAGUUUGUAAAACAAAAUAUUUAAUUCGUUUAAUUACGAUAAAACGAUAUUACAUGUAAUAUUUUAGAAAAAUAAGGAAUAUAUUGAUAAAUUAAUAAUCUAUUAAUUAAUUGAUAAAUAAAAAAUAUUAAUUUGUCAAUUAAUUAAUAUUAACUUAAUUAAUAGAUUUUCCUUGGUCCCAAGGAUAUUAAUUUAUGGAGGUUUAACCUAAUGUAGUAACAAUCAUUUUUACUUAAAUUCUAGAAAAAGGACAAAGAACAAAAAAAAAAGAAAAAAAAAAGGAAAGAAAAUGAUCUACACCUAUCUUGAUUCUAGGCUUUAAGGCAAUGUUUAGUACAUGAGAACAACAAACGAAAAUAAAUAUUUUAAAUACAUCUAGGAAUGUAAUGUUGAAAUAAAUAUUUGUUUCCAUUUCAAUGUUAGGCAAUAAAGGGAAUAUGAAUGGAAAAAGAGAUAAAUUAACAAUAAUAUCGUUACAUAUAGUUUAAAAUAAUUUUUUUUCUUCAUUUAAAAAAAAAAUCUUAUAUUAUACAUAGUUUAAAAUAAUUUUAUAUUUUUAUUUAAAAAAUAUAUUUGAGAUUUUUUUUUCUAAAUAAUAAAAGUCCAUUUAGCCAUAUGAUUUAAAAAUAAUGUUAUGCUUUUAAAAACAAAAAAAUAUUUUUAAAAAUUUGUAGUAUUAUUUGGUUGUUGUUCUCUAAGAAUAAUUUUUAAAAACAAAGAGAAAUAGAGAAUUUUGUUUUUAAUAUACAUACUAGAGAAAUAAAUUUCAAAUCAAACAUAUUGAAUUUCUUAACGAGUUUAAUAAUUUUAAAAAAUAAUUUGAAACUCUCUCUCUCUCUCUCUCUCUCUCUCUCUAUAUAUAUAUAUAUAUAUAUAUAUAUAUAUAUAUAUAUAUAUGUAUGUAUAAUAUGUUUUAAGUCAUAAUUUAUUAGUUCUCCACACAACUAGAUUUUUUUUUAUAAAAAAAGACAUAUCUUUUGGAGUUUUUUUUCCUUUUUCUAAAUAAUAAAAGUUCAUUUGGUGGUGUGAUUUAAAAAAAAAUAAAAAAAUAAAAAUUAUUUUAAAAAAUUAAUAGCAUUGUUUGGUUGUUAUUCUCUAAAAACAAUUUUUAAAAACUAAAUGAAAUAAAAAAUUGUUUUUUCGAUUUUUUGUUUCACUCUAGAAACGAAUUCAAAAUCAAUAGUAUUGAAUUUAUUAAUGAGUUUAAUAAUUUUUAAAAAUAAUUUGAAACUACUAUAUAUAUAUAUAUAAAAUAAUAGACCAAAACUAAUAAGUUAUGAGUCAUGACUAUCCUAUACACACAACUGUAUCUUUUGAAUUUUUUUAUUAGUUAAAUAAACUUUAAAUUAAAUAUAACUGUAGACCCCCGUUUGGGAUUCAUUAUACCUCAUUUUUCCUAUAGCUCAUCUUUGUAGGUGGAAGGCUCUCAAGGUGCCACAUGUUGUCUCCUGAUUGAUUGGUAAGGAAUCACAAUAGUGCUUUUGAAGAAGCAACCGAAAGGCGACAUCUGGCAAGGAAUGUACAGGAGCGUAUUCUUUCUGUUAUGGAGAGGGCCAGUUGCAAGAAGUGGGGGGACCUAUUUUCUUUGAGCUAGCUACAUGAAACACGUGUCGGAGCAGCUGACCGUGGCCAUGGCGUUAGUUGGGAUGGUGACCAGCUGAGUAAGGAAUAGGAGAGCAGUUGGGAAAGAAAAAAGGGGGAAAAGGCAAAGAAAAGGGAAGGAAAAGAGACAGCUAGGGAAGACGAGGGGAGUAAGGGGGAAAGCAUUUUUGUUAGAGAGAUAGGAGAAGGAUCAGUCAGGUUGGAUUAUCUCUUACUUUAUCUUAUCUUAUUUUGAGGGUCACUUUACGUUUCUUGCUGAUAUUCAGAUGAUUGCUUUGAUUACCUAAGGAGGCAAACCUAUUUCUGACUUUUGGUUUUUUUUAUCUUUGUUUUCUCCCGUAUGAGCUGCAUGUUGGAUAUAUUUUGUGUUUGUGUGUUAAGUUCAUUGAGAUCCUCCCACCAGGCUCUUUUGAAAGCUCUUUUAGUCUUCGUGAUGCAAAGUUUGGUUUUAGUGGUAUUAUCUCCCCUUGUACAUUGCUCUGUUCUUUUUUUUUUUUUUGUUCCUUUUCUUUUUCUUCACUUUUCCCCUCUAUUCUUGGCAAUUUCGGGAGAGGAGAUUCGUUAGCUUAAGGGUGAAGCAAAGUAGCAAACUGCCUAGGUAUAUUUUGCAAAGUGAGUAGGGAAAGAGCUUGUUAGUUCGAUCCAGUUUUACUUGUCUAAGCAAAGGCUUUAUGUUCUCAUGAUGAAUAACACGGUUACCACAUGCCUACGCCUUCUUCACUGUUCGUGUCAGCCAUACCCGUUUCCUCACUCAAGCCUGUAGGAAUCAAGCAUCCUCCACCACACCCAUUUUCCUCUCAUUCAUUCUCCAUCCCACUCCCUCACUUACAUGGAGUCUCACGGGUGCAUGCUAUCCUUCACUCCUUCACAUACCCAUUAAAACCACUCACCCAAGCCUCCAUAUCCAUACAACCCAUACCCAUCCUUCAUGCUACUCAUAGCCAUGUUCUACCAUACCCAUGUGUACACCCAUUUAACCAUACCACCAAACCCGUUUCUCUCUCUAAACCUUCUCCGGAUGUCUCACAUCCGGAAUCAUGUUCGGUCGACGUUCCACCUUCUCCGGAUGUCUCACAUUCGGAAUCCAUCAUGUCCGGCCGACAUUCCACCUUCUCCGGAUGUCUCACAUCCGGAAUCCUGUCCGACCGACAUUCCACCUUCUCCGGAUGUCUCACAUUCGAAACCCUGUCCGACCGACAUUCCACCUUCUCCGGAUGUCUCACAUCCGGAACCCUGUCCGACCAACGUUCACCUUCUCUAGAUGUCUCACAUCCGGAAUCCUGUCCGACCGACGUUCCACUUUCUCCAGAUGUCUCACAUCCGGAAUCUUGUCCGGUCGACAGUCCACCUUCUCCGGAUGUCUCACAUCCGGAAUCCUGUUCGGCCGACGUUCCACCUUCUCCGGAUAUUUCACACCCGGCGCCUGACGCUGGAUGGGAAAGGGGGCGAUUCAACUUCCCCCAUCAGACAUGUCCAGAUCCUCUAAUGGCGCUUACCUGGAGAGCGUCCGCAACCGACAAUUCAAAUUCCCCGGACAGCUUGGCUCGUCAGAUACUUGCGAUUCGCCGAAUCCAUUUCCUCCUAGAAUCAAAAAGCAAAUUCCGAUAAUACUGACAACCAAGUCUCCUGAACUAUCACUCUCUCUAUGUUUCAUCUUUAUUUGUUUUUUAUGAAUAAUCUCUCAUACUCCUAUUUCUUACAUCUUUUUCAAAUUCAAGCUUUUAAAUAGUUUUCAAAUCUCUAAACCCUUUCAAUAAUUUUAGUUUUUUUUUUAAAUUCUCAUCCUUAGGGUUUUAGGUCCUAAAAAACCAAUUUUUAAUAAAAAUUGGUUGCCACUUUCUUUCUAGCAAGCCAUUUUCACACCUCCUCUGUUUUAAAAAUGUUUUGAAAUAAGCAAAGAAUCAAAUUUUGUAAUUCUGAAUAAUGGAAUUUACGGAUUUGGUCCAUGCAAAAAUAAUCAGGCUUUGGUGGGGGCCCCACAUACAUGAUCUUAUGAUCGAUUGAUUGAUCUGAUUGAUUGACUUGGUUAUCAUACAUGAUUUAUUUAUCCUGCUCUCUGACAUGCAUGCUAUUAUUCCCUAAUUAUGCACUAACCCUCUCUCUUGAUAGUGCAUGGUGGCUUAUUGCCGAGGUACGUACCCACUUUCCAUCUGAUCAUUGUCUAUGCAUAUUCAAACUCUCAUACGUGCAUGAUCACUUUGGGUAUUCAUUGAUUUACUCAUCAAUUGCCAUGAUUGCUUCACUUUAUUAGUAGAGACCCGACUUUAGGGGCUUAGAGGGGUGCUACGGUUUUUUACCGUACCUUUCCGAUAAGUAACCUGACCCCCGUACCCGAUCCGGUUUUUCACAGACCACCUUUUCCAAAACAAGGAGUUACACUUAGGGUUUUUCUUUCUUAUUUUGUUUACCCUUUAAAAAUAAAAAAAAAAAUAAGUGGCGACUCCAAGUCAAUUUUUCUUAAUCAAUAAAAUCAUUUUUGAAAAUAAAAAUCGAGUUUCGCCAUCGAGUGGGAAAUGCAUGAGCCGAAAUGCAGGGUCCACAAUAACAUAAUUAAUAUUUUAAAUUCUUUGAUGAAUCUUCUCAUUUUUGAGAAUAAUAUGAAAUUAAAAAAAUUGAUUAAUUAAUUAUAGAUUAAAUAAAAAAUUUUAAAAUACUUUGCUCGUAAUUCAAUACUAAAUAUAUGCAUAUAAUGAAAAGCUUGACUUAUUUAUAUCAUAAAAAAUUAAACUUUAUUUGUUUUUAAAUUCAUUUAAAAUAAAAUAGUAUUAAGUAUUAACAAUUAUUAAUUUAGAAUUAUUAUUACUUAUUUUUAACAAAAUAAAUCAAUUAUGGUUAUGAGAAUGUUAAUAUGUCCAUAUUUUUAAAAUAUUUAUAAAAAAUAAAAUUUAUGAUUUAAUUAUAAUACAACUAUUUAUAUUAUAUUAAAAACUAUUUAUUUUUAAUUUAUUUGUAAUUAAAAAAAAUAUUUGCAAUAAGACUUGAAUUAAAUUUAGUUUAUGUUAUAUAAAUUUAAUUUACAAUUUUUGUUUUAAAAAAUCAAAAUAAAAAAUUGUUUUUAAAAACUUAUCUAAACAAGAUGUUGAUUUUUUAUUUUUUGAAAAGUGUUUUAAACAAAUAACUUAUAGAAAGGAAAUCAAAAUACCUCAUAUUAAAGAUGAUUUGAAAUCUCACUUGUAAGUGAUCUUUUUUUAAUUGGAAUAAUUUUUUAUUCCAUUUCCAUCAUCACUUGAGUUAUGCAACCAUGAAAAUAAAUGAGAAAGUAAAUGAGAUAUUCAUUCACUCCUCAUUCCGAUGUACCUAAUAGGUAAUACUGAUUGACCAACUUUCUUGGCUUAAAAAUGUAAUGGGUGGUGAUUUUAUCGUUGCUCUGAGAUUAUUUACUCUUCUAGUCUUCACCUUUGUAGAUUUCAAAUGGCAUUAUUGUAGAUAUAAUCAUGACAUACAAGGGGACAAAGAGAAAAAGAAGAAAGAGAAAAAAAAUAGAAUGAGAUUUUAUGUGCUGGGUGGUGAUUAGAGGAGUUAUAUAUGCUGUGCUUUUCUAUCUUUACCUUUACCUUUAUCGAUUUAAAUGAAAAAAAAAAAGUUGUAGAGAUGAUUAUGGCAUAUAAGGAGAAGCUUUUCCCAUGACGUGAGUAUUUUACAUGAAUUGAGAAAGAAAAGGACCAGGGAGAGAAAAAAAAGGAAGGGGCAUCCCAAUUCUUUUGUGGGUAUAUGCGCAUUAGUAAGUUAGGGAAGAAGAGAUUCGAUUUACGAGAACUUGCUAGCUAGCUCUAUGUAAUAGUAGAGAUUUUUCAUAUUGGAAGUCAUCUACGAGACUAAGGUAGUAUUUAUUUUUUAGUUAAAUAAAAAAAAUUAAAUAUUUUAACUUUUUUAUUCAAUUAAAAAUAAUAUGUUGAUAUUAACCAAUAUGACUAAAGUAAAUUUAUUGUUAAUAUGUUGAAUUUAGUUAUACUAGUUGGUAUCAACAUAUUAUUUUUAAUUGAAUAAAAAAAUCAAAUAUUUUAACUUUUUCUAUUCAAUAAAAAAACAAACAUUAACUAACAAACUGAUUUUCACUUUAUACUGGAUUAACAAUGAAAAGAAAAUCUCUGACAUGGAGAACACUUAUCAUAAUAGUCCUUUUUCACCAUGAUUAACUGGGAAAAGAAUAUCACGUGAUAACGCAUAAAGGAAGAGUAUUUUUAGUUAAAUCCAGAAAACAAAAUAAUAAUAACAAUAAUAAUAAUAAAAGAAAGAAAGAAAGGGGUCCAUCCGUAUGCUUUAUUAUAGAAUACAUAUGGACCCCUGUGCAAAACAUGUAAUGGGUGAUGAUUUCAGGAGUGAUUACGUGCGUUUCUCUCUUUACUUCCAUAGAUUUUGAAUGGAGUAAUGGUAUGAAAUAAUGGAUGAUCAUGACUUAUAAGAGGACACUUGUCUCAUGAUAUGAGUAUUUUUUACACGGAUUGAGAGAAAAAAAAAGGUCAUGACCCCAACCUUAUCUGUUCCCUCGCUUUUUAUUAAAGCCCGGCAGGUUACAAUGUGCCAAAGUAGAUAUCUUUAAAUAAAAUAUUGGAAAGCUCAUUUUGGUGGAGGCUUUAGGAAGUAGAAAAUUAUUUCAAAAGUUAAUUUUAGAAUAUACUAAAUUGCACCUAUCACCAUCACAUAUAUAUUGGGUAUCAAAGUCCGCUUUUGAAUCACGUCGAUCAUCUUAGAGACGCAUGCCUCGCCUACAUAAUCAAAAGAAAAGAGGCCUCUCCCAUGCCUCUUCCAGCUUAAUGAAGAUAAAAGGAUAGAAGAACUUAGGUUUUGUUUGGCUUUUUGUUCUUCAUAACCACAGCUAAAAAUUGUUCUUUUUUCUAUUCUUAAGAAUAAAAAAUAUAGUGUUUUUAAAUAACAUCUUUUAAUUCAUUUAAAUUUUUUCACUCGUUUUUAAAAAAUAAUUAUAAAUAAAACACAAGAUAUAAAAAUUAUUUUUAAAAAUAUUAAAAACAAGUUAAGAAUAUUUCAGAUUUUCAAUCAGGCUUUUAUUUUAUAAAACAUUAUAAAAUUGUUUUUUAGAAUUAUUUUUUAAAACAGUUACCAAACAUACACUUUCAUGAAUUUAAUUAAAUAUAGAAUACAGCAUACUUUAAAAAUCCUUUGUUGUCACAAUUUUCCCAAUUAUAUUGUUAUACUUUGACCUCUAGGCCCGAGUCUUUAAUUGGCAAAAUAUAAUGAAGAGUUACAUGAGGAUUAAUGUAAAAAAGAACCAAAAAUAUUUCUGUUAGGAUGUGUUUGGUUUUGGAAAUUUUGAGAGAAAAUUUGAGGGAAAGAAAAUAGAAAGGAAAAGUGAAAUGAAAGAUAAAAUAUGGAAAAAUAAAAAAGAAACUCAAAAUCAAUAAAUUAUUUUUAUAUGUUUCUUUAAAAUCAUUUUACUUAAUUUUUUUAUUAUUUAAUUAUUAAAUAAUUUUAAAUUGCAUAAAUUUCUAACUAAUUUUAAUUUUAUUUAUUUAUUUUUUUCUAUUUUUUUAAGAUAAAACCAAACAUAAGAAAAUCAUUUUUCUUAAUUUUUUUUUCUUUCUUUAAUACUUUCCAAAAACCAACUUAAUAUAUACUAAUUAAUUUACUUUUCAAUAUCCUCAAGUAAGCUUUCAACUUCAACUUUUUAAAAUUCGGAAGAACAAGGCAAUCAACACCAACAAGGCUUUCCUUGUGGCAAAGAGAAGUGGAUCCUUAUCAAAUCCACAUUGGACCCCAUUUGAUAUCCACUGAUAAUGUAGCCAAAACUCAACAAUAUAGGAUCCUUAUAGACGUGACCCUAACCAAACCUCACUGACAUUUGAAUAAUAAAGAUAAGACCAGAUAAUCACAAAUCUUGUUACUAGAAAUAUGUAGGGGAGACAAGCACUAGAGAGGGUCUCUACAAUUCAACUAACUUAAGUAAUUAAAUUAAAUUAAAUUUAGUAUUUAAAUCUAAAAUAAUAUCAAACUCUCCACUUAAAACUUUAUAGAUGUUGAAUCUCAUUAAAAUAAAAUUUCUUUUAAAAUAAAAAUAUUUUAUUUUUAGUUAUUUAAUAUAAUAAACUUAAAAUUCCUUAUAAACACUAAUUAAAUAAAAAUAUUAUCUAUGAAUUUUUAAUAUUAUAAAUGAUUUAAAAAGUGUUUUUUAAAAGCGCUUUUGAAAAAAAAAAUAAUAUCAAUGAAAAAGUGUUUUUUUAAAAAAAAUUAAAUAUUAAGAGUGGAUUUGAUAGCGAUUAUAGGAAGUGUUUUUAGUAUUUUAAAAAUACUUGAAUGAUAUAAAAAUUUUAAGUAUUACAAAUGUUAUAAACAAUUCCUAAAAUUACUAACAAACGCAUUUCAAAUACUCAAAAACGUUGUUUAGAAUUAUUGUAAAACAAACUCUUAAUUCAAUUUUCUCAAUUUGGGUGUCGUGUUGUAUGUGUGUGUGUGUUUUUUAAAUAAAUUAUUUUCAAUACAACUUAAAUUUAAAAAAUGUGUUUAUAAGGAUGAUGCUAAUUAUGUAUUUGAAAAAAACAAGAAUCCAACUAUUUGUUUCGAUAUAUUUUCUUAAUAUAUAUAUAUAUAUAUAUAUAUAUAAAAGAGAACUCUUUUGAACUUACAUUAAAAAGAUAAUUUAAAAAAAAAAUUGAACUAUUAAAUUUUUUUACAUCUUUNNNNNNNNNNNNNNNNNNNNNNNNNNNNNNNNNNNNNNNNNNNNNNNNNNNNNNNNNNNNNNNNNNNNNNNNNNNNNNNNNNNNNNNNNNNNNNNNNNNNUUGAACUAUUAAAUUUUUUUACAUCUUUAAAAGAUAUAAAGUAAAUAUAUAUUUUUUUAAAAAAAUCUUUUUUUAUAUAGAAAUUGUUAAUUAUUUUUAUUUUAAAAAUUAAAUAUAAGAAGUGUAACAUAAGAGGGUUUAUACAAGUGUGAUAUAGAGAAUAUGACAUGGACAUCUUGGGAUAGUACAAGAAUUAGAAAGAAAACCCCUCCAAUGCAUUUAAUGCUGUGAUUGGGGUAAGUUCUUGGACAAUGAUAGAACUUAUUUUUAAAAACCAUUUUAAAAUUAAAGAAUAAAAAAAAAACAAUUUUUCGAGUGUUUUAUAAAAAUAAAGGUGUUUGUCAAGUUGUUUUUAAAACUAAAAAACAAAAAACUUGUUUGAAUAAUUUUUUUAAAAAAUAAUUUUUUGGUUUUGUAAAAACAUUCCAAAUUCAAUUUAUAUAAUAUAAAAUUCAAGUCUUAUUAAAGAAAUGAAAAUAGUUUUGUAAUUACAAAUAAAUAGUUUUUAAACAAAUAUGAAUAAUAAUACUGUAAAAAAUGAUAAAUUUAUUUUUUUAUAAAAAAGAAAAACUAUUUUAGUAUAUGUUAGAAACAUAAGAAUAUUAACAUCUUCAUAAUUUUAUUUUAUUUUUGGUUAAAAUGAAUAAUAAUAAUUUUAAAAUUUUUUUAUUUAAAAUAAAUAAUGAAGAAAGUUUAACUUUUCUAACAUGUAAAUGAGUCUAGUUUUUCAUUUUAUAUACACAUUUAGUAUUGAAUUACGAACAAAAUAUUCUAAAAUGUUUUGAUUUAAUUUACAAUUAAAAAUUAUUCUUAAAAAUUAAAAAAAUUUAAAUUAUUAAUCAUGUCUUACUUAAUUUAUAAUUUAUUUAACUAAAUUCAAAAAAUAUAUAUUUUUGUACAUAGGAGAAAUAAUAAACUCAUGACUCAUAAUAUAUCAGUUUUGAUUGUAUUAUUCUUUUAAUGAUUAGAUCCAUUUUUUGAGUUCCAAAUUAUUUUUAAAAAUUAUUAAACUUAUUAAUAAAUUUAAUACAAAGUGUCACUUGAUUUAAAGUUCAUUUUAAUAGUGAGGAAAUUUAUAAAAAUAUAAUUAUAUGUAGAAAAAUAAUAAUAGAGCCAUUAUGAAUCAAUUUUUAUCCAUAAAUUUAUGAUAUUAAUGAGUUUGUUAUCUAUGUUUCAAAUUAUUUUUAAAAAUUGCUAAAAUUAUAAAUGAAUUCAACAUAUUAAAUCUAGUUUAAUUUUAAACUUAUUUGUUUGGUUAAAAAAAAAAAAAAAAAAUAGACCAAUUGUGUCCAUAAAUUUUUGGUAUUGAUUAAUUCAAUAUAGACAUUUAAAUCAAUUAGUUCAUUUAGACCAGUUUGUGGGGGUUUCCCAUGUAAAAAUCAUGUGUCUCAUUGUCUAUAUCUUUUAUAUUUGAUAUUAUAUUUUAAUUGCCUAAAAUAAGUUAAAUUGAUUAUCCCUUUAGUCUUGCAGGGUUUUCCUAAAAGGUUCACAUCUAUUUAUUCCUACCUAUAUUUUAUUUGAUUAGUUUAAUUGAUUUGUUGGAAUUGAUAAGGUUGUUAGGGUGGCUAUCUUUGUGGUUGUAGUGGUUAUUCCUAUAACUAAUUAUUGUUAUUUUUAACAUCUCUCAUAUAUCUUUUGGAUAUUAAUAGUUGAUUUUUUUUUUAUCCCUAAAUAUUUUUUGGACAUCAAUUAACAAUAAAAUUAAAGUUUUUAUUAGUUAAGAUUUAGCGAGAACUCCCUUUUGGAUAUCCUAAAUAUCCCUACAAUAUCUUGGGAUUUGAAAUAUUGGUUAUAAUUUAUAAAUAUUGAUUUAAAUUUUUAUGUCAUCCAUUCACCCCCUCUAGGCCCGAGUCUUUAAUUGGCAAAAUAUAAUGAAGAGUUACAUGAGGAUUAAUGUAAAAAAGAACCAAAAAUAUUUCUGUUAGGAUGUGUUUGGUUUUGGAAAAUUUGAGAGAAAAUUUGAGGGAAUGAAAAUAGAGAGAAAAAGUGUAAUGAAAGAUAAAAUAAGAAAAAAUAGAAAAUAAACUCAAAAUCAAUAAAUUAUUUUUAUAUGUUUCUUUAAAAUCAUUUUAUUUAAUUUUUUUAUUAUUUAAUUAUUAAAUAAUUUUAAAUUACAUAAAUUUCUAACUAAUUUUAAUUAUAUUUAUUUAUUUUUUUUCUAUUUUUUCAGGUAAAACCAAACAUGAAAAAAUCAUUUUUCUUAAUUUUUUUUUUCUUUAAUACUUUCCGAAAACCAACUUAAUAUAUACUAAUUAAUUUACUUUUCAAUAUCCUAAGCCUUCAACUUCAACUUUUUAAAAUUCCUAAGAACAAGACAAUCAACACCAACAAGGCUUUCCUUGUGGCAAAGAGAAGUGCAUCCUUAUCAAAUCUACAUUGGACCCCAUUUGAUAUCCACUGAUAAUGUCGCCAAACCUCAAUAAUAUAGGAUCCUUAUAGACGUGACCCUAACCAAACCUCACUGACAUUUGAAUAAUAAAGAUAAAACCAGAUAAUCACGAAUCUUGUUACUAGAAAUAUGUAGGGGAGACAAGCACUAGAGAGGGUCUCUACAAUUCAACUAACUCAAGUAAUUAAAUUAAAUUAAAUUAAAUUCAGUAUUUAAAUCUAAAAUAAUAUCAAACUCUUCACUUAAAACUAUGUAGAUGUUGAAUCUCAUUAAAAUAGAAUUUCUUAUAAAAUAAAAAUAUUUUAUUUUUAGUUAUUUAAUAUAAUAAACUUAAAAUUCCAAAUAAACUCUACUUAAAUAAAAAUAUUAUCUAUGAAUUUUUAAUAUUAUAAAUGAUUUUAAAAGUGUUUUUUAAAAGUGCGUUUGAAAAAAAAAUACUAUAAAUGAAAAAGUGUUUUUUUUUAAAAAAAAAUUAAAUAUUAAGAGUAGAUUUGACAAUAAUUAUAGGAAGUGUUUUUAGUAUUUUUAAAAUACUUGAAUGAUAAAAAAAAAUAAUUUAAGUAUUACAAAUGUUAUAAACAAUUCCUAAAAUUAUUAACAAACGCAUUUCAAAUACUCAGAAUUAUUGUAAAACAAACUCUUAAUUCAAUUUUCUCAAUUUGGGUGUUGUGUUGUAUGUGUGUGUGUUUUUUUCUUAAAAUAAAUUAUUUUCAAUACAACUUAAAUUUAAAAAAUGUGUUUAUAAGGAUGAUGCUAAUUAUGUAUUUGAAAAAAACAAGAAUCCAACUAUUUGUUUCGAUAUUUUUUCUUAAUAUAUAUAUAUAUAAAAGAACUCUUUUGAACUUACAUUAAAAAGAUAAUUUUUAAAAAUUAUUUAAAAAAUUUUGAACUAUUAAAAAAUUUUACAUCUUCAAAAGAUCUAAAGUAAAUAUAUAUAUAUAUAUUUAAAAAAAUUUAUAUAGAAAUUGUUAAUUAUUUUUAUUUUAAAAACUAAAAAUAAGAAGUGUAACAUAAGCGGGUCUAUACAAGUGUGAUAUAGAGAAUAUGACAUGGACAUCUUGGGAUAGUACAAGAAUUAGAAAGAAAUCCCCUCCAAUGCAUUUAAUGCUGUGAUUCGGGUAAGUUCUUGGACAAUGAUAGAACUUAUUUUUAAAAACCGUUUUCAAAUUAAAGAAUAAAUAAAUAAAAAAACAAUUAUUUCCGAGUGUUUGUCAAGUUGUUUUUAAAACUAAAAAACAAAAAACUUGUUGGAAUAAUUUUUUGAUUUUGUAAAAACAUUGCAAAUUCAAUUUAUAUAAUAUAAAAUUCAAGUCUUAUUAAAGAAAUGAAAAUAGUUUUGUAAUUACAAAUAAAUUAAAAAAAAAUAGUUUUUAAACAAAUAUGAAUAAUAAUACUGUAAAAAAAUGAUAAAUUUUUUUUUUAUUAAAAAAAUAUUUUAGUAUAUGUUAGAAACAUAAGAAUAUUAACACUUCAUAAUUUUAUUUUAUUUUUUGGUUAAAAUGAAUAAUAAUAAUUUUUAAAAAAUUUAUUUAAAAUAAAUAAUGAAGAAAGUUUAAAUCUUUUAACAUGUAAAUGAGUCUAGUUUUUCAUUUUAUAUAUACAUUUAGUAUUGAAUUACGAACAUAAUAUUCUAACAUGUUUUGAUUUAAUUUAUAAUUAAAAAUUAUUCUUAAAAAUUAAAAAAAUUAAAAUUAUUAAUCAUGUCUUACUUAAUUUAUAAUUUAUUUAACUAAAUUAAAAAUAUAUAUAUUUUUGUACAUAGGAGAAAUAAUAAACUCAUGACUCAUAAUAUAUCAGUUUUGAUUUAUUAUUCUUUUAAUGAUUAGAUCCAUUUUUUGAGUUCCAAAUUAUUUAAAAAAAUGAUUAAACUUAUUAAUAAAUUUAAUACAAAGUGUCACUUGAUUUGAAAUUCAUUUUUAUAGUGAGGAAAUUUAUAAAAAUAUAAUUAUGUGUAGAAAAAUAAUAAUAGAACCAUUAUGAAUCAAUUUUUAUCCAUAAAUUUAUGGUAUUAAUGAGUUUGUUAUUUAUGUUUCAAAUUAUUUUUAAAAAUUGCUAAAAUUAUAAAUGAAUUCAAAAUAUUAAGUCUAGUUUAAUUUUAAACUUAUUUGUUUGGUUAAAAAAAAAAAAAAUAGACCAAUUGUGUCCAUAAAUUUUUGGUAUUGAUUAAUUCAAUAGAGACAUUUAAAUCAAUUAGUUCAUUUAGACCAAUUUGUGGGGGUUUCCCAUGUAAAAAUCAUGUGUCUCAUUGUCUAUAUCUUUUAUAUUUGAUAUUAUAUUUUAAUUGCCUAAAAUAAGUUAAAUUGAUUAUCCCUAUAGUCUUGCAAGGUUUUCCUAAAAGGUUCACAUCUAUUUAUUCCUACCUAUAUUUUAUUUGAUUAGUUCAAUUGAUUUGUGAAUUGAUAUUGAGGUUGUUAGGGUGGCUAUCUUUGUGGUUGUAGUGGUUAUUUCUAUAACUAAUUAUUGUUAUUUUUAACAUCUCUCAUAUAUCUUUUGGAUAUUAAUAGUUGAUUUUUUUUAUCCCUAAAUAUUCUUUGGACAUCAAUUAACCAUAAAAUUAAAGUUUUUAUUUGUUAAGAUUUGGGAAGAACUCCCUUUUGGAUAUCCUAAAUAUCCCUACAAUAUCUUGGGAUUUGAAAUAUUGGUUAUAAUUUAUAAAUAUUGAUUUAAAUUUUUAUAUCAUCCAUUCACCCCCUCUAGGUGUUCCUUAUUGGACUUUCAAUAGCUAUAUUAAUGGUGUUCAAAGCAAUACCCAUUUUUCAAUUGGUAUCAGAGCAGGAUAAAAAAUCGAUUCUUUGUCAUAUUGAUUAAAAAUCAAAUUUUUAUUGCUUACAUUGUUUAAAAAUCAAAUUUUUAUUGCUUACAUUGUUUAAAAAUCAAAUUUAUUAAUCAUAUAGAAUAAAAAUCAAAUUUUUAUUGAUCAUAUAAGUCUGAUAAGGAACAAUCUAAAAGUGGUGCUCCUUUGAACAAUCCACCCUAUUUCAAUGGGAAUAAUUACUCUCAUUGGAAAGCACGUAUGAUGUUUUUCCUUAAAAUGCAAGGCAAAAGGGUAUGAAAUUCGGUUGAAUAUGAAAGGGUGUGUUUUUCCUUAAUGCUCAAGGAAGAUCAACAAGAGAACUUAAACCUAAACAUAAAUGGGACAAAGCUGUUAAUCAAGGUAUGAAGCAAAAUGUUGAGCUGUAUUUAGUAUUUUUAAUAGAGUUUGUCUAGAUUUCUAAAUUACAAAUGCUUGCUACUAGGUUUGAGAAUAUUAAGAUGCAUGAAAAUCAAACUUUUUCUUCCUUUUAUUAUGAAUUGAGUGAUAUUAUAAAUUCUUCAUUUAACCUUGGAAAACCUAGUCUAGAUUCUAAGGUAGUUAGGGAAAUAUUGAGAUAUCUUCAAGAGAGAUUUAGACCUAAAGUAAUUGCCAUAGAGGAGAGCAAGGACAUCAAUUUCAUGAGAGUUGAUGAACUUAUAGGCUCUAUUCAAACAUAAGAGAUAGCCCUAUGUAGUUCCCAAAAUCUUAAAGACUUUGCCGUUAAGGCAUAUGAGGAUAAAGAAAAAGAUAUUGAAAUACCAUACAAUAUAACUAGUGAUGAAUUGGCCCACAUGGCCAAAAGCAUUUGGUCAUGAAAUUCAAUAAAAGGUUCUACAAGAACUAAGAAUCUAGAAAAGGAAAAAGACCCAAUGAACAAUCAUCCAAUGAGAAAGGAAAAGGUUCCUCCAAAGGUAAGAAGUUUAAUGCUUUAACUAUGGAGGUCUAGGACACCAUGCUCAAGUUUGUAUUAGUCCCAAAAAUAUCAAAAAGUCUAUGCAGGCAACAUGGAGUGAUUCAGACUUUGAAGAAAGGGCUUUUCAUAGCUUCUAAAGAUACAAUGUAUGAUUCUAAUGAUAUGUUAACUUUUGUUGCAUCUAUGGAACUUGUGAAUGAUAUUGAUUAUGAUAGUGAUAGUAAUGAUGAUGAAUUUAUUGAUGAACAAAGGCUUGAAUUUUUUAAUAAUCUUGUUGUUAAGCAUGAAAGAUUAAUUAAGAGCUAUAUGAAAAAUAAUGAUGUUCUUGAAGCUCAUAAAAACAAGAUUGAUAUGCUGAAUGCUGAAAAGAUUAAUUUGCUUGAGAAAUUUCUAAGCAUGAUUCUUUCCUUGAGAAGAAUAAUGCCUUCACUUAAGGGAUCAAGAAUAAUAAGCUUUCUUCAUUUGUGAAUGAAAAUUUUCACCUUGGAACUAAAGUGCUUAAUGAUAUUCUUGACCAAUGCAAAACUCAUGGUGAUAAAAGAGGUUUGGGGUACAUUAACAAAGAUGAGAGUCCCUUUAGUGGAGAAAUUGUGUUUGUCAAAGGUAAGGAUGAUACCCCUAACCAAGUAAAAUCUCCUAAAAAUACAUCACUAUGCACAGACUAUAAGAAAAUAGGAUAUUCUCAAUUUAGAUGCUACACUAGGUUUCUUGAAAGGUUUGAAACUCAAAUGAAAAGACUUAUGAAUGAUUUUAAUUCCCUUAAAAAUAACAUCUUGAAUAAUAGGAAAUGGAAUAAAACCAAUUAGAAACCUAAAAGUCAAGCUAGUUCCUCCAAGUCACUACCUAAGGUUAAACUUAUUUGGUUAAUAAAGGAUAGGUCUAAUUGUCAAGUUGUAUUCAACACUCUAAAAGCUAAAUAUUCUAGUGAGUGGUACCUUGAUAGUGGUUGCUCUAGACACAUGAUAUGAGACAAAUCUUCUUUUACUUCUCUUGAAAACUAUGAUGGUGGGGUUGUUACUUUUGGAGACGGAAGCCUAGCUUGAGUGAAAAGCAAGGGUAGUAUAGUUAUCCCUGGUUGUCCCAAACUAGAUAGAGUUCUAUAUGUUGAAGGACUCAAAACAAACCUCUUAAGCAUUAGUCAAAUGUGUGAUAAAGACCAUAAGGUGAGUUUUCACUAAGACUUAUGCGAAGUAGUCAAUAAAGAGGGAAAGGUAGUCAUCACAGGACAUAGGACUAUGGAUAAUUGUUAGGCUAUAAAUCCUAACUUUAGAACACCUCUUAUGUGUAGUAGGGCAAGCUUGAUUAUACUAAGCUCUAACAUAGAAGGCUAGGUCACAUAAACUAUAUGAACCUUGCACAUUUAGUGAAUAUUGAAAAUUUUAGAGGUAUCUCUAGACUUAGUGAUAAACCUAAACCCAUUUGUCGUGAGUGCAUGAAAGUCAAACAAACUAAGAGUUCACACAAAAAGGUCAAGGAGAUAAGGACCACUAGACCUUUAGACUUUCAUCACAUGGAUUUUAUGGGUCUAAUGCGAACUAAAAGUAGAGGUGGUAAGAGAUAUGUCCUUGUAGUUGUAGUUGAUUAUUCGAGAUUCUCCAUUGUGAGUUUUCUAAGGGAGAAAUCAAAGGUCAUAGAGCAUUUGAAGUCAUUAUUUAAUAGAAUACAAGUGGAAAUUGGUCAUCCAAUUAUAAGGAUUAGGAGUGAUAGAGGGAGAGAGUUCAAUAAUGUGGAUGUUGAUAUUUUUUGUGAGUCUAAUGGAAUUAAAUAUGAGUUUUCAACCCCUAGAACUGCUCAACAAAAUGAAGUGGCUGAAAGAAAGAAUAGAGUGCUACAAGAGAUAGGUAGGGUAAUGAUUGAUAUACAUGAUACCUUUAUGCAAUUUUAGGCAGAAGCUAUGAAUACUACAUACUAUACUGCCAAUAAGAUUUUUCUUAGGCUAGGAACAAAGAAGUCAUCUUAUGAAUUAUGGACUAGGAGAAAACCUAACCUUGAGUAUUUUCGAACUUUUUGUAGUGAAUGCUAUAUACUUAGGGAUGAGAAGAACCUUGGUAAAUUUGAUGCUAAAUCUAAUUUAUGAAUUUUCUUAGGCUAUUCUAGUUCUAGUAAAGCCUAUAAGGUGUACAAUCAAAAUUCACAAGUCCUCCAAAAUGAUCGAGAUAUAAUUGAUAAUCAAAUUUUAACUCAUGAAUCAAAUGGGGAUAACACUAAAGACUUAGAGACUACAAAAGACAACCCUAAUGUUAUCCCUAGAAGAAAAAUUGACCCUAACAAUGAUUAAGUCCUACCUCUAGAUGACACUCUUGAAGAAAUAAGGGAUAAGCAUAGAUCUAGAAUACCUAAGAACCACCCAAUCUAAAGUGUUAUAGGAAAUGUUAAUUAACGAGUGUUUACUAGGAGACAAUCAAGAUUAAAUGAGAUGGGUCUUGUAUGGUUAUACCUCCCAAUUGGAGCCAAAGAAUGUGGAGGAAGUUUAGGAGAUGAACCUUGGACUACCGCACUUCAAGAAGAGUUAGAUCAAUUCACUAGGAAUGAUGUGUGGUAUUUAAUCCCUAGGCCUAAAGAUAAACAUGUCAUAGGUACAAAAUAGAUAUUCAAGAACAAACAAGAUGAAAAUGGGUUCAUUGUGAGAAACAAAGCAAGACUAAUUGCCCGAGGAUACUCACAAAUUGAGGGGAUUGAUUGAAGAGACAUUUGCACCCAUAGCCAGAUUAGAAUCAAUUAGGAUACUUUUGGCAAUAGCAUGCUCCUUGAGGAUAAAGAUUUACCAAAUGGAUGUCAAUAGUGCAUUUCAAAAUGGGGUACUUCUAAGUAAAGAAGUUUAUGUUGAGCAACCUAAGGGAUUUAAGGAUCCGAAAAUUCCCCAAUCAUGUCUAUAGAUGAAAGAAAUCCCUUUAUGGAUUAAAGCAAGCUCCUAAAGCUUGGUAUGAGAGGCUCACAACCUAUCUUUUGGAGAAAAAGUUUGAAAGAGGGAGAGUUGAUAGAACCUUGUUUAUUAAUAAGUCUAAUGAUGAGUUGUUAGUAGCUCAGAUUUAUGUGGAUGAUAUAGAUUUUAGAGCUACCUUUAAUGACCUUGACCUUAGUUUUGCCAACGAAAUGAAGACUAAAUUUGAAAUGAGCAUGGUAGGUGAAUUAACCUUCUUCCUAAGAUUGCAGAUUAGGGAACUAAAAGAUAAAAGUUUUCUUUCUCAAUCCAAGUAUGGUAGGGAAUUAGUUAAGAAAUUCAAUUUAGAAUCCUCUAAACACUCUAGAACACCUAUGAGCACUACCAUUGAGCUUAGCAAGGAGGCAUCUAGAAAGGAUGUUAAGCAAAAGCUUUAUAGAAGUAUGAUAGGUAGCUUACUUUACCUCACUAUGAGUCAUCUUAAUAUAUCUUUUAGUGUUAGGACCUUGUGCUAGGUAUCAAGUAAACCCCAAAAAGUCACACUUAAUGUAUGUUAAAAGAAUUAUUCAUUAUAUAUAUAAAUGGGACUCUUGAUUAUGGUUUGUAGUAUCCCAAUGAUUCUUCUCUUGUGAUUGUUGGAUAUUCUAAUGCUGAUUGGGUCGAAAAUGUUGAGAAUAAAAAAAAAACACAUUUGGUGCUUGCUUUUUUAUAGGUGAUUGUCUUGUGGCUUGGCCUAGUAAGAAACAAAACUUUACAUCUUUAUCUACUACUGAAGCUAAGUAUAUUGCUGCUAAGAGCUAUUUUACACAACUCUUAUGGAUGAAAUAAAUACUUAAAGACUAUGGAAUUGAGCAAGGACCAUGAACAUACACUAUGAAAACUCUAGUGCAAUAAAUAUCUCAAAGAAUCUUGUUAUUUAUUCCAGUACUAAACACAUUGAAAUUUGUUAUCAUUUCAUUAAGGAUCUUGUUGAAGAAUAUGCAAUUGGUAGAUGUUCUUACCAAACUAUUGGAUUCUCUUAGGUUUAAGUGCCUUAGGAAAUCUAUGGGCAUAUGCCUAAUAGAUUGAUCAUCAUUGGUAUAGGCUUCAAAGGUGUUGAGCUUAGUGUUGAUAUCUUGUUGUUUCCUUUAGCCUUAUUCUGCUUUGGGCAUAUGAUUUUUGUUUAAUUAAUUGAUAUAUUAACAUGAUCUAUAAUACCUCGAGUUUGUGAGUUGGAGAAAUAUACUAUAUCUAUAAGACUUGAUGUGAAUGGACUAAUAGAUACUUGUUAAUCACUAUUGAUGUAUUAGAUUCUUGAUAAUUAAAUGUCUUUGUAUGUGAGAAUUUCAAUAUUAGUGGCAUCAUGUACUUGAUCAAAAGGGAGACUUCUUAAGUUGAACUCAUAAAGUAAAUUUUGAUUACUUUGGAAGGAUUUGUUGUUAUGCUCAAAUAUUAUUAUCCACAUACCUUGUUUGACUCUCUUCUAAGUGAUCAAUUUUGAAAUUUUGAACUAGAUAGUAAGUCGUAUUCCUUUAAACAUUAAUGCUUAUGUUUCUAUGUUGACUCUCUUAUACAUUGAUGGUUAUGCAUUAGGUUUUCAAAACUAAGAUUAUGAUUAACUCUAACUUGUGAACUUAAAACCUCAUUCUUGAUGGAUUGAUGUGUACUAUCUGAAAUAACUUACUUAAGUUAUUAUUGAUCAAUCUAAUGUUGAGAGUUUAUAAACUUAAUUAUUUGCUCUUUUUAGUUUAUCGUUAAAUUUUUUGUUUCAAUUGGUGUCUAUUGUUGUCUCUAAAUUAAUUAGUUGAGUUUUCUAUCCCUAUUAGAAUUGAAAUUAGGCUCUGACCACUCAAGAACUACAUCUAACACUCAAGCCUUAUCCAAUGGUUUUAUUGCUCAAACGCUCUAAGUUACAUCCAACGGCACAUCCAUCAAGUGUCUCACUUAAGUGUUAAUCUACAUUCAGUGGUAUGUCUAGGUAUAAAAACCCAUCUAGCACACCUUUUUUGCAUUUCAAACAUUUUUCUAAUCUCUCAAGCAUUAUGAGACUUCAUUUCGUUGACAUUUGAAGCUAGUUUUCUUUGUUUUUCGUGUUUUCAACUUUAUAGUAUUGUUCCACACUUUAUUUAGGACAUUUCUAGCGGUUUAAAUUUUCUUCGUACUUUUCUAUAAUUUUACUAGAUAUGUCUAAAUGUAGGUGUUAGCGAGAGGUGACUCCUCCUGGGUCACCAGAGCCCAUUCAGUGCAUUGCUCUUCAAGGUCCUUUUAUAGUGUUUCUUUUCUCAAGAGUCGCAUGAUCGUUUCUAUGCUUAUUUUUAAAGUUGCCAUAUCGAGGUUGAGCAUUCUAUCAACCUUUGUGCCUUUCAAGAUACUCCUAUUCCUACCAUUCUCAGAGAAAGAGGGUGGGAUCCUUAUUUACUUUGCAAGGUUCAUAUUAUCCUUUUUUAGUUCACAUGUUCUAUGCGAACAUGCAUACUUUUUCUUCUAGUUGCCCCUUUUGGGUAGCCACAUUUGGUUAGUCCUUUCAAAUCACCUCAUUGUCAAUCAGGCGUGUACUUGACAUGCCUAGACUUGAUGUGUCUUUCUUUCUUCUUUCCAAAGGUUCAAUCUUUUACUCCUAGAGAUCUCCUUUUGAUUCCUAUUUAUUUAUAUGGUGCUCCUCGUGAGCUUCCUACAUAUAUUCCUCAAGUUGGUUUCUCUAUGCUAUCUUGGAUUCUUGCUACUUUCCUUACUUAUUCUUUCUACUCUUCUUCUCAUCAUACUGAGAUUCCCCAAUUGACUGCUCGAUUCAUCUACGUCAUCCUUUCAAGCCAACAAUUUGAUAUUGGGCAAGUUAUUAUUGAUAUCAUCAUCCUCUAACAUGAUUUUUCCUUCAUCGCGGUGCACUUCCUUUCCGGCUCCUCAUCUCUAGAUUGUUAGAGUAUGUUGCCUUUGAGAUUGCUACCAAACAAAGGGUCCAAGUUGCUCAUGCCUUAUUAAAUGAGAGUUCUUGGGCCAAGCACUGCAAUUAUGUGUAUGGUCCCAUGGCUCCUCCUAUUCCCAAUGGUCCCAAGAUAUUGCACAACACAACAAGCUACUCAAGAGGUACUUGCAAAAAAAGACAAGAUCUGAGCCAUAGAGUAAGAUGUACUUGUACCAGACAUUGCUCUUAAGACUCACUCUAGUCACGGUCGUGCUCGUACAUCUAAAGAUUCUCAUGGAGUAUCAACUUUCACAAACCCGACUACUUAGGAGAUGGAUCCCAUGACUACAGUGCUUUAGAGCUUGGACUCAUAGGAUAUUCAACUCCAUGAGAUCGAGGGUCAGUUGACCUACAUUAUUUCAAGGAUCCAUGCUCAGAGCAGUUUGAGCUCCUUCAUUCCUCUACCUCCUCCUGAUGCUUAGUUAUUUUGGUAUGUGAGUUUGUUGAUCUGAAUUCCUUGUAUUCAUUGCUUAUCUUAUGUAUCUAGAAUCAAUUUUUGUUACAUAUAUGUGUUGUUCAUUUUUCUUUUUGUCUUUGUGUGCUUUCUCGUGUUUAUAUUUUAAUUACUUUUCCAUUUUUGUGACAAAAAGAGGGAGAAUAUUGAAUAUUUAGCCCACUUAAAAAUAAAAAGUGGGAGAACAUUGAGUAUUUAAUUCAUUUAAAAAAGAGGAGUUAUAAAUAAGGAGGGAUAAGGUGUUCAUAGAAACUCCUAAUUUUAGGGAAGGUAAUAUUUUUGAAUUUUAAAUUCUUUAUUUAAUUCAUUAAUUAAGUAUAUUAAUUAAAAUAUUAGAGGAAACUAAACCUGAGACAUUGGAGUAAACCAUAUGAACCUUAGGAAACAUGAUUAGAUAGUUUAGAGAGAUACCUAACACGAAUGUUUCCUAAAAAAAUAUUAUUGUUUGAAUUGUCUAUCUCUUUAGAACCCCAUGUUUUUCACUGCCUAUUUUCUAAUUGGAGAUAAACCUCUAGGCAUCAUUGUUAAUAUAUUAAGCUUUGCUUUUUUUUACUUUGAUGUUAGAGAGAUACCUAACACGAAUGUUUCCUAAAAAAUAUUAUUGUUUGAAUUGUCUAUCUCUGUCUGUCUCUUUAGAACUAAUCUCAAUCAUAGAAGUUUCUUCCCAUGUUUUUCACUGCCUAUUUUCUAAUUGGAGAUAAACCUCUAGGCAUCAUUGUUAAUAUAUUAAGCUUUGCUUUUUUACUUUGAUGUCACUAAAGAAAUGUGUUCCUUUUUCAUGUUUUCACAAGGCAUCAAGCAAAACCUCCAACUAUCCUAUUUUUCUUUCACGAUAUUAUUUUAUUCCACACACUACUUUACCUUUGAUAUAGUCUUUUGUAUGUGAGCAGGUUAUAGGGUUGAAUGAUAAGUACUACAAAGCAUUGCAAAGUAUUUCCUUAGUUUAAUUUUAAUUAAGCAUUAAUGUGUGUUAUGUAAACUCUUUUAUGAGAGUUCAGGUAGCGAUGUUUUAUCUCAAAAUUCCCAAAUGAAGAGAAUGUUAGGACAUUGAAUCGUGUUUAUGUUGGCAAUUUUUGUUCCAAUUAAUGUUUGGUCAUAGAAGUCUUUUUAGAUAGCAACUUGCUCUUCAUUGAAAAUCAAGGGUCGUUGUUCGUCCAACCAAGAAGUCACAGGUAUGUCUAAAAAGGUUUGACUUGUGGCAUAUAAGGCUUUUUUGAGGUGUAAAAAGUUUCGAUAUCAUUUUUGGACUUAAAAUAUUUUUAAAAUGAUUUUUCAAGAAGCAGAGUCUGCUCAAACGGCUAAUCCCACUCAAGCAAUCAACUUGCUCAAGUGGUAUCGACUAUUCAAGCUGAGUGCUCAAGCAUUCCAAGUCCACACAAGCGGUUAUGGUAGUCUUGUUGAGUUUAGAAAUGUUUUUGAAUGAAUUUCACUCAAACUCUAAUUUGAAAACUUAAGAUACCAAAAUUUUUAUGACUUUUGCCUAUAAAUACCUCUUUUGUAACCCUUUAAGGGUUAGAAAUCUUGAAGUUUCAUUGGAGAUUUUGAAUAUAUAUCAUUGAGACCUCUCAUUCUUUAGAGAUGGACUCCUUGUAAUGAAAACGUUAUUGCCACAUCAUUCCUGAUCUCUCAUUCAAGGAUUUGAAUAUUCGAAUCAUGGGUUGAAGACCUUAAUUCCUUCAAAGUAGCCAAAUGAUCCACUAGGUAGCAACGAGGAGUUACCACGUUGCUGACGUGGACCAAGUUGUAGGUUCUAGACAGUAGGUCUUUAAGGUAAAAUGACUAGGUAAAUCUAUGUAACUUGAUUUUGAAUAGUGGAUUUAGAUUGGUAGGUCUUAGACUUCAUGAUUUUUUUUUAUCUCUAUAGUUUGUGAGGGUUUUCCAUGUAAAAAUUGUAUGUCUCAUUGUUUAUAUUUGUUAUAUUUGAUAUUAUGUUUAAAUUGCCUAGAAUAGGUUAAAAUGAUGAUCCCCAUUAUCUUGCAGAGUUUUCCUAAAAGGUUCAUAUCUAUUUAUUCUUACAUAUAUUUUAUUUGAUUAGUUUAAUUGAUUUGUUGGGGUUGCUAUUGAGGUUGUUAGGGUGGUUAUCUUUAUGGUUGUGGUGGUUAUUCCUAUAACCAAUUAUUGUUAUCCCUAACAUCGCUUGAGAUAUCUUUUGAAUAUUAGUAGUUGAUUUAUUUUAUCCUUGAAUAUUCUUUAAAUGUCAAUUAACCAUCAAAUUGAAGUUUUUAUGAGUUAAGAUUUGGGGAGAACUCCCUUUUGGAUACCUUGAAUAUCCCUACAAUACCUUUGGGAUUAGAAAUAUUGGUAAUAAUUUAUAAAUAUUGAUUUAAAAUUUUAAAUUACCCAUUCAUCCCCCUCUAGGUGUUCCCUAUUGGACUUUCGAUAGUUAUAUUAGUGGUAUUCAAAGCAAUACUCAAUUUUCAAAGGCGUUAAAGACCAACUUCAAUCGAGGUCAAUAGAUGAGGUAAAUCACUCAAAGGAGAUAUUCAAGACUUAUAAAGCAUGAUGAGAGCUUAAACAAAAGCAACUAGAGCAAUACAUAGUAUGAAACAUGAGAAAAGAAGGUAAUGGAGAGAGAGUUAGAGAGCAAGAAAAUAUAAGAAAGGUCAUAAAUCAUACCUCAAUGUUCACAUUAGAAUUAGAACUCAAAUAGUUAGAAGAAAAUUAAGGUUGAUUUUGAGUUGAAUUCUAGCUUAUUUUUCGGGUUUUUUUUAUGAAGUAAGUCAUGCAGGGUUUUGAAGCUUGAUAAGAAGUGCAACAUUUCAAAUGAUAUAUUAAUUAAAGUUGAAACAAGGAAGUUAUGACUAUUUGAAGCAAGGUUACAUAGGAUAAAAAUCCGAUUUGAACUUAUUCAAAGCUAGACAACUCAAAACCAUACUCAAGAUAAAGAUAGGAGUUUUUGGCAGGAGUUGAGUUUGAAAACCAUGGUGAUUUCAAACUCAUUUUGAUCUAGACCUAGAAAAGCAAAAUUUUUAUAGAAGUGGAGUUAAAAAUCCAUCAUAAGUUCAAACUGAAAUACAAUUAAACUCCCAAAAAAUUUGCCUUUUUUAGUUCAAAAAAUUUUGCAUUCCCAUUUUGAAAUCAAACUCUACCGCAACUUCAAUUUGUGCACUUUCAAGCUUUGAAACUUCAAUCUUUGUGCAUCCCAAGAGUCCAACUAAGCCCAGAAAAAGAUUGAAUGGUCCAAGAUUUGGAGAUUUAAUGUUCUUUUUUGGAAUUUCAUGUAAUAUUAGGAACUUUUUGCCAAUAUGGUUAUACCAUAUGACUAGUUUGUUCUCAUUUUGUUUCAUGGUUAAUGCAAAUCUUUAGAAUACUUCUUUUAUAUUUUUGUGAGAAAACAUCAAAGACUUUCAAGGUUUGCUUUGUUUAUGCCAUUUAAUUUUUGGUUUUAAUUUCCUUAAAUUCAAGAAUGAUGUUUUUAACUUUCUCUAUGGUUUGUGUGAGUGACAACACUGCCAUGAGAAGCUAGUGUCAUCUUGUGAUGUGAAGCUUGACAACCUAACAAUUAGAAAUAGAAAGAGGACAAUGGGAAAAUGGAAUUAGUAAUGACAAUAAUGAAGGUUUAAUGUAAAAAUGUUAAAAAUUAUAUACUCUUCAAGUUAGUUUGAACUAGGAGAUGACAUAUUAGAUCACUAUUGGAUGUUAGAGAUUCUUUGCACAGCUUGAUUCCUAGGUAUCAUGAUUAUCUCUUCUAUUAUACCUAACCUAUGAAAAAUCUACACUAAUAAGGUUUGAAAAUUUGAAACCUAAGCCUAAACCUAAAAUUAAUUUCAAUUUAAUUAUCUAAUGGAAAUUAAGUAUAAGGAUUAAUGUUAACUUAUGGUUUGGAUGCAACUUUGAACUAUAAAACAUAGGUCAAUCCCAUUUGACCAUUGAACCUUAAAUCUAAUAUCCUAAUAAAUGAACAAGCCUUCUUUGCCCUAAGGUUUUAUUCCCAAAGUUGGAUUGUAGAACCCCUAAUCUUCAAUUGAUAGGCUACAAACCUUUAAGUAUGUUGCCAAGUUAUUUAGAUUUUUUUAGUAAUUUAAAAUUUGCAAAAAAAAAAAUGCAUACAUAUAUAUAUAUAUAUAUCAUUUUUUAUUUAUAAUAUAGGUAACAAAAAAAAUAAUAAAUCAAUUAAUUUUGACCUAGUUUUGGUAAUUUUUUAAGCCAAUUCUUAAGGAUGAUACUCAGAGUACUGUAAAAGUCUCAUGACUCUAUCCAAUUUUUCUUAACCAAGGUUGCUAUGUGAAAAGACUUAAGUGGUGUUUGUUUUUUUAACUUAAAUCUAAAUAGAACUUUAAUGUUUAAUAGUGUUAAGCAUUAGGUUGUUUGUUUUUGUAAUAUUUUAUUUCUAUUAGGUAUUAAAAAGUAAAGAAAAUCAACAUAUUGUUUUUUCCAUUUAAAAAAAGUUAAAUAUUUUAUUUAUUUUUUAUUUAACAAAAAGUUUAUAAUAAGUCAUAAAAAAGUAGAGAAACAAACAACUUAAAAGUCUUACAGCAAAUUGCUUUCAAUAAAAAAGCUUAAAAAACAAUCUUCCUCUUAAUAUUUUGGAUGAUAGAAAAGAGCAAACACAUACCUGAAAGCAUUUGUUAUUGCAAUUCGCUUAACACUAAAGGCCCUUGAACCCCAAUUUAUAGUUGGCUAAGUUUAACCAUACUAGCUGCUCUUGUUCAAAAUGAAAAACCGAAAAUUGAUCUUAGUCUGAGUCAAGAUCUAUUGACUGAUUUGAUUGAGUUAUUGACAUUCAGUGAUAUAUAUGCUCUCCAACUGUCCCUUUGUGACUGUUCAACUUUUUUCAUAGCUCCACCUUCUUCUUUAAUAAUGAGAUUUCCUUGCUAGUUGGAUCCAACCCCCCUUUUUUGACACAUAUCAGAGACUCCUUAUAAAGACCAGUCUGCAAUUCAGAAGAUUAAUUUACAAAAUAACAGACAUGAGGAUGCUACUGCCAGUUCAUCUCAUCACAAUCAUCAUCUCCUUAGUAUUUAUAGCAUAGGAAGCAGGGGCAUCUCCGACCAAGCUUGGCUGCCCAGAGAAAUGUGGGAAUAUUACCAUUCCAUAUCCGUUUGGGAUGGGGAAAGACUGUUACCUCAAUAGGGAUUUUAAGAUUACAUGCAACUUGUCCUCCAAUCCCCCUCGUCCUCUUCUUCUCCAAGAAGUUCAACUUUUGCAGAUAUCAGAAGACUCUGCGCAUCAACGAUAUUGCUCGCCGUAGUUGUUUUAACAAUCAAUCAGGGGUGACUGAUUCAUUAAAUGUAACAUAUAAACUACCUCAUCAUUUCAGUUACUCCCACACUCGGAAUAAGUUCAUAGCCAUUGGGUGUGACAUAUUUGCUUUUAUCAUGGAGUAUAAUAGUACAACAUAUACAACGGGGUGUUCAUCUCUUUGUCUCAAUGAUAAAAACAUCUCUGGUGGUUUUCCUUCUUCUGCUUGCUCUGGCAUUAGUUGCUGCAGGACUUAUCUCCAAACGGACAUUACAUCGUUUAAUCUGCGGAUUCGCAGCAUCAACAUGAUCACACCAGGCUGGACCUAUGAGCCAUGUAGCCUUGCUUUCAUUGCAGAGAGGAACUUCUCCAUAACGAAAACUUUUAACCUCUAGUAAAUUUGAAAAUAAAUUGUAUUUUGUCCCAGCAGCACUUGACCGGUCAGUUGGGGAAGUCUCUUGCCAUGAAGCUAUCAGAAGAAAAAACUAUGCAUGUGGCCAGAACACUGACUGCAACAACUCCAUCCAGGGCCAGGGGUAUAAUUGUCACUGCUCUAAAGGCUACCAAGGGAACCCCUACCUUGCAAAUGGCUGCCAAGGUACAAUUUCUUCUCCUUUUCAACGUUCUAUAUUUAUUUUUUUGCCACUCCCACGAGGUAAGUUCCUUGGUGCCAUGCUGCAAGCUUUACUGCCACGCCAACUUACUCUUUCUUUUCUUUUCUUCUCAAUCUUUGCUCCUGCAAUAUAUGUCAACUUCACGAAAAUCAAUUGAUAAUUUUUGCUUCAUGAAAAUACUACUAAAUAUCAGCUUGUGUUAUGUGCAAAGAAGGAAUUAUGGAAACCCUGGUUCUUUGAUUAUGAAAAAAGGACUUAUCCUCUUAUUUCUACAUAUCAGACCUCAGAGUCAUAAGGCCAUGGCAACUGUAAUUAUUAUAGAAUGAUAUGUUUCCUAAAGAAUUUAAGGACUAAGCAAGCCUCUCAGCAUAAAUGAUGAGAUAUAAUUUUAGCUUAUGAAUUUAUUACUAAUAUUUUUUUUUUCUUUUGUGCUCUCAAAAGAUAUUAAUGAGUGCAACGACCCAAACAAAAAUUUUUGCCACAAGAUGGCUGUUUGCAGUAACAUCCCUGGCAGUUACUCAUGCACUUGCCCAGCUGGUUACCAUGGAGAUGGCAAGAAAAAUGGAACUGGGUGCAUACGUGGCAAGCAUGGACAUUUGCUACCACUGGUAUUUUCUUUAGGUAUGGAACUUUACCAUUCUCCAACACCUAACACUCCAACCCCCUUCUCUGCACUACUUACUUUUGUGUCCGAUGCAGGUGUGGGGAUUACUGUUGUUCCCUUGAUCCUAAUUGCUACAGGCCUAAGGUUAUACCGAGGACUUGAAAAAAGAGAGAAAAAGAAAAAAAACAGAACUUCUUCAAGAAGAACGGCGGUCUGCUAUUGCAACAGCAAAUUUCUUCAAGCAAAGAAAGUGUAGAAAAAACAAAACUAUAUUCGGUGGAAGAGCUGGAGAAAGCAACAGAUAGUUGCAAUUCAAGUCGAAUCAUUGGUAAGGGAGGCCUCGGCAGAGUGUUCAAAGGGAUGCUAUCAGAUGGAAGCAUUGUACCCAUUAAGAAAUCCAAUACCAUUGAUGAAAAGCAAUUGGCCCAGUUCGUAAAUGAAGUUUUCAUCACAGAUCAACCAUAGGCACAUAGUAAGAUUGUUAGGUUGUUGUCUCGAGACUGAAGUACCUUUGCUGGUUUAUGAAUAUGUCUCCAAUGGCACCCUCUCCCAUCAUCUUCAUGAUGAGGGCCAUGUAUCUACAAUAUCUUGGAAAAACCGGCUGCGAAUUGCGAGUGAAAUUGCUGGAGCCCUUGCUUAUUUGCACUCAUAUGCUUCUAUAGCCAUCUAUCAUAGAGAUAUCAAGUCUAGCAACAUAUUGUUGGAUGAAAACCUCCGGGCAGUAGUUUCUGACUUUGGACUUUCAAGGUCAAUACCCCUUGACAAAACUCACUUAACUGCAAUGGUACAAGGGACAUUUGGUUACUUGGAUCCUGAUUACUUUCAUUCAGGUCAAUUUACAGAAAAAAGUGAUGUAUAUGCCUUUGGCGUGGUUCUUGGUGAACUUCUGACAGGAGAACAAGCCAUUUCCUUAGAUAGAUCUGAACAAGGUCUAGCAAAUUAUUUUCGAACAGCAAUGAAACAAAAUCGUCUGUUUGAAGACAACCAAGUUGUAAAUGAAGGACAGAAGGAGGAGAUUUUUGCUGUUGCUAAGCUUACUAAGAGAUGCCUAAAGUUGAAUGGGAAAAAAAGGCCAUCCAUGAAACAAGUUGAAAUAGUCCUCCAACAAUUGGGCAGAUUUCAGGAGCCGUUUUCUGUUCAGAAGACAAGGAUUCAGGAGCAUUCAUUGCAGCAGCAAACAUGCCAUGACUAUUGCUCGGUAAGCGAAAGAUCCCAUUCCUAUACAUUUGGUCCAGUUACAGAAGAAAUAGUUCAAGAUGAUGAGGUCUUGUUUUCUUAAGGAAUACAGUAUGGCAGCUUAAAGUUUCGGUUGAAUACUAAACGGUUUUUUCAACCCAUAUGUGUCAGGAUGUUGGGAAGUUAGACUCAUUUAGAAAGGUUCAAAUAAUUAGAAUUAAAUUUGGUCCCUAAAAGUCGUGGAGGAUAUUUUAUUUUGAGUGGUUGCUUUAGUUUCUGUUUUUGGGUAAUUAAGUUCUAUAAAGGUUUCUAAAUUUUGUUAUUAGCAGUUUAUAUUUUGCUGAGUGUAAAUAUUUGUAAAUAAGAAAUCAUGUAAUAUUUGAAUAAGAGAGUGGUGGAAGACAUUAAAUUUUAAAUUCUUCUCAAUUUUUAUUUCCAUUUAUGUAAUCGGUUGUGUUUGUCUUUCAACCCUAUUACUUCAACAAGUUGCUAUUAGAGCCAUAUGAAAAAACUGACAAGUAGGAUGCAUUUGUUUCAAGUUCCCCUAGUCAACAAAAACAAUGAUGGUUAUUAGACUAUUAGGAUGAAGGUUUUGCUUGGGUCACAAGAUGCAUAAGAGAUUGCAAAGAAAGGCUAUAAAUUUUUUGAGAGAUAGAGGAAGAAAACUCUAUCCAACAAUGGAUGAAGGUAUUUUUGAGAAGAUUUCUAUUGUAACCACCUUCAAGGAAGCCUAUGAGAUAUUAUGAAGUACAUAUGAAAGAGUUGAUAAGGUAUGAAAAAAUCGUCUUCAAACUCAAAGCGAGAAUUUGAAGGCUUGAAUAUAAAAAAAAUGGAAUCAAUCUUUGAUUAUUUUUAUAGAGUAUUGGUUAUUGUGAUUUUUUUAAAAAUAAACAUUGGAAUUUUAAAUGACUCAUGUGAUUGAUAAAAAAUAUUUUGAUUUUAAAUUUGAAGUUUAAUUACAUUGUUGUAUCUAUUGAAGAAACUAGUGAUUCAAAUUCUAUAACAAUUGAUCAACUUAUGGGAUCAUUAAUUACAAGCCCAUGAGAGAGAUUAAAAAUGUAUAACCAAGAAAAAUUAGAACAAGUUCUUCAAACAAAACACUAACGAGAAUUUGCUCUUUAACCCUAAGGUGAGAAAGAAUAGAAAGAAAUUAUCUUAUUAUAGAGGAAGUUGUAUCUUUGUGUUGCCUAGGAGCAGGUCAAGUCUAUGUGACCAAGGCCAAAAUAAUCGAUCAAGGACAUGGUCAUGGAUGUGGCCAAGGACAAUUUAGGAAGAGACACUUUCAAUUGAUCAAAAAAAUGAAAGAGCAAGCCAAAAUUCAUAUGCCUCAAGAGGACAUGGGAGAUGACACAACUCAAGGAAAAACAAGAAAGGAAGGUAUAUAUGAUAAAUCUCAUAUUCAAAGUUAUAACAGUUGAAUUAUGACCAUUAUGUUUAUAAAUGUAAAAGUGUCACUAACAAUAUCAAAGGACAAGUCAACUAUAUAGAUAUAUAUAUUUUUUAAAGAAAGAUUAAGCAAAACCUACUAUAUUGUUGGCUUUAUAAAGGAAAAAGUGAAGAGAACACAGUGUCGAGACAUGAGAGCAAACAAUCAUAUGUGUACGUUCAAAAAUAUGUUUCUAGAGCUCAAUGAAUUGAAAAGUGGUCAUGUUACUUUUAGAUAUGCAUUCAAAAUUUCAAUAAAAGACAACGAUAAAAUCUUAAUUUGUUUGAAAAUUAAAAAUAAUAUAUUAAAUUUGCAUCAACUCUUAAAAAAUGGCUAUGAUAUUCAUAUGGAAAAAUGAAUGUUUCUAAAUAAAAUAUCAACAUGACAAUUUAACUACUAGUGUACUUAUGACAAAAAAUAUAAUGUUUUUCUUAAACAUUUAAAGAAAGGUCAUGUUACUAUUUUUUUUUUUCCUUUUCAAAUAAGAUUGCUAGGAUCAUGGGUCUUGAAUACCAAUACUAGUAGUGGUUGGAGGUUGAGUUGCUUUUAAUUUCUUUUUAAUUAUAAUAAGGAUUAAAAUAUCAGAAAUUACGAAAACAUUGGAUUUUAUGACAAUAAUGAAAAAAAUAUUAUAAAAAAAUUACAAGAAAUAAUAAAAUGAAUAAUAAUAAACAUAAUAAAGUUUUUCUUAUAAAAAACAAUAUAUAUAGAGCAUAAUUUGUUGAACAAAAUUAGAACUUUACACAAUUAAAAUUACUUUAGUUAUGAAAGUUUUAUUUUAAUAUAUCAUAUUUUGUAUGGAUGUAUUAAAAAGUAAAAAAUAAAUAAAAGUUAAGGGCAUCGUAGCAUAACCAUCGAGGCAAAGUUAGAACCUAAAAAGAUCGAAUGAAUCGAUAUAUAGACAAGUAAAUCCCUUAUGAAUUCUAAGGUACUGCUUUGCCAAGUAGUUGAGAGGGCCUUCUUUUCACCCAGCAUUGACCCUUCACAUGGCGCAAUAAAUAGGGAGAAAUGCAGAAAUGUAGGGAAGAAAUGUGAUAUAAUUGAAAAAUAGGCAUAUCGCGAUAAAAUGCGGAAUUCGAAUAUUAUCCGGAAUUUCGCCAAAAACCAUGUGUUUGGGGUUGGUGGUUGCUCCGGAGGUUGCAAGUUGAAGCCCGACUUGGGCUUGGGCUUUCUAUGGCCAUGCAACAGCAAGAAUGGCCAAGGGACUCCAGCUAAACGAAUAGGAGUGAUUAUUUUCAUGGGAGUCCAGCUAAAUAACUAGAAGUUCUUAGUUUCAUUUUCCUUUACUUUGUUAUCAAACUUAAAUAAAUAGUAAAAAGGUAUAUAUUAAAAAUAGGAAAAUAAAAAUUAAAUUAAAUUAAUUUCAUAUAUAAUUGGGGUGAGACGUAUAAGAUAAGAUAAUACCCGAACCUGUCCUAAACCCGUCCCAUGUUUAAAAAAAAAUCCCAAACCUACACCCUAAUUGGUUUACUUAAAUUUCAAACUCUUCCCAUUAUGAGAGAGAUGGGUCGGGUACCCGAAAUAACAAGUCUCACUGCCAUCCCUAUACUUGAUAAAGUCAUUUUUCUUGUUUUAUAUUUUCAACAUUUUAAUUUUAUUGCUAUAUUCAAAUCCAAUUUCUCAUAUAAAAUAAAAGUAUUUUAAUUUUUUUUUUUUGAUAACUCCUAACUUAAAAAUAAAAUAAGCAAUCUAAUUUUUUUUUUGUGGUUUAAACGAGAAAUGAAUUUACCAUAGACUAAUAAAGUUCUCACAAAAAAUAAUAAUAAUAAUAAUAUGAUUGAGACAAUGAUGAAAAUGUCACUGUGAUAUUAUGGUCACUUACCUACCCGUCAUGCGUCUAUUUGGAGACAAUUACAUGUACCUUAAUAAUCUGUCUAACAUUUUAGCUUGAAUUAAAUUAAUUUUAAUUAUUUUAUUUUUCAAAUUCUAUUUAAGACAUUAUUACUAAUAUAAAAAGGCAUUAUGAUAAACUUAUUAUUGAGUCUUUCUUUUGAUACCUUGUUUAACAAUUAAAUAUGAAAACUAUAAAUUAUAAAUACAUUGUCGGCAUUUUUAAAUUUAAAGCUAAAAAUACAUACAUAUGUCAUUAUUUCUUUUAUAUCUUGAAUACUAUAAAACAAAUUAUUUAAGCACAUUUUCAAUUACCACUUUUGUGUAAAAAAAAAUAUUAAAAUAAAAUUUGGUCCAUUAAUUAGUUAUAAUAAAUUAAAGAAUAUUAAUUAUCUUAUUUUAAAAUUUUAUUUAUCUGAUUAUCCAAACUGUAGAAAUCGUUAUAAUGAUAUUUUUAAUAAAUAUUUUUUAUAUUUGUUUUAUAGUAAUUAAAUAUUUAAAAUAUAUAUUUAUAAAUAAUAUUGUAAAGAUGUUUAACUUAAAAAAUAAGCAUACACAAUAUAUUGUUUCUUUUAUAUCCUUAAAUGCAUCCAAACUAAAUAAAUCAUUAUUUUAACAAUAAAUGUGCUUAAUUAAUUUCUUUUAAAUUUUGGAUAUUAUUAAUAAAUAUGAAAAAUUUUAUGAUAUAUAAUUAGUUUUUUUCUAUAAAAUAACUUUAAUAUUUGUAUUAUAGAAGUUUUAAUAUCAUUUUUCAAGUUUUCUCAAUAUUUUUAUUAAUUUUGUUCAGUUUCCAUCUUAUUUAAAUUUUUUGUCAAAAUUUUUGUGACUAUUUCAACGAAAUUAAAUUUCAAAAAUUUUUAUAGAUUUUUUAUUUUAAAAAAAUUUGAAUAAUAAAAGUUUCAUUUGAAAUGAUUUUACAACAAUUUUUCAAAAUUCAACUUGUUGCAUUACAACAAAUUCAAAAGAAACAAUCAUCACUCCUUAUUUGCACUGGCUGUUUUCAAGGGUGCUUGGGUUAAGGAUGUGUGGAGGUGCAAUGACGGUGGGGGGAGUUGGAACCCGUUUUUUUCUAGACCAUUUCAUGAUUGGGAGUUGGAAGAGGUUUGUAGAUUUUUUUGUGGCCUUAAACGGGAAGCAAAUUCAACAAGCAGUGGAUGAUAGGGUGAUUUGGAGAGAGAUUAAUCAGUUAACUCUCUUUAUAAAUCAUUAAUAUUAGGCCAUCCAGACUCCUUCCCUUUGUUGGCUAUUUGGAAAGUCUCGAUGCAACCUAGAGUGAGUUUUUUUGGGUGGGAAGUAAAUUGGGGGAAGGCCCUUACCUUGGAUCAGCUUCAAAAGAGAGGAUGGGCUCUAACAAACAGAUCUUACCUUUGUCAAAGGCAUGAAGAAUCAAUAGAUCAUAUUCUCCUCCACUGAGAAAAGGCAAAGAUUCUUUGGGUGUUGCUUUUCUCUAUGUUCGGGGUGUAGUGGAUGCUGCCAGCCACUGUUAAGGAGUUGCUUUUGGGGUGGAAUGGGACUUUUGUGGGAAAGAAAAGGAAGGGUGUUUGGCGAGCAAGUCCUUUGUGCCUCUUUUGGACGGUUUGGACUGUAAGGAACAAAGUUGCUUUUGAGAAAGAAGAGCUGUCAAUUCAAAGGCUUAAGUUUUCUUUUGUUUAUUUUCUUUGAUCAGAGAUGAAAUUGUCUAUAAAAUAUGGUCCCUCGACCUUAGUUGAUUUUGUUGGUUGGGUGACAACCCGGUAAGGGUGUGGGUAGAGCUGCUCCUCUGGCCUUGGCGUUCAGCUAGGGUGUGAGGGGUGUUUUCUUUUCUUGUAACUUUAGGCCAUUGCUUUGAUGGUUUUUUAAUACAAUCUCUUUACUUAUCAAAAUAAAAAAAUAAAAAAAUAAACCAUCAUCAAUAAUUCUAAUAAUUUUUUUUACAAUUGAACUUAAAAAAUAAGUUACAUUGAUCUAAAUAUUAACUAAAAUGAAAUUAUUGAAAAAUUAAAAGUCAGGAUUUGGUACUAUUCUCCAAAUUAAAAAUCCAAAAAUUAAUGAACGGCAUAGUUUGGAUCCCAAAUUUACAAAUUUAAAUAUGCAGCACACAAAAACUAGUGAGUAUAUUAUUACAAUAAAUUUUGGUAUUUUGGGCAUUUAAAAACAUAUUAUAUUACUAGGUUUUAAAAUUAUUGAUUAAUAUAUAUAUUUUAAAAACAUAUUAUAUUACUAGGCCAUUUUGGUAUUUUAAUAUAUAUUUUACAAACUAUACAACGAAGUUGUUUUAAUACACAAUCAAGAUCGAUGUAUUGCAUUAAUUAGAACAAAACUUACGUUAAUAAUUUUUAUUUAUUUUUGGUCAAAAUAAAGAGAACUUAACUAAUUCAAAAUGUACAAUAAAGUUGUUUUAAUAUACAAUCAGCAGGAUGCGUUGCAUUAACUAGAACAAAAUUUAUGUUUGUAAUUAGUAACCAAACAACACAGUAAAGCUGCGCUACAAUUGCCACAAAACUUGUAGAUUUCCAUGAAGGGUCCUGACCUUCUAGAUCAUAGUAAGCAUACUUUCAAGAUGAAAGUGCAUCUCCAAAUAGUGGAAAUGGAGGGUGUACAAUGGUUACGAAACUUGAAAAUUUCCAAGGUUUUUCUAUAUGGAAACUAAAUAACACAAGACCUAAGGAUGUAUAUGCAAGCAUACGUUUUAUGCUUGUUUGAGUAAUAGCAAUGAGAUUCCCUAAUAUCAUGUUAAGAAUAACUAGGAAUUUUAGAAGAUAAACAAAGAUUGCUUUGCAUUUAUAAUUAUUUUCACAUCAAGAAGUCAGACAUCAGACUAAAUUUACGAGAGAAGUUAGUAUAAGAGACCAAAUAACUCAUUUUCCUUUUAUGCAUAGCUCAUUUAGGAUAGUUUCUCUCUCUCUUUUUUUUUUUUUUACUUUAGAUAGAGGCAUUAAGGAGUAAGCUAAGGCAUCAAACUAAAUCUAUGAGGGAAGUUAGUAUAAGAGACCAAAGAACUCAUUUUCAUUUUACGUAUAGCUUGUUAAGGAUAGUUUCUCCUAUUUAUUACCUUAGUUAGAGGUUGAAGUUGAAGUUAAAAUCAUAAUUUUCAAAGAACAAUAUUGAUAUUAUAAAAUUUAACGAAACAUAAAAAAAACUCUUUAUUUACAUCGAAAUAGAGUUUUUACAAAAAGUAACAUUUUUUACUUUCAGAUUAAGUUUUUAAGCCAUAAACUCUUUGAGUAAAAUUAGUUAAACAUGUAUAAAUACUCCUAUGAAGUUUAAAAAAGACUUUUUUACUUCUUAGAAGCCAAUUCAAAGAGUGUCAUAGUUGUGUACAUAAAAGAAAAUCUAUCUCCUAAAAAUAACUAAUAAUUAAUAAUAUUAGUCCUUUCUCACUGUGCUUCUUGUGUAACUUGGAAAAGAAAAUCAAGUGAUAAAUGUAUAGUGGAACCUCAAAAAAUUAACACUCGAAAAAUUGAUAAUUAACCUUGAUUAAGAUUGUAUUUUUUGUCCAUCUUGACUUAUGGUCAAUGUGCUAAAUUAAUAAUUCAAUAAAUUUAUAAGAGAAUACAUUAUAAAAAAUUUACAUAGCUUCAUAUACGAUUCAUUUAAUACACACAUAUAUAUAUAUAUAAAUGAAUAAUUUUUCUAAUAUGCAAAUAAAUUUGUAUGCUUUGUUUAUGAGGUCUUUGUAAUAUAUGAGUCCAAUAUUACUUUUUUCUUCUUGAAAUUGAUGUCAACUUGGAUCUCCUCUUUAACUUUUUAUAGUGCAAAAGUAGAUUCUAGUAUGACAUCCUUGUAUUGCAACAGGAAAAUAUUCAAUGUUAUCAUCACUUUGAGUGCUUUUUUACAUGAGAUUGACUCCAUAGUAGUACUAUCACCUUCAACUUUAUUCUCAUGAUGAAAAAAAAUUAUAGAGAUGAUCACGGCAUAUAAGGGGAAGAUUUUCCCAUGAUGUGAAAAUAUUCCAUGAACAGAGAAAGAAAAGAACCUCCUUUGUAAGUAUUUUCACAUUAGGGAGUUAGCUAAGAUGUUAGACUGAAUUUACGAGAACUUUCUGGUUAGCUUUGUGUAGUAGCAGAGAUUUUUCUUAUUAGAGGUUAGCAUAAGAGACCAAGGACCUCCUUUUCACUUGGUAUAGUAUUAUAGAUAAAAGGAAACCUGACCUUGAAAAAACUAAUAAUAAUAGUAGUCCUUUUUUCACGGUGCUUAACUGGGAAAAGAACAAAUGAUCAAUGUAUGUAGGAAGAAACAUCUUUAGUUAAAUACAUAAAACGACAAAAAAAAAAAAAAAAAAAAAGGAAGGAAAGAAAGGGGGUCCAUUCCUAUCUUGGUUGUUUGCUUUGAUAGAGAAUACAUAUCGACCAGCUUCCUAUAGACUUUGAAUGAAAUAAUCUUAUGAAAUAAUGAUCAUGACAUACGAAAGGGAGGCUUGUCUCAUGAUAAGAACAUGAAUUGAGAAAAAAGGACGAGAGCAGAAAUAAAAGGUCACCCAACCUUAACUGUUCCCUUGCUUUUUAUUAAAGACUGACAGGUUACCAACUUACAAUGUGCGAAAACAGAUAUACAUAAAUUAGAAAGCUCAUUUUGAUGGAGGUAUAAAGUAGAUUCAAAAGUUAACUUUGAACAAUAUCACUUUAAUGCACCUUCUCACCAUCACACAUUGGGUGCCAAAGUUGGUUUCUUAUUAAUCAUGUCGUUCAUUCAACUUAGAAAUACAAAUAAAGAAGCCCUGGCCUGCACAAAUAAAAAGAAAAGAGGCCUCUCCAAGCUUGUUCCAGCUUUAAUAAAGAUGAAGGCAGAGAAGAAAUUAAAUAUCCCCUGAAUUUUAGUCUGAUCAAGUCCUUGUGACAAACAUGUGGACGUGAUUUGCACGAGUCGUAUUUAACAAAAGAUGGGAUAAAACUUACUUUCAAAAUAAAUGAUGGUUAAAAAUUAGUCGUUACAUUUCUAUAGAGUAGAAAAUGACAAUAUUUCUUAUUAGUUUCAGCCUUAAAAUGUGGAAUUAUAUUAUUAAAUAAAGAUUGAAUCCCUUCACUUAAAUAAGAUAUUGUGUAAAAGUCUUUAAGUUUUUAAAUAUGUAAUAUGAUAAGUAUAAGGUUAAAUUUAUCAAAAUGAAUCAUUUUUUCGGAUUUCAAUGAUUUUCAUUAUCAAAUGGUCGAGUUACAUUGAACAUUUCAACGCUUUUGACUUCUGUUAAUUUAGCACUUAUGAUUCAAUAUUAAAGCUUUUCAGUACUUAAUUUUGAGUUUUAUAUAUCAUCACCUAAUAUUCCUCAAUCAGCUCUAAAUGACAAAUAUAACAUCAAACCAUUGGAGACAAAAUAUGGUUGAAUGUGUUGCAGCUUCCAAGGGCAUUUCCUAUUCAAGGUUCACAUCUCAAAUUAGACCUUGAGACAAUAUUUAUCCUUCCUUGUUAGAUUUACAUUCCGAAUCAAACCGUGUGUAAUCUAUUCUUCCUUUUUUGAUUCAUUCCAAAUCAACCAUCGAGUAAACUAUCAAUGCCUCGGUUUUUUUUUUUCUUUUUUUUUUCGGGCUUGUUGUCUUUGUUUAAAUUCUAUGAAUAUAUGAAUGAAACAAAUGUUUAAAUAUUUUUCGCUUCUAUUUAUCAUUUAUUCUUGUUCCUAUCAUUCUCUAAGUUCUUUCAAAUUCAUCAUGGUAUUAGAGGAGGCUUUUGUGUUCUCUACACUCAACAAUCUCGAUGAACCAAAGAUCAAAAUGCAAUCGUCCUACUAAUGAACAAGUUUUCUUUCUAGUCACAAUACAAUAAUCCUACUAAUGCACAAGUGGAGUAUAAGGUUUUUCAUUUUUCAUGUAAAAAUUCAUUUUUUUUAUUGAUCUAUGUAACGCAUGGAGAGGAUGGAGGCAGUUAAACUGAUCUUCCUCAAAUGAAAAUAGAUGAGUUUUUGAAAGAAAAGUUGAUCGGAGAUGUAGGAAACUAGUCUUGGAAUCUAUAGUAGUUGUAGUACCACUCAAGUGGCCAAAUUGGUGCUUGAGUGAUUAUCAAGUGUUUAAGCACCCUUCCAAUGUUGGAUCUAGUCCUAGAAGCAUUUCCAAUGCUCCAGAGUUGCUUCCAGCACUGUUUUAAGCGACCAAGAGCAUCUAGUAACAAAAUUGGGGGUUUUAGAGUGUUUUUUGGGUCUUUGUAUUUUUUUUUACUAACCCUAAUUUGUUUUGUAAGUUAAUUCGGUAAUUUUUUUAUUUUGGAAAUCCAAAUAUUUGGGAUCACCAAAUAUGAAAUAGGAUCUCUAAGGCCAUUGAAAGCUUUACUCUUUUAUUUGUUUCCUUUUUAUGCAUUUUUUUAUGACAUAUGUUUGGAAAUUUUGGAUAAAAUAAUUAAAAUUAGUAAUUUUGGAUUUUCUUAAGAAAAAUAAAUUUUCAUGAGAAGUACUCACUUUCCAAAAAUUAUUUAUUUAAAAUUGGAAGUUGUUAUUUUAGAUUUCUAUUCCUUUUCAACAAUAUAGUUUAGAUAGUUGGCUCUUUAGGUUCCCCUAUGAGAAGGAGAAUAACAUCUCUCGUGGUCUUUUAGACUCUUUUUCCAACGAGAAGGAUGAUAACACCAAAAUUUCUUUAGGCUCUUCUCCUUAGUAGAGGAAAGACUAUGUUGGAUAAGGAAAGUUCAAGGAGAAGGAAUGAUAGAACAAUUCUUUUAGCACAAGUUUUCCAAUUUAGGAAAUAAAUAAAGGAUUUGAAAAUUCUCAUGAUAGAGAAUUUGUUUUAAGAAAGGUUACCAAAAUUACUUAAAGUCUCUUAUUCCAAAGUAUUGAGUAGGAGAAAACCAUAGGUAAGCUUAUAGUCUCUAAGAUCAUGCCCAUCUUGAUUUUGGGCACAUAACCAUCAUGAAGAUGGGAUGACUGAAGGAAUUAAGAGAUAUGGACUAUCCUUAAUAUUAAAUACUUCACUGGGUAUCAUUGAUGUUAAGGAUAUUGAUUACACACAUAACCGAGAUGUGAAGAGGUAGAAUCACUUGAAGUGGUCCCACUUGCAUAGCCUGAGGAUAACCUUUUAAGCUUUAAGGAAAGUUGAUUAAUUAGAGAGGUUCUCUACCUAGUAAUAAGAAUCAUGACCUGCCUAAGGUAGGCUUGAUUCUUAUGAUACCAUGAUACCUUGCAUAGUUACAUGUAGUUUGAGAGCACUACAUAUUUGCUAAAUUUUAUUGUCUUUACUUAAAAGCUUAGCUUCUUUUAUUAAUGCAUGAAAUUUUUUAUUUGUUAAAAGAAUCAUAUCAUAUAACCUGAUCACCCCCAUUCUCAUUACUAACAAGUUAACUAGUCCUAAUUAUGUUGAUUGGAAAAGAAACUUGAACACAGUGUUCCAUAGCAGAAUAACUAAAAUGGGUAACUUAAGAGUUUGUUCCACCUAUAUAUUCCCAAUAAUUUUUCCACAUAAGAAGUGAAAGAUGCUCAAUCUAAGAUGUAAAGAGUGGAUGCGAAGGCUUGUAUUAUAAUCGGGUCUAUUGAUAUGUGUUGCAACAAUAACACAUGGUCAUUUCCACUACUUAUGAGUUUUUCUUGAGCUUGUAGGAGAUGUUUGGUGAUAGAGGUAAGUUAGAUAGGUAAGUUACCUUUAGGUCCAUAUUAAACACCAAGAUGAUAGAAGGGACUUCCUUUAGAGAUCAAAUGAUUUGUAUGAUUGCACUCUUUAGUGAGAUGGUGAUUACUACCAAAAAGUGCUAUUUUGUAGACCUAAUAAUAAUGGUUUUAAGCACCUUUGAGUAGUAAUCAUAUUCAUUUAACCCAAUUAAUUCAUUAAGGUCCUUAGUAAUUGGUUUUAACCAUUUUGUGGCAAGUUUACAUGUUUUUAUCAGCUUAUGAAUCGAUUCAAGCAUGCCAAUUGAUGGAGGAGCUACUUGGGCGAGUUAAGCAAGGAUUUUGUACAUUUAUAGGCUUGAAUUUCAAGUGGAAACACGAGCACAAGCAAUGGAGAAGAGGAAAACAGAGUGAAGAAAACAGCUGCAGUCUUCAUUUGAACUUUUGGAGCACUUCCCGAAGUCCAUUUUUUGCAUGCUAUAUACCAUUUGAAAGCUUAGGAAGUCAAGAAUCCAACGCUUCAAACCGUGUAUGAUUUGGAGCUGAAAUGAGGAAGAUAUGGCCUUUGGAAGGCAACUGCAUCAUGUCAAAUGACCAAUUUCGCAAUGUGAAUUUCACAUUGCGAAAAUUUCGCAAGGAGAUUUUCUUCAUGGUGCGAAAUUUUGCCAUUUCGCAAUGUGAAUUUCACAUUGCGAAAAUUUCGCAAGGGGAUUUUCUUCAUGGUGCGAAAUUUUGCCAUUUCGCAAUGUGAAUUUCACAUUGCGAAAAUUUCGCAAGGAGGAUUUAGGCACAUUGCGAAAUUCCUUUGAAUCCCCUGUUUUGAGACGUUGUUGAUGUUAUUCCACUACCGGUUCUCCAAGAUAUUUUGCUUGAUUUUUAGCUUUGUAAAUACCUAUUUUACCCUUGUAAUCAACCAAUGAAUAGGUUGCUUUUGUAAUAGCUCUUGUAAUUUAGCUUGUUAUUGUCUUUAAAUAGAGGUGAAGAGCCUCAGACAAUAAUCUAAUUUUGUAACCUGUAACUUUAGAAGUUAUAAGAUCACUUUUGUUCAGAAGCUUCUUUUCUCUUUUCUUUCUCAUUUUCUUAGUAGCCAAACACCCUUGGAGGAUGAAAUCCCCAAGGAUGAGAGGCUAAAACCUUUUAGUUUCUUGAAGUAAUGGAUGCCAUGUGAAGCUCCCGUGUCAGGAUGGAGAUUUCCAAGCCAUGAAUGUAAGUAGCUGAGCGUCAUAAAUGUUUUCAUUCAAAGUAAAGCUUUUAAUCCCUCUGACUUGCUUUGAAUGGCCAAUACUUGAUAACCUUUUGGUCUCAGUGGAUUCUUAUUGUUAGAUCCACUGAUGUUCAUUAGUUAUCUUCUACGAGCCAUUGUAUUGCAAGUCGAGGAGAUGACCUAUAUCAUUAAAAGAGCAUUUAUGAGGUUCAACUACCCUUUUUGUAAGUUUUAAAGGACUAAAACUCAGUUGUUAAACUCAUACCGGUUCGGGAAGUAAGCAUCACCUUAGUUGCUUCCCCAACUCGAGGUGAAGAGUUCCAAAAUCUCCAUUUUUACAUAGUGAGUUAAGCAUGGCUAUCCAAAGCUUUGAGAAACUUCUUUUUCCAUCUUUUAACCUAUUUUCAUGUUAGUUUAGUUUACACACCUUCAUCUUUAUAUGUUUUCAUCUUAACUUAAUUUUUAUUAAGAAAAGUUCACUCCAUCCUCCGAACUUCACCAGUUAAAGUAAAAACCCUUCCCAGUGUUCGAUCCUAGAGCCACUAUGCUAUAGUAGCUUUGCUACUUUAGUGUAAGGACGUUAGGUAUAAAUUUUGUUGAUACCCUUACAUGCCAAGCUACCAAGAGUCGGGUUAUCAGAUGGAAAUCCUUCAAGUUGAAAUCGAUGGGGAAACCCAAUUCAACACGAUCCUAAAGACUUUGUCAGAUUUCUUUAGGUGGUUUAUGCCCAAUCAUACUAUGAAUAAGUCAAUGAUGAGUUUACUUGAACUGAUGGGGGAACUCUAGGUGACUAAGAGGAUUCUUAAGGAUCUUAGAAGUUUUUAGGUUUUUACCAUAAGAAGAAGAAGAAGAAGACUUUCAAGAAUACAAAGCAAAGAAAGUCCAAGGUUGGGGAAAGCAAGAACAAAGGAAAGGGGAAAUGUUUCCUUUGUGGCAAGAAGGGUCACUAGAAGAAGGAAUGCCUCAUUUACUUGAAGAAAAAGGAAUGUAUGAUUCAUUCACUUUUAGUUGAAUAUUGUUUAGUAGUGGAUUCCACCAACUCAUGGUGAAUAGAUUCUAGUGCCAUUGACCAUAUCUGUAAUUCGUAAUUCUUUAUAGGGGUUUUAACAAAGGAUAAGGUUGAAUAAAGGAGAGAUGUACCUAAUGUUAGGGUUUGCUACAAGGAUCCCUGUGCAAGUUGCGAGAGAUGUUACAUUAGUGCUAGAGAAUAGUGGUCAUCUAGAAGAAGAAAGCCCUAUCUACAUAAAGUAAAAGAAAGGUAUGAUUCAUUUACUUUUAGUUGAAUCUUGUUUAGUUGUGGAUCUUACUAAUUCAUGGUGGAUGGAUUUCUAAGCCACUGACCAUAUCUAUAACUCUUUAUCAGGGUGUCAAUUAAAUAGAUGGUUGAAUGAAGGAGUGAUGUACCUAACUUUAGCAUCUACUACGAGGAUACCUAUGCAAGUCAUGGGAGAUGUUACCCUAGUACUAGAAAAUAAUAGUCAUCUAGAACUCAAUGAUUGUCUUUAUAUACCUGAAUCUAGAAAGAAUCUUAUUUUAGUUUCUAGUUUACAUAAAUGGAAGUAUUUAGAGUUUGUUUGGUAGUGAUUUUAGAAAACACUUUUAAUUUUUCUAACACUUGAAAGUUUUUGUCUUUCAAGCAUUAAAAAGACUAGAAAUGCUUCUUAGAAUCACUACCAAACACACUCUUAGUUUAUUUCAAUAAAAAUGAUUUCAUUAGAAAGAAGACUCAUUUAUUUGCUAAAGUUCAUUGGUUGACAAUCUCUUCCUUAUUGCUCUUGUUUUAUUUUACCUAUUAUUGAAAAUCAUCAUACCCCAUUAAAGAGGAAAAUACCUAGUACUAAUCAAACAUACUUAUGGCAUCUACGCCUAGGUCAUGUAAAUCUAAAUAGGAUCCAAAGACUAGUGACAUCUGGAGCAUUGCACUCAUUAAUUCCAAAAGACCUUUUAGUUUACGAAUCUUAUAUAAAAGAUAAAAUGACCACGAGCCCUUUGAAUUUUCGGAGUUAGAGCGUAUUGAUGUGUAUGAACCUUUUAAUGUCUAAUCGUGUGGAGGGUAUGAAUAUUUGAUCAUCUUCAAGGAUGAUUACUUUUGGUAUGGUUAUGUUUACCUUAUGCAUGGGAAAUCUAAUGCCUUGGAUAAAUUUAAGGAAUUUAAUAUGGAAUCUGAGAACUAGCUAUGUCAAUGCCUUGGUUAGAUAAGUUUGAUUUUUUUUUUGAAAGAGCAUGGGAUUAUAUCCCAAUUGAGCACCCUUAGAUUUUCACAGUAAAAUAAAGUAGCGGAAAGAAAAAAUUCAACUCUUAUGGACAUGGUGAAAUCUAUGAUGAGUUUUUCAACACUCCUUACAUCCUUUUGGGGAUAUCCUUGAACACUACUAGAUAUCUUCUUAACUUAGUCCCAUCUAAGUUGGUACCUUUGAUUCUUAUUGAGAUGUGGAUGGAUCCUAAACCUAGUUUACAUCAAGUUCAUAUAUGGGGGCGUCUACCACACAUGCUAAGGCCAAAGGUAGAUAAGUUGGUACCUAGGUCCGAAGUUUGUCAGCUUGUUGGGUGUCUAAAAGGAAUGAGGGUUUAUCACUUUUAUAGUCAAGUCAACUAGAAGGUGUUUGUUAGUACAAAUGUCAGAUUUUUGGAAAAUGACUAUAUGAUGACUAAUAAGCCUAGUAGUGAGGUUGAUUGGAGAGCACUAGAUGUGACUACGACAUUAGUAGAAAAUACAGUGGAAACAACACAAACUAUUCCUAAUUCUAGUGCACUAGGUCCUUAUCAUAAUGAGAGGGUUGUUAUGCAACCGGUUUAAUUCAUGUAUUUAAGAGUUUGUUGAGGUUAUUUUAGAGUAACAUGAAAUUGAUCCAUAGAUGAUAAAGAAGCAAUAAGUGAUGCGGAUGCAAAUCCUUGACAAAUGGCUAUGAACGUAAAGUUAGAAUCUAUGUAUUCUAACUAUGUCUGAAACCUUGUAGAAGUGCCUAAAAAUAUAAAACCCCUAAAGUACAAGUACAAGUGAGUCUACAAAAUGAAGAGAGGAGUAGACAGAAAAGUUAAGACAUGUAUGUUAGAAUAGAGCCCUUAAAAACAUAACAUGAUGUAACAGAUUUGGAAUACAUUAUUCACUUAGAGGUUCACUUUUAUUUAUCCUUAUUCCAUGCAUUACACUUAAUUUAUGAGUAUUUUGGCUUGAAAUCUCUUGCAUUAUACAUGACUUGGGUGCAUUAGGAGUUGUACGGAAGAUCCAAGUCUUGGAUUCCUCGUAAGUAGAUGGUUUGUUCACAACCAAUUCAUGGACCUAAACAAUUUGUUUAAGGUUGUAGUGCUCCACUUCCUAAUUAGAGGGAUGGUUAGUCUUGGUUGUUGAGAUGGGGUUCCCAUGGUAAGGGCACUAGUGUGUAUAGUUACACAUUGGACAUGACCUACAAUGAGUUAUGACAUAAGGUUAUCAGGUAGUCAUGACUUUACUAAGUUGCUAUACUGUAUAGUCUUUUAACCUUGAGAGAAGGUUAAGCUUGUAUAGAAGUUAGUAGUGGCUUUGGUCUAUGGGUGAGAUCAUAAGUUGAUUAUAUAUUCCCUAUGGAUUAGGUCAUUAUUAAUGAAAGUUGGUAGCAAAAGGUAUUCUCAAUAGAGGUGCCAUGAUAUCUCAUAGAAUUUGAGAUAGCAUGCCUCCUUGGGUGAUCCUAAGGACAUGUGAUCAUAAAAUCUGUAAGCCUACAAUAAUUCUUUUAGUAGAAUUUGACAUAUGCUCUUAAUGAGCUAGAGUAUGUCAUUUGAUCACAUAAUAAGAGGAUUUGUAACUUAAGGAUUGUAAAGGUAGUCUUAAAAUGUUGAUAUCUUUGACCUUGUUAGAAUAUGGAUGGCUAGUUCAUAGGGAGACUAUAUAUAGUGGAUAGUAAGUCACGAACCAAAGCACUUGUUGUCUCAAUGUAAUAUACAUAGGGUACGAGAGUGUAGUUGACUCUUUAUAGUGAGAUGUUGAGUCAAUUUUAGAAUUGGAUCAUGAGGGAGCUAGUAUGUCAUAUGGGUCCAAAUGGUCUUCGUUUGAGCUCAUGUUCCUUGAUGACAUGGUUUAUAAGGGUUGGAUGGGUUUUUAGUUCACUUAUGUGCAUAAGAGUGUUUUUGUAACUAAGUAAGGUUGCACAAGGGAUAAGUAAACGAUAUCGUUGGAAGGCUAAUUGAUUAAUUGGAACCCUAUUAGGUUUAUCAAUCAAUUGGCAACCUUUUUUGCCUAGAUUAAGUGAACCAAGCUCGUGGUGGACUCAAGUCACUCAUGCCCAGUAGAAAGCCUAUAAAGACCCUUUUAAGGAUUAGGGUUUUUAACUUUUGUCAUUCUCUUCCUCCAGUCCAGAGAGAGAACCUUAACCUUCAACCUUGAAAUCUCCACCAUCUCAGUGCCUAAACUUAAUGAGGAGUCAUAGGGUAGAAUAUCAUGGCAUUUAUGAGAUUUGUUACAAUUUCAGAGCUUUAUACAUUGAUAAGAAUCAAUUCGAGAAGAUUCAGGUCAUAGGUAUGACAUUUUCUCUUGAUCUAUGGUAUCUAUAUUGGUUUUUGAGACCAAGUUUUCUGCUUUGUUUAGAUCUGGAGAAGCCUAGGAUAGAUAUUCAUGCACCCUAACAAUCCAAGGCAUUGGAACAAAAUAAUAUGGGGUUUCCAACAAGAUAAGGCUAGGCUUGUAGCGAAGGGUUAUAGUAAAAAACACAACUUCGACUAUGAUAAAAUCUUCUCAUCGGUAACCAUGCUCAAGUCCAUCAGGAUAUUCCUAUCCAUUAUGGUACAUCUCGAUUAUGAGAUACAACAAAUAUAUAUCAAGACUCUAUUCUUAAAUAACAGUCUUAAUGAGAGCAUCUAUAUGAUGCAACUAGAUGGUUUCAUAGCAAAGGGCUAAGAAUAUAUGGUAUGGAAGUUGCAUAAAUCCAUUUAUGGAUUAAAGCAAGCAUCCUGCUUAUGGAACUAAUGUUUCGAUUGGCAAUUAAAACCUUUAACUUUGAUCAAAACAAGGGUAGACUUUAUGUGUACAAGAAGGUGUAGGGAAACAUGGUGGCCUUUAUGAUCUUGAAUGUUGAUGACAUUGUACUCCUUAGUUAUGAUGUAUAACUAUUAUCAUCAAUCAAGAUCUAGUUAUCUACUCAAUUCCACAUGAAGGUAUUAGGAUAAUCGUAGUAUAUUCUUAGGAUUAAGGCCUUAUAAGAUUGCAAAAAUAGGGAAUUGAUAUUGUCUCAAGCCACUUAUAGUGAUAAGAUCUUGGUCAAGUAUACGGUACAAGAUUCAAAGAAGGGUUUCUUACCCUUCAAGUGUGAAAUUCCUCUUUUCCAAGAUUAGUGUCCUAAUACACCUAAAAAGAAAAAACACAUGCAAACAAUACUUUAUGCAUUAAUAGUGGGUAACCUUAUGUAUGCAAUGUUGCAUAUUAGACUAAACAUUUAUUUUGUAGUAGGUAUGGUGAGUAGAUAUAGUCAGAUCUAGGUUCAAAACAUUGGACAACUAUCAAGUAUAUACUCAAGUAUCUUAGGAGAAUAAAGAAUUAUAUGCUUAUGUGUGAUGAGUUAGUACCCAAAGGGUACAUGAAUUCAAUCUUAUAGUUUGAUAAGGAUUCUCAUUAGUCUACCUUUAGUUUUGUAUUUACCUUUGAUGGUGUGGUUAUUAGUUGGAGGAGUGCGAAACAAUCUUGCAUUGAUGACUCCACUAUAGAAGUUGAGUAUGUUGUAGUUUCUAAAGCAACAAAGGAAGCCAUUUAGCUUCAGAAGUUCCUCAUGGGAGUUGGGAUAGUAUCCUUGAUUGUAAAACCAUAACACUUCUAUGAAAACAAUGGGGGUGGUGACAUGGUAUAUGUGGUUACCAAAAGGGUAACCACAUUAAGAGAAAGUACUAUUUGUUAUGUUAGAUAGUUUAAAAGAGUAAUAUGAUGGUUGAGAAGAUACCUUUUACGGAGAACCUAAUAUAUCCUUUUACCAAGAAAUUCAUGUGGAGAGGAUUUAAUGAUCAUUGGGAUAACAUAGGUAUCAAAUGUGUACUUAGUUCGUUUUGUUAGCAAUGUUCUUUUAAGGUUAGUAGAAUAUUGUUAAGAUAAAGUCGUUAAAAGCAUGACAUGUUGUAACAAAUUUAGAAUUUAUUAUUCAUUUAGUAAUAUUCCAAUUUUACUUUUAUCUAUCCUUAUUCCAUGCAUUAUGCCUUAUUAGCAUUCUAACCUGACAUCUCUUAUUGUACAUGACUUGGAUGCAUUACGAGUUAUAUGGAAAAUCCAAGUCAUGGGUUUCUUACAAGUUAAUGAUUUGUUCACAGCCAGUUCAUGGACUUAAGACAAUUCGUUUGAGGUUGUAGUGCAUUACCUCCUAAUUGGAAGGAUGAUUGGUCUUAGUUAUUGAGAUGAGGUCCUCAUAAUGAAUGCACUAGUUUGUAUGGGUUAUAGAUUUUAUAAAACCUAUGGUGAAUCAUGAUGUAAGUCAUCAGGUAAUCAUGACUUCAUUAAGCUAUUAUAAUGUAUUGUCUCUCAAUCUAGAGAAAAUACUAGGCUUAUGCCAAAGUUAGCAAUGACUUUAACUCAUGGGUUAAAUUUUUAAGUGUUCACAUAUUCUUUAUGGAUUAGGUAGCUAUUUAUGAAAGCUAGUAGUAAUAGUUAUUCUCAACAUAAGGACACGUGAUAUCUCAUGACACUGUGUACCCUUAGGUGAUCCUAAAAAUAUGUGAUCAUGAAAUCUGCAGCCCGAAUAAUUCCCUAAUCAAAAUUUGACAUAUGCUCUUAUGAGUUAUGACAUGUCAUUUGAUCAUAUAAUAGGGAAAUCUAUAACUCAGGGAUAGUAGAAAUAAUCUUGAGAGGUCGAUAAAUUUCACAUUUGUAUAUCAUAGAGAGAUUGUAUACAAUGGAUAGUAGGUCAUGAGUUCAAACACUUUGUCUUUUUUUAAUAUACAUAGGGUAUUGAAUUGUAGUUGACUCUCUAUAAUAGGAUAUUGAGUUAGCUUCAGAAUUGGAUUAUAAAGGAGUUGUAUUAUUCUAUGGGUCUUAGUGGUCCAUGCUCAAGCUCAUAUACCUUGAUGACAUAGUUUAUGAGGGUUGGAUUGGUUCAUGGUUCACUAAUGUGUAUAAAAUUAUUUUUGUAAAUACGGAAAGUUGCACAGGAAUAAGUGAACAAUAUAUCUGGAUUGAGUUAAUUGAUUAAUUGGAGCGCUAUUGGUUUAAUUAAUCAAUUAAAACCCUUUUUAGGUUAAAUUAAGCUACUUAAGCUACUUAAGCUUAAGGUGAUCUUAAGUUACUUAAGCUCAAUGGGAAGCUUAUAAACACCCCUUUAGGGUUAGGGCUUUAGAUUUUUGUCAUUCUUCUUUACAUUCCAAAGAAAGAAUCUUAGAUUCUACCCUUUAGAUCUCCACCAUUUGAGUGCUUAACUUUAAGGAGGAGCCAUCAGGCGAAAGAUAAGUGGGUUUAGAAAAAUUUUGACAACUAUCGCACAUUUGACAACCUUCUUCCCCACAAGAAUUGCAUUUGAGAACAUCCAAAUCUUGGUAAGCACUUCUAAUCUUUAGAUCUAUAUCCUUUUUUUGUUUUGAAUGCUUCUGUUGCUAAGAUCUAGAUAGCCUUAGGAAGUUUUUGAAUGUACCUAACUAAUCUAGGGCUUGGGAAUAGAGUGAUCCAAAUUCCCUACAAAAAGAAUAAGUGAGAGAUGACCUUAGCAAAGUCCACAACCUCCAUUAUCAAGUCCAUCUUAAUUUGGGUCUAUCACCAUUCCAACGAUGGGUUAGGUUUAAGGAAUUAAGGGAUAUGAACUUUCCAUAUGGAUAAGGCUACCUAUUAGUAGUUGAAGCAACCACCCCAACAAUGGUGUUUUUCACAUGAUAAAUUUGAUGUCAAGAAUAAUGGUUAUAUAUUUAUCUUGGAUAUGAACUAAUUGAAUCACCCACCGUGGUCCCACUUACAUAGUCCAAACUAAAACAUAAAAGGUAUGUUGAGCUUGCCUUGAGGUUAAAUAAGGCAAGAAGAUCAAUUUGACAAGGUCUCUACCUAGUAAUACGAUCAUGACCUACCCAAUGUAGGCUUCAUUCUAACAAAAGGAUAUAUAGUCUUAAGAACUAUACUAUUUUGCUAAAUUAAUUUAUAUUUUCCUUAUAGUGAAUGCUCAAUAACCAAUGCAUAGUUUACUUUUUGUUACAAUAAUUAUGUCAUAUAAUCUUAUCAAACUUAUUCUUACUAAUAAUAAAUUAACUGAACCAAACUAUGUGGAUUGGAAAAGAAAUUUGGCCAUAGUUCCAAAUACCUCUAAUGAAUAAUUUGUGCAAGAAAAGAGAGAUGCCUAUCAUAGUUGGCAUAAAGCGGAUCAAAAGGCCAAGUGUAUCAAACUCAAAUCUUUGGAUGAUAUGCUCUAAACUCAUUUGCUUUAGGGUUAAUGGAGCUAUCUAUAGUAUGUUUUUAUAUUUUUUAGAGAGAAAACAUUGAAGACUCUUCAAUAUUUGCUUUGUUUAUGCAAUAUAAUAAUCAUUUUUAGUUUCUUUUAAUUCAAGAAUGUUGAUUUUAACUUUCUUGAUGGUUUGUGUGAACAACACCACCUCCUUGAGAGGCUAACACCAUCUUGAGGUGUGAAGUUUGAAAACCUAGGGUUAGAAACCACCAGAGGAACAAUGGGCAAAUGAAAUUAAUAAUGACAUUAAUGUGAAAAUUAGAAACUCUCCAUGUUAGAUCAAUACUAGAAGUUAGAGAUUCUUGGCACAUUUUGAUCUUGAGUUAUCUCAAUUAGUUCUUUCGUUACAUGAUCUUCAAAAAAUCUAUAGGAGUAGUAAGGUUUGAAAGGUUGAAACAUAAACCCUAAAUUAAUUUCAAUUUAUCUAAUACUAGUUAGAUAUCAAAAUUAAUGGUAAAUUAGAGUUCGGAUGCAACUUUGAGUUAUAGAACUUAAGUCAAUCUUGCUCUAAAGGCUAAAGACUAUAAGAUCCUAAAAGCUAUACGAUCCUAAUAAAUGUAAUGCCCUUGUUCACUCUAAAGUUUCACUCCUAAAGUUGGAUUGUGGAACCCCUGAUCUUGAAUUGAUAGACUACAAUUAAUCCUCUGAGUAUUUUGCAAACUUAUUUAAAUUUUGUUUUAAUAAUUUAUGUACAAGUUGCAAAAACCAAUCGUCUAAAUAUUUUAUUUUUGAGUAUAGGUAACAAGAAAUCAACUUUGACCUAGUUUUGCUAAUUUUUAUAGAUUAGUUCAUGAGGGUGAUACCCAAAGUACUACAAAAGCCUAGGAUUUCUCUAUUUAGUUUUUCUUCACUAGAGUUGUUAUUUAAAAAGACUUCGUAUUUUAGACAACAAAAAAGAGCACAUACAUACCUAAAAGUGUUUGUUGUUGCAACUUGCUUAACACUUGGACCCUUGGACCCAUGUUUAUAGUUGGGAAAGUUUGACCAUACUAGCUGCUCUUGGUCAAAAUGGAAACCCCAAAAUUGAACUUGGGUUUGAGUCGAGAAGCUAUGCUCUAACUCAUAUCAUUAACCAAAAAACCAACGUAGGUUUAAUCCAAAUUUGACUUGGCAGCUCAGACCAUGCUCUGGAAUAUAAAUUGUUAGUUCUUGAAAAAAAAUAUAUUCAGGGCUAUUAAUAAUGCACCAAAUUUUGAAAGGACCAUGAGCUUACUACAUAAAAUUUUGUUUGAAAUACAAAAAUUUCUUUUCUAGGACUCCUCCAAACUGGCCCAUUUUCAGUGAUUGCUAGCAUGAUGACACUGUUCAAGAUUUUUGGAUGUACUUUUUGAAGUUAUAGAUAUUAAUUAAACUCAGAUUAAAUGACUUUGUCAAUGGCAUUGCUAGGAAUUUUAGUCAGGGAAAUUAAAAAAACUUGAGAAUGAGCAGCUAGUUGCAGUUUUUAUAGUGCAUAACACUUAUUAUCUUACAAAUUUUUCUUAGGAGUCAGCUUAUUGAAUUCCUAAUCUAUCUCGAGAAGUUCUUUGGCUGAAACUAAGGUUGGUGUGCUAAAUAUAUCUGGAGCUGAGUGGAUUUUAUUUUUGAGUUAUUAAAAUUCAGUGAUAUAUACUCUCCAAACCAUCCCUUUGUGACUGAUCAACUUUUUUGCAGACCCACUUUCUUCUUUAAUAAAGAGAUGCCCUUGCUUGUCGGAUCCAACUCCCUUUUUUGACACAUAUCAGAGACUCAUUAAUAGAACUCUGCAAUUCAGAAGUGCAAUUUACAAUAUAACAGAUAUGAGGAUGCUUCUGCAAGUGCUAGUAUCAGUUCAUCUCAUCACAAUCAUCAUCUCUUUCGUAUUUAUAGCACAGGAAGCAGGCGCAUCUAUGACCAAGCCUGGGUGCCCAGAGAAAUGUGGGAAUAUUACCAUUCCAUAUCCAUUUGGCAUGGGGAAAGGUUGUUACCUGAAUAGAAAUUUUGAGAUCACAUGCAACAUGUCCUCCAAUCCCCCUCGUCCUCUUCUCCUCCAAGAAGUUCAACUUUUGCAGAUAUCAGAAGACUAUCUGCGCAUCAACGAUAUUGUUCACCAUAGCUGUUUUAAUAAGCAAUCAGGGAAGACUAAUUCAUCACAUGUACCAUAUAACAGAACUCAUCAUUUCAGUUACUCACACACCCAGAAUGAGUUCAUAGCCAUCGGGUGUGACAUAUUUGCUUAUAUCACUGAGGACAACAGUAAAACAAACGCAACUGGGUGUGCAUCGCUUUGUAAUACUGAUGAAGACAUCGCUACUGAUUUUUCCUCUUCUGCUUGCUCUGGCAUUGGUUGCUGCAGGACUUAUCUCCAAACAGAUAUUUCACGGUUUUAUCUGAAGAUGCGUAGCAUCAACAUGAUCACACCAAUCUGGACCUCUCAACCAUGUGGCCUUGCUUUCAUUUCUGAGAGGAACUUCUCCAUACGUCAAUAUUUUAACCUCUCUAGUAAAUUUUUAGAGAGGAAUUUGUAUUUUGUUCCAGCAGUACUUGACUGGUCAGUUGGGGACGUCUCUUGCCCUGAGGCUAUCAGAAGAAAAAACUAUGCGUGUGGCCAGAAUACGUGAUUCGCGUGUAACUCCAAAUGGGUCAUUUAAUCAAAAACAUUUAUAAAACUUAUGACCUCAUACUAAUGUAGUAAAGCUACUAUAGUAUAGUGGCUCUAGGGUCGAACUCUGGGAUGGGUUUUCAUUCUACCAGUGAUGUAUUCAAAAUUAGAAAUUGUAUUUAAUGAUUUCCUUAAUCAAAAACUUAAAGUUUAAAAGAAAAUAAAAUUUGUUUUGAAAGUGUUUGAAACUAAACUAACAUAAACUAAUUAAAAAUGGAAGAAAGAAAGUCUCCCGGAGCUAAGGGUUGCUAGGAUCAAGUUCAGAAUAGAAAGUGGAAAAUUCCGGAUUUUUCUCCUCGCAUUGGGGAUUUAACCUAUAGUUAUUUCUCGAACCGGUAUAGGUUUGACAAUGAAGAUUUAAUCCAUAAAAGAUCAAUAGAAAUGGUAGUCAAGGUCCAUUAAUGGCUUAAGACACUAUGGGUCUUCACCUUGAAUCACUUUCCAAUGACUCGUACAUGAUAACUAAUGGACUAAUAUGAAUCUAGCAAUAAGCAUCCAUAAAGACCUGAAGCUUACCAUGUAUUGGUCAUUCAAAGUGAUUCUAAGGGGUUUAAAGCAAAACUUUGGAUUUAGAAGCCAUUUAUGAAUUCCAACUACCUGAAUUUAAUGCACGGGAGCUUUCCACCAUUUCAUCUGGACUUUUCACCUAGCUUCCUCUACUCCAAGAAACCGAAAGUUUAGCCUCUCAUCCUCCGGGCAAACAUCCUUAGAGGUUGUUUGGCUUCCAAGAAAAAGAAAAUAAUAAAGAGAAAAGAGAACGAGAGAGCUCUGUAAAAUUCUAAGUGUCAAAACGUAAUACGUAUUCUAUAUCUUUCAAGAGGUGAUUUCCACCCCUUAUAAAGUCUUUACAAAAGCCAAAGCUUAUGAUUCGUUAGUUACAAGGAUAAUAAAGGAAAUUACAUCACAAAAUACAAAGGAAAAUAUCUAAAGUGGAGUCGGCAAAGGGCAGAGCAAAAUUCGCAACACGCAUGGGUUAUGCGAACCAAAUGCGAAUGUUAUGCGAAUUUCGCAUAUGCUCUUAUGGAAUGCGAAAUUUUCGCAUAUGCUGGAGCAGUUGGCUUCCGAAGGCCAUAUCUUCCUCAUUUCAGCUCCAAAUCGUGCACGGUUUGAAGCGUUGGAUUCUUGACUUCAAGAGCUUUAAAAUGGUAUAUAGCAUGUAAAAAUUGGACUUCGCGAAGUGCUCCAAAAGUGCGAAAGAAGACUGCAGCUGCUACAUUUUGAUUUUUCUUCACUUUGCUUCUCUUUGGUUUUCUCCUUUGCUUGACUUGUUUUAACGAUCCAAAAAGCUGUCAAAACAUUAAAACUAGCCACAAAUAUGAUUAGGAGACAUUUCUAGGUCCUUAACAUGCCAAUUGGACUAAAGAUGGAGAACUACUACACAAAAGUGCUUAAAACAUAAUGCAUUAAAGGUGUAAAAUAGCACUUUUUGGGUAGUAAUCAAUACGUACUGCCAUAACUCCAUCCAGGGCCAGGGGUAUAAGUGUCACUGCUCUAAAGGCUAUCAAGGGAACCCCUACCUUGCAAACGGCUGCCAAGGUACAGUUUCAUCUCCUUUUCAACAUUUUUUAUAUUUAUUUUUCUUGCCACGAGGGAACAUCGCGAUCCUUCUUUUCUUUUCUUCUGAAUCUUUGCUUCUGUGAUAUAUAAGAAAAUCAGUUGAUAAUUUUUGCUUCAUGGAAAUACUUCUGUGUUCUCUGCAAAGAAGGAAUUAAAAAUUAUCCAUGGCUCUUUGGUUAUGAAUAAAGGACUUAUCCUUUGAUCAGUUUUUUACAUAUCAGACCUAAAAGUCAUAAGGCCAUGGCAACUGUAAUUUAUUAUAAAAUGAUGUGUCCUAAGGAAUUUUAGGACUAAGCAACCCCUCAGGAUAAAUUAAGAGUUAGAAUUUUAGCUUAUGAAUUUCCUAAAUUCUCACUAAUAUAUAUUUUUUUUCUUUUGUGUUCUCAAAAGAUAUUAAUGAGUGCAACGACCCAGACGAAACUUUUUGUCUCAAGAUAGCUCUUUGCACUAAUGUCCCUGGCAGUUACUCGUGCACUUGCCCAACUGAUUAUCAUGGAGAUGGCAAGAAAGAUGGAACUGGGUGCAUACGUGGCAAGCAUCCACAUUUGCUAUCAUUGGUACUUUCUCUAGGUAUAAAACUUUACCAUUCUCCAACACCUAGCACUCGAAUCCCCUUCUCUACACUAACUUUUGUGUCUGAUGUAGGUGUGGGGAUUACUGUUGUUCCCUUUAUCCUAAUUGCUACAAGCUUAAGGUUAUACCGAGGACUUGAGAAAAGAGAGAAAAAGAAAAUAAAACAGAAGUUCUUCAAGAAGAAUGGAGGUCUGCUAUUGCAACAGCAAAUUUCUUCUAGCAAGGAAAGUGUAGAAAAAACAAAACUCUAUUCGGUAGAAGAGUUGGAGAAAGCAACAGAUGGUUUCAAUUUAAGUCGAAUCAUUGGUAAGGGAGGCCUCGGCACAGUAUACAAAGGUAUGUUAUCAGAUGGAAGCAUUGUAGCCAUUAAGAAAUCCAAUACGGUUGAUGAGAAGCAGUUAGACCAGUUCAUUAAUGAAGUUUUGAUUCUUUCACAGAUCAACCAUAGGCACAUAGUAAAACUAUUAGGUUGUUGUCUGGAGACUGAAGUACCUUUGCUGGUUUAUGAAUAUGUCUCUAAUGGCCCCCUCUCCCACCAUCUUCAUGAUGAGGGUCAUGUACAUAGAAUAUCUUGGAAAAAUCGGCUGCGAAUUGCAAGUGAAAUUGCUGGAGCCCUUGCUUAUUUGCACUCGCAUGCUUCUACAGCCAUCUGUCAUAGAGAUAUCAAGUCUAGCAACAUAUUGUUGGAUGAAAACCUCCGGGCUGUACUUUCUGACUUUGGACUCUCAAGGUCAAUACCCCUUGACAAAACUCAUUUAACUGCAUUGGUACAAGGGACAUUUGGUUACUUGGAUCCUGAUUAUUUUCAUUCAGGUCAAUUGACUGAUAAAAGUGAUGUUUAUGCCUUUGGUGUAGUCCUUGCUGAACUUCUGACAGGAGAAAAAGCGAUUUCCUUUGAUAGAUUUGAACAAGGUCUAGCAAGUCAUUUUAGAUCAGCAAUGAAACAAAAUCAUCUGUUUGAUAUUCUUGAUAACCAAGUUGUAAAUGAAGGACAGAAGGAUGAUAUUUUUGCUGUUGCAAAGCUUACUAAGAGAUGCCUAAAGUUGAAUGGGAAAAAAAGGCCAACCAUGAAACAAGUUGAAAUAGACCUCCAACAAUUGGGCAGAUUUCAGGAGCAGUUUUCUUGUCAGAAGUCAAUGAUUCAAGAGGAUUUUUCACAACAGCAAACAUGCCAGGACGACUGCACGGUAAGUGAAAGAUCCCAUUCCUACACAUUUGGUCCAGCUACAGAAGAGAUCGUUCAAGAUAUUGAGGUCUUGUUUUCGUAAGGAAUACAGUAUGGCAGCUUGAAGCUUCAGUUGAAUAUUAGGUGGUUUUUGCAACUGAUAUGGGUCAGAUGUUGGAAGGUUAAACUUUAUUUACAAAGGUUGUAAAAUUAUAAUUAGAUUUAGUCACUAAAAGUUAAGAAGAAUAUUUUAUUUUUAAUGGGUUGCUUUAGUUUCUAUAUUUGUGGAGUAGGUUCUAGAAGGUUUCUAUAUUUUGUUAUUAUGAGUUUCUAUUUUGUUAGUGAGUAUAUAUAAAUAAGAAAUUUCUCCUCAAUUUGUGUUUUCCUCUAUGUAAUUAUUUUUAUUUAUAUUUUAAUCCUCUUACUCUAACAAAUUGGUAUCGAACCCAAAUAAAAAAUGACAACUGGAAUAUAUCCAUUUCAAGUCCUCCAUCUCAACGAAGACAAUGACAAUAAUUGGAGUAUUAAGAUGAAGGUUAUGAUUGGUUCAAAAGAUGCAUAGGAAGUUAUAGAAAAGGCUACAAAGGGAUUUUUUUUUAGAAAAUAUAAAUGAAAGUAUCUUGAGCAAAAAUAAGUGACAACUCCAACUUAUUUUCGAAAUAAGUUUUUCACAAAUAAAAGGAAUUCUCAUCGUCAAGUGAAGACACUUGAAAAAUACGGUCCACAAUAACCUUGAACUAUGUGGGUUUAUAUCAAUAAUCUUAUGGGCUAAAGUGACUUAUGUCCACCAUGGGUUUGGGUUACUUAAUCUAACCACUAGCUAGGUCUUAAUUAAUUUAUUCACCUUAAUGGGAUUCAAUUUCUUAAUUAGCAUAAUCCAAAAAACCAAAAAUAAAAAAUCAUAAGGUCAUGUGCAACCUUACAUUGUUUUACAAAAAAAGAAAAAACCUUAUGCACACAUGACUAAUUAAACCCAAUUUCCCUCAAAAUAUUUAUGCUAACAAAGGCUUUGAGCUUAAGCAAGGACCACUAGGAACUAUAGGAAAAUAGUAUUUCCCUUAUAAUCCAAUUCUAAGUUGACUUAACAUUCUACCUAAAAAGAUCUCAUUGUACUAUAAUACCUAUGAUAUUACAUUGAGAUAAAAUUAAUUAAAUCUAACUUAAUUAUUUUAUUAGGUCUUUAAUUAGUAUCCAUAGUAUAUAUGAAGGCUUCUCAUGAACUAGUAUUCAUAAUCUAGCAAGGUAAUAACUAUCAAUCAUUCAAGUUUACCUUUACAAUCCUUAAGCUUCAUAUGCUUCUAUUUUGUGAUCAAUUGACAUACUCUACAAAUUUCAUGAUCACAAUUCCUUGGGAUCAUAAAAUAAAACACACCAUCUCAAUCUUAUAAAAUAUCAUUGUGCCUUUGUUAAGAAUAUCUAUAGUCACUUGCCUUAAUCAAAAUUAACGUAAUCCGUAGGGAAUAUGUGACUACUUAAGGGUCUCACUUAUAGGUCAAAGUCACUGAAAACAUUAGUGCUAUCUCAAUAUCCUCUUAAACUUGAGAGUGCAUGCAACAUAGUAACUUGAUGAAGUCAUGACUAUUGAUAACCAAUGUCAUGACUCAUUAUAAGUCUUGUCUAAUGUGUAACCAUACAAACUUGUGUACUCACCAUGGGAAACCUUGUAAGGAAUCCCAUUGAUUACUCCAUUUCUGUCCUUAGAUUAGUUAUGGUGCAUGCUAUUCUUUCUAGGCCUCUAUAUCCUAUCAACAGAAGCAUAAUAGAUAUAAAAAAAAAACAUUCAAGAUGUAGAGUUUAGUGAAUUACCUAAGAUAUGUUCCCAUAUCUAAUCUAGUUAGUCUAAAGAAGUGUUAAAGACAUGGUAGUGGUGUUAGAUAUCAUGAAUCCACUAAUCUUCCGUAGUAAUGACUCUUCCUUGACUCUAAACACUAAAAGGGUAGAAUCUUCUCUAAGGUUAAUGACUAAAGCUCUUUCUCUUUCUCUUUCUCAUGAAUCCAAUUAAUCAAUUAGCCUAUUAAAAAGGUAUCAUUCACUUAUGAAACCUUACAUAUUUACCAAAGUACUCUUACGCACACAAGUGAACAAUGAACUCAAACAACCCUCAUAAAUCGUGUCAUCAAGGAACUCUAGCUUGAGUAGGGACCAUUGUAACUUAUAGGCAAAUAUUGGCUCCCUUAUAAUCUAAUUCCAAAGUUAACUCAACAUCCCAUUACAAAGUGUCAACUACACUAUAGUAUUCUAUGUAUCUUAUAGUGUAUUGGGGUUCAUGACCUACUAUCCACUAGAUAUAGGCUCCUCAUGAAUUGGUGUCUAUAAUCUAACAAGUAAAUGUUAUCAAUCUUCUAAAAUUACCGCUACAAUCCUUAAUUCUUAGAUUCUCCUAUUGUGUGAUCAACUGACAUACUCUAAAGCUUAUGUCAAGUUCCAAUAAAAGAAUUACUACGACCAUAGGUUUCCUAAGCAUAUGUCUUUAGGAUUAUAACAUUGAAUUUGUUAUUUAUCAUACCUUCCCCUUUCGUUUUACGUUGAGUUGCAUCACAUUCCAUGCUUUCUUAAGGAAUAUGAGUUUUGAAUUUUUUUUUUUUAUAUUUUUUAUUGUUUGAUAAAUUGAAACCACCUCUUCCUGUAUUGCCUUAACAAUGUCCAUGAUUGUUAGGACUCCUUUCAUUAAGGUUUUCUUCAUAAUAUUUUUAAUAUAAGUUUUCUUUGAAGAACUUGUUCUAAUUUUUCAUGGUUCUUCAUUUUUAAUCUCUCUUCAUGAACUUGCAAUGAUUCCAUAAGUUGAUCAAUAGUCAUAGAAUUUAAAUCUUAAUUUAGAUUCUUCAAUGGACAUAAUAAUAUAAUUAAACUUCAAAUCUAAAUAUCAAGUAUUUUUUUCAAUCACACAAAUGCUAUUCAAACUUUCAUCAUUUCUUUUUAAUACGUUCACAAUAGUCAAUACUCUAGAAAAAUAAUCAAAGAUUGAUUUUAAUUCUUUCAUAUUCAAACUUUCAAAUUCUCUUUUUAAGAGUUUGAAAAUAAAUAUAAACUAUUUUUUGUGGCUUUUAUAAUAUUUUUUAAGCUACUUUAAGGUGGUCGCACUUAAAUCUUUUCAAAAGUUACCUUCAUCUAUUGCUUAAUGAUGAAGCUAAGAGCUUUUUUGUCCCUCUUUUUUAUGUAUUUCAAAAAAUCUUUUCAAUUUAGGGAUUAAGUGGUUUCAUCUUGUGACUUUUCAUCCUUUUUCUAUAACUCAUCAUACAUCUUGUGAACCAAUUAGAAAAGACUUCAUCUUGAUACUCUAUUUAUCAUAAUUGUCUCUAUUGAGUUAGGAACUUGAAAUCGAGGCGCCUCACUUGUCUUUUUUUUUUUUUUUUCUUUUUGGUAUGAAUCUGAGACUAACUAAUUUUUUUAAAGUAAUAGAGUUGAAAGAGAAACACAAACAUCAAGGAGAACUAAAAAUUAUUGUUUUUAGAACUAAAAAUUAUCAAUUGGAUCUCAUGACCAAUUUGCUUGGCACCCAUUCUCCUCAAUUUAUUGCAAGGUUUUGUUUUGAAUUUCCAUCAGUCAAUUUUUCCUAUUAGGAAAACUAUUAAAGAUUUUACAAUACUUGUAGAUUGGGAAUGAAAAGCCUAAAAGAUAUCUAAAUAACAUCGAAAAAAAAACACUAAUUCCUUUCUCACAAAAAAUUCUGAAUAUAAAUCCAUUGUUUGUUUGCUUGAUGCAACAUUUGCUGGCAUUUGAUCCUAAAGAUUGCUCAUCUGCUAACAAGAUUAAUUUAGUUGAACCAUCUAUAGUUUAGCAUCAUAUAUUAUAUUCAUUUACAUAAGAGAUCUUUUUAAUAUGAAUUUCAAGUAAGUUUGUUUCGUGAUACUAGCAUUUUUUUUUUUACAAGCACUAACUAGAUAAUCCAUAUUUUUGUGGUUUAGCAAAUUCAGAAAAUGAACCGUCAACACAACCCAUUUCAAAAAUUGAGGUUGAAUCUGAGAGGAGUAGAUUGACAAAAUAAGAUGUUGGAGAACUAAUUUAUAGAGGUAUGACCAUGGUGAGUCAUAUUGUUUUAUUUAGUUAUUUAGUUAUUUAGUUAUUUAGUUAUGGAGAGGUAUGACAAAAGAAGCUCAAUUUUUAUACUCCAUAUGAUUGGAUUAGGGGGCUUAGUUGCAAAUUGGUUGUUUCGUUUUAUUACAAAGACUAAAUGCCUUACUCCUUUGUUUCAACAUCUUUGUUUGUUAAGAAAAUUAGAGGCAUAGAAAAAAUUACUAGUUUGCUAAAGAACUAAAUUAGUAGGGAGUUAUAGUCUACUUGGUCUCCUGGUGACAAACAUAAUGCAUAGAAAACUCUCUUUUAUUUCAUUUCUCCAUUCAACAUAAAGUGAUAUUAAACAAAAAUCCAAGAGAAAAUGGCAAAUUAGGAAAGAAGUUCUCUCUAGGACUCAAACUAUUCCCAAAGUUGAAAUGUUUGAGAAAGAACCUAAAACUAAAGUUUAUUGAAACAUUUUAUUCACAAAAUACAAGUGCUAUAAAAAAUGAAUUUUGUUGGAGCUCAUCAUUUCUAUUAAAAUAUAACCAUAAGUCUCAUUCUUCUCUCCACUCUAAUACUCUCACAUGAUCCACAAGCCUCACUAACAAAUUCUGCAAUAGCAAGAAUAUUCCUUGUCUUCUAUUAUUCUUUGUCUCCCUUGCAUCUUAGAAUUUUUAAGUGUCCAAAUGCCCAUUUUAAAUUACUAUUUUUAUGGUGAUUUUCUUAUAUAUGUAUUAUCUGCUUUACUUUCAUUGUAGGGUGAUUUUCUCAACUUGGUAUCGAGUCUUCUCAAAGGUAAACGCCUUUCUUCUUUCAAUAUUGAUGGAGAUGAAAAAUCCUAGCACUCUUGUUAUAACAACUUCCUCAUCAUUGAUGAUAGAUCCAACAUUGCAGCGAGUAGGCAAUAUUGGGAUUGGAAACACAAUUAUACCAUUCAGAAAUAUUGUCAGUCAUGCUCUUUCGGAUUGACACAAUUUCCUUCUCUAAAAAAUGAUGAUUACACCAAUGAUUCAAGGUCACAGACUUAAUGAUUAUCUCUUGGGCAUAAAGCCUUGCCCACUAGAAUAUAUUCCUCUCCCAACAACAACAACUAUCUUUCCUGACUCUGGGCUUCAACCUAACUUAGAAUAUGAGUAGUGGAUAAUAAACAACCAACUAUUCUUAGUCUAGCUUUAUAGCUCCAUGAUUGAAUCAUAGCUUCUCAACUAUUGGGUUUUACAACCUUAGUUAAAGUGUAGAAAAGCCUUAAGAGAUUAUUUAGCUCAUAGUCUAAGGCUAAAAUCUAAACAAAUCAUACUGCUAAUCAAACCACUCAUAAAGUAAAUUAGACCUUUAAAGAAUAUCUAAAUAAGAUGAACUCAUUUUCUAAUGGUCUUGCCAUGGUAGGAGAACCUUUUCCUAAGAAAAAUCUUAUAUUUUAUGUUCUAGCCAAACUUGAUUCUAAAUACACUCAUUGUGUUUCAAAUCAAUGCAAAAAAAAUUAUCUUAUGACAAAGUUACAAGAAAUUUUGUUGAGUUAUGAUAGUAGAUUAGAGCAACUAAAUACCUUGGUAAACAAUACCAGUCUAAAUCAACCAUCUAUAAAUUUUUCUUUUAAAAACUCUAGAAAUUAGAGUAACAAUAGACCUCAUGGUCGAAGCUCAACAUAAGAAGGAAAUUAUUCACCAAAACAAGGGAUUCUUCAUGGAAGAUGAGGUCAUUUUAGAGGCAGAGGAGGAUGCAACAACAACUCAAAACCAAUCUAUCAAGUUUGCAAUAAAUAUGGCCACUCAACCGUAAUUUGUUACUAUCAAUUCAAUUAAAAUUAUAUAAGAACAACUCCGAAUCAGAGCAAGGCACAACCAUCAGCUUUUGUUACUAAAUAACCAUGAGCUUUUGUUGCUUCCCCUGAACAGUUUCAAAUCCAAAUUGGUACGAUGAUAGUGGAGCUUCAAAUCAUGUGAUAGGAGACUUCAAUAAUUUGAAUCAAAGGGUUGAGUAUCAUGGUAAGGAAACUCUCAAUAUUGGUAAUGGUGAUCAACUAGAUAUAACUCAUAUUGGACACUCUCAUUUACAUCCAUUGUUCAUAAUAUUCCCUCAUUGUCUCUAAAAAAUAUAUUUCAUGUUCCAACAACUAUAAAAAAUCUAUUGUGUCAAAACUAACAGUAGAUAAUGAUGUUUGUCUUGAAUUUCAUUCUAAUGUUUGUUAUGCUAAGGACAAGGCAACAUGGAUAAUUUAUUAUAAAGGAAGCUUAGAGAUGGAUUGUACAAUUUGGAGCUACCUACUCAUUCCUUGAAUCAUAUAUCCUCUCAAAUUUCAAUAGUCCAGCAUCAUGCCCAAUUCAUUUUAUUGACAAACUUUGUUUACUUAAUGUUUGUUCAACUUCAGUGUCUUCUUGUUUUCAAUCAAGUAGUGGUGUCUUAAGUAAUGCUUUAGUUCAAGAUGCUUGCCACAAGAGACUUGGCCAUCCAUUUGUCAAAGUCUUGCAUCAAAAUCUCAAAAACUGUAAUGAAAAAUAUUCAAUGAAUGAAAAGCCAUAUUUUUGUGAUGCUUGUCAAUUUGGUAAAACUCAUGCUCUUCCUUUCAAGUAGGCUGAAACACACUCCAAAGCACCAUUAGAUUUGAUUUAUUUUGAUAUUUGGGGUAUAAAUAUUACAUUCACUUUCUUGAUGAUUAUACUCAAUUCACAUGGAUCUAUCCUCUUAAAUAUAAAUCCAAAGCUAAAAAUGUUUCCAUUCAGUUCAAAAGUUGUGUAGAAAAUAGAUUUGAAACAAAGAUUUAAACAUUUCAAAGUGAUUCAAGAAGAGAAUAUAGAUCUUUUGUUCCCCUGCUAAAUUUAUUUGGCAUUCUUUUUCAACAUCCAUGUCCUCGCAUGCAUGAACAAAAUGGAAGAGCUGAAAAAAAGCACCAGCAUAGUAUUGAUAAAAAAUCGAUUUAACUUUGUUAGCUCAAGUUGGAAUGCCCUUGAAAUAUUGGUGGGAAUUUUUUCACAUUGUUGUUUUUCUAAUAAAUGGAUUGCCUACACAGGGUCUUCUUAGUCUUUCACCAUUGUAAAAACUCUAUAAAAAGAAACCUGAUUACCAUUUUCUUAAAACCUUUGAUUGUAGUUGUUUUCCAUGCUCGAUAUCUUAUCAAAACCAUAAAUUUCACUUUCAUUCAUUAAAGUGUGUGUUUUUAUGAUACAAUAAAUCACAUAAAGGUUAUAAAUGUUUAAAUUCAAAUGAGAGGAUUUUUUUGUCAAGACAUGUGAAGUUUAAUGGGAAUGAGUUUCCUUUUAGAACUAAUUUCCUACAUACAAAUGAGUCUCAUCCUAUAAAUCAAGUAGUCAUUGUUUCUUUGUUUUAUAUUUCCAUUCAGUCUACUAAUCAUUCUUCAUUACGGUCAAGUCAAUUCUUGUCCCAACCUAGUUCUUCAAAUGGUACAAAACUCUCGACAGGUUCUCAUGCAGCAAGAACUCAAUUGAAAUCUUCACCUUUAAUUCCAUUUUCAUCACAUUUUGUUUCUUCCACCAAUUCAACAGAUCAAACAUCUCCUUCUCUUGCUAAAACUUCAUCUCUUAUAUCAAAAAACCAUAUCCAUUACAAGACGGAUGGGACUCUAUGGCCUGAACAAACAACUGUAAUAUAGAGAGGGCGAGUAUGAUCAGAACCCUCCGGUGGUAGAUCAUCAGUAGAAAACACAAUGCAAGUGGCCCUAUCAACUGUCAUCAUAUGAAUCAAUCCCUCUGGAGUAGUAGAGGUCUCAACACGUAUCUGACUCAAAGCUCGAAUAAGUGCAUCUCUAUGGAUGCUAGAAGUAGCCAACAAACUCCAAAUGGAUAUCCGAGCCUGGGUACUCUGCAACUGUCUCAAUAUCUCAUCAUCCUCCCUCUUGACCUCCUCACGAGAGUCCGUACCACCAAAUGGUCUGGUAACUGGAGGUGCAGCCUGGGCUAUCCUCCCACUACGGGUCAUAACCUAUACAUCAACAUCCUCAGGCCAUAGAAUAAACAGAGCAAACAUGUCCCUAUGCCCGACAUAUGAUGGUGUAAAAGGAAUCAACUAUAACGGUGCUCUAUCCAGGAUCAAACUGAAUGGUGCAGGGAUCGAAAAAUCUGAUGUGGCUCCUACAAUCUCAUAGCCAUCGUCUGGAACAAUCAUCUCAGGCAAUCCAUCAUCCCAACUCAGCAUGUGUAUGACAUCGUCCUGAACAAAAUCCAUGUGAUGAAUACCACUAGUAGGCGGAGGCACCGAAUGUGUGGUGUGAGCAGGUAAAGGGUUCGUGGUCACACUUGGCUGUCCCAAGUUAACCAGACCCUGAUCUAUCAAGUCCUGAAUAGCAUGUCUUAGAGCAGAGCAGCGGUCGGUGUCAUGUCCUGGACCCUGAUGGUAAGCAUAGUGGAGGUCCAUCCUGAACUGAGGUGGCAAAGGUUGAGGUGGUGGUCUCGGUGCUAGUGCAGUCAACAAUCCUCCCUCCAUGAGCAUCUGGAAAGCUCUACUCAAAGGCAUUCCCAACUGGAAAAACUGCAGCAUCGGUCUCGGUGCAGAUGGAGCCCUAGGCUGAGGAUAAUGAGCAGGUGGCCUCUGUGUGGUCUGAGUAGCAUAAAAUGGCUGUGGAGCUGAGUGUAGAUAUGUGGGAGACAUAGGUCUAAAAGGAACAGGUGACCUAUACUGCACAUGGGGUGAUGGCGGAUAAUAAACUCCAGAAGUCUGUCCAACUGUCUAAUAAUAUCUGGGGGGCCUCGGUCUGACGGCACUAAUGGCGCUGACGUCCCCUGGUCUCUGUCCAAUAGCGGGUUUCUUCCCUUUCGAGUCUGAAUGGGAAGAAUUAGGCCACAAACCUCUAGCAAUACCCUCCUCAAUACCAUAUAAUGCCUGCACCAAAGAUCCAAAGUCCACGUGUGGGAACCCCAUCAAAUGUCUAGCAAAUCGAGGCUGCAAGCUCUUCAUAAUCAUGCUGAUCCGAUCCCUCUCAAACGACCUAUCAAUGAUUUAGGAAAUCUUCUCUCUCCAACGGGAGAUGAAUGAUGUGAUUGUCUCAUCCGGCCUCUGCCUCAAGGCCUCUAACUCCCUCCGUGAGACAUCUAUGACAAUGUUAAAUGCAAACUGUCGCAGAAACUCCUAGGCUAAAUCAUCCCAUGUACGACGACGUGAUACAUCUAAAGAAGCAAACCAACGUUGGGCCGCCCCGCUCAAGGACAUGGGGAAUAGCAUAAUCAUCUGAGCCUCAUCCAAGCCGUGGGCCCUCAUAACAGUACUAUAUAGUCUCAAAUGAAUGCGCGGACAUCCAAUCCCUGUGUAUCACUCGAUCUCUAGCAUCCUAAACUUGGCCGGCAGACUGGCCACUGGUAGUCCAUCAAAAUCAUCCCAUCCCAUACCUCCAUCUGAUACUCUCAUCUGUCUCAUCUUCUACUCAAGCCUGUCCAUGCGUGCAUGGGUAUCCUCCGAGGUUGAAACAACCACCAUGGCAGGCGGUGGGGUAAUCUCAGUCUGACUCUGUAAAGUAAAUGGUGUAGGCUGUGGAACUGUCUGACCAAGUGGGGGAGGUGGUGGCAUCUGAGUGUCCUGUGGAGCUAUCUGACUAGGCGGGAGAGGGAGCGGAAUAGUGGGAUCAUACUACACACUCUCCUGAACUGGAACCUGUUGGGCCUGCUGCCCAUCCAUCUUCUAGCCAAGGCUAGUUAUGGCCUCCUGGAUCGAAGCCAUAGCAGCAACAAACUGAUCAACUAUAACCACCUGCGAAUCCAUAUCUGUCUGAUCUGACUGGUUUGACACUCUAAUCAAUCUCCCUCUAACUCUAAUCCAAGAAGCUGAACCCAGAUCGAACGUAUCAAUACUCCUACAAUAGUGGAAAUACUAGAUAAGAUACGGUGUAAAGAAAACUCUACAAGGAAUGUCUAUCAACUAUACAGGAAGGUAACCUGGAAGUACUCAAACUAAUAUCCAAUUCUAAGUGAAUAUAGAAGAGACUACUACGAAGGUAACUAAACCUAUUACUACUAACCCAGCUCUGAAGGACCACAGAUGCACCCACGUGUAGGAAGAGAAUCAUAAUAGGGCCUAAGCUUAACCUAAAAGGACAAGGUGGCUCUAAAAAUAACAAGGUGGGUUAAAGGAUCCCUAGCAGAAGCGAUCAUACCCUCCAGCGGUAUGCAACCCUCUGCACGCCUCCGAAGAGACGGGGCGCUUCCAUGCAAGGUGGUCAUCACCUCCACACAUGCACUACCUCAACAUCCCAGGGGGUUUCCUAUGGCGAAAGCUCUCACAAUUCUCAGCACUCAGUAGUCAACUAAAGUGCACAAUGAGUGGUGUGGGUGCAUCUGAAAAUCCUAUGAAUCUAAAAUAGAAAAAAAAAAAAAAAAACACACUAGUCACACAAAUAUCCAUAAAACCUAGCUCUGGGCUAUACAUGUCUUCAAAGAUCGGACUUCAAUCAGUAUCAGUGUGUCGGCUUUCUCCAGAAUGCUCCCAAACAUCAAUAUAGCCCAUCGCUAGACCCUACUCCUAACCACUAGCUCGGUCAGAGAAACAAACACACACAAGGUCUCACACUUGCAAAUGUAAGAACCGAAAGGAAGGAAAUGACCAAAACCAGAGGGUUGGAGGUAAGGGGAUAUAUGUGCGACCCACACAGACAAGCAACAUGCAAUCACACAGGAGAAGAGUAGUCAUGCAACAAGCAAUCAAGCAAAGCGCAAAUACAUCAUUCAUGUCUACAUACAAGCUAAACGAGAAUAAGAAAAUCAAGACGGAUAGUGACAAAGACAGCAUGCUCAAAGAUGAUUAAGAUAAUAUACAAGUGAGAUAAUCAACACAUCCAAUCAGAAUAUAUACAACAAUGAGUCUAGACAUGUGAGGUGAACAGAACAAUCAUGGCAAGAUCAAAGUCACUAUGCUAAGACAGACAAGAUAAACAAUCAAUGUCAUCAACACGUUAAUGUCCCAAAUGAAUAUGAUAGUCAAGCAUAGCAAAUCAUCACAUCAAACUCUCAGUGUGCUAUGAACACUCGAUCAUAGAAAAACACAAAGAGAAGGUAUCCAUCAAUCGACUAAUCAAACGCCAUAUUUGCCUCAACUUAAGUUCGAGCUUGAUCUUCUAUGAAACCAGAGAUUCUGGGUUUGAUCCCCAGUGGAGUCGCCAAUUUGUGGAACCCGCAUUUUUAAUGAUGCAUUCCAACUCAAUCGGCGAGACUCGCUUUUCGUUUAUUUGGUGAAAAAUAUGUUUCUUAGAAAAGACUUGGAGUCGCCACUUACUCUUAUUUAUUUUUAAAGGGGAAAACAAGUAAGAAUAAAACCCCUAAAUGGACUCCUGAUUUUUUGGAAAAGCUGUCUGCGAAAAACCUGAGUCUGGGUUCGGGGAUCAGGUUACUUAUUGGGAAGGUACGGUAAAGACUGUAGCACCCCUCUAAGCCCCUAAAAAAAUGGGUCUCUACUAAAUAAGGUGAACUAGACAUGGAAAUUAACUAGAAGAUCAAUGGAUACCAAAAUGAUCAUAGUUCAAAAAUAAGUCAUGAUGACGAAAUGAUAAACGAAGUGAGAGUGAGAGUGUACCUUAGUAGCAGGUAAUAAAGCGCUGAAUAUGCUUCCCUCCUACAGUUGAUAAAAUGACCAGCCCUCUUUACCAGAAUUUCUCUACCUCCAUUUUUUAGAAGACCUCUUCGUUUUUUUUUUUUUUUUUUUUUUUUCUCUUCUCCAAACCUCUACUCCAGACCUCUUCUUUUCCUGCAGACUCUCAGAAAAACCUCCUCCUCCUCUAGACUCCUCACAUCGUUCUUAAAAACCUCUCAUCUUUGCCGAUCUCUUCAUCUCCUUCUCAAAAUCCUCAACUUCUUUAAAAAAACUCUAUUCCCCACUCUGUAGACACUCUUUUAAAAAAAAACUAUCCUCUUCCCAAGAUCAACUUACCUGUCUCUUCCCCAUAAAACCCCUUUUACAUCACCAACCCCCUUUUGUUCUUUUUUUUUUUUUUUUUUUUUGAAACGUGGCAUCCCUCGUCUUGCAUCUUUUGGGAGUUACCAAACUCCCAUGCAAAAUAAAUAAAUAAGUAACUACAAAAAAAACCUUAUAAUAAUAAUAAAUAAAAAAAUCAUGCUAAUUGGAAACAAAAAUAGAAAAUAUCAAUACAUGCAUAUACGAGAAAAAUCUAAGGAUUAAUUCAUGCAAUAAUGAUAAUAAUAAUAAAUAAAUAAUAAUAAUAAUAAGAUCACCAAUCACAUGCAAUUCUCUGAAAAUAAAUUAAAUAGAUAAAUAAAGAAAUAAAAUAAGAAAAAUAAAUAAAUACCAAAUGCAUAUAAUUAAUAAUCUAAAUAUUAAACUAAAACACAAUAAGGAAUUAAAUUUUAAAAAUAAAAAUAAAUAAAUAAAUAAAUAAAAAGAAACAAACAACCAAAAUAUCAAAUUGACACAAUUAUAAAUCGAAAAUUCGUCUGAAGUCAUCAAAAAAAAUUCAAGCCAAAUACUCACCUAAUCUAAAAAAAAUCAAGCAAUCAAGAAAUUAAUCUUAGGGAAUUAAACCCAAAAAAAACAUCUAAGUGACCUAGGCCAAAAAGUGUCUAAGUGACCUAAGUGAUGUAGGGUGAUUAGAAAUGUGUCAAGUGACCUAGGAGUGUACCUAAUGGGCCAAGUGCAUCUAAAUGGGCCUAGGGUGCAAAAGUGGGCCUAAAAUGGUGCCCAAUGGGUCAUCAGAGAAUUAUUGUAAAGUAUCAAAUGGACACGUAAUAGAACAUGUGCUAGUAGGACAAAAUAGAGGGUCUACAAUGGGUACUUCUCCUUUGUUUUCCCUUUUGACAAGUACCACAAAUAGGUACCAAAAUGUAUUUCUUGCCACCUAAACUCUCAGUUCUCAUUAGUGCCAUGAGGUCCAUGUGUAAGAGUUCUAAAGUUUUAUAGGUCAAAAUUUCAUCAACUCUCCUAUGGGUACUUCUCAUUUAUUUUUCCUUUUGACAAGUACCACAAAUAGGAUUGGAGAAUUUUCUAAACUUAGGAAUCUUUUUCAUGACUUCAUUGUUAGCAACCUUUAUCAAGUCACAAUAGUUCAAAUCACCCAACUUACGAUGCCACAAAUCAAUCAAUUCAAUUUUUGAGCUACGACACACAAGAGAAGAGGAUGAAAAAGAUUCUUGACUAACAACAUAGCGAUUAUCUAAAGUUCUCAAUCCAAUGAUCGCACAAUUUCCAUUAAAAUCAAACGUGUUACGUAAAUUUUGUGAAAAUUGAACAUUGAACUUCUUGUCACAUAUUUGACUAAUUCUAAUCAAGUUAGCUUUCAAUCAUUCCACAUACAAGUCCCCUUCAAUGUUAGGGAUGCCGAGAGCAGAAAUUGUGCCUUUCUCUUUCACACAAGCAACAUUACUAUCACCAAAUGUCACAUUUCAUCUAUCAAAUUCAGUGAAAUUAGUGAAGAAUGAUCUAUUAUCUAUCAUAUGAUGUGAACAACUACUAUUAAAGUACCAUGAGUGUGACUCACUAGCUCUAAGUGUAGUGUGAACAACAAGGCAAUUAAGUUCAUUCUUUUUCAUAUAUAUUUGUUUGACACUUAUGAUUUUGGUCAUUCCAUUAGAAGUGCUUCCUUGAAAACCACUAUGAUAUGGGACAUUUGAAUCCCUCUUGAACACUCUCUUGCCACCUUGCAACAACUGAUUUCUCAAGGUAAAUGAUUCAUUUAUAAGGUUCGUCAACUUUCGUUGAAAACUCUUAAACAUUCUAGCAUAACAUCUAUCAACUGUGUGUCCUAUUUUAGUGUAAUGAGUGCAAUGAAGUUUCAGUUUAGAAAGAGUUUUCUUAGGGAGCACUCCUUCACAAGGCUUGACAAAGUUUUUUUUAUCACUACUUUGAGUGGUAGCUUUAUCAACAAAACCUAAGCCUCUUUUAUCAAAUGAUUUCCUCAUUGAAUUGAUCAAAUCACUAAGUCUUUUAGAGCUAGGAUGUGACUCUUCUUUCCUAAGACUCAACUCAUUUUUAAACACUUAAUUUUCACUCUUCAAUUCAUCACACAUUUUCUUCAUGUCAAAUUGUUCACUCUCAAGAAAGGCAAUUUUAUUAGGCAAAGACUUUUUUUUUUCUCCCUUUAGAGUCUUAACUUCAUUAAUUAAACUCUUUUUAGAAGCCUUCAACUCAACUUGUUUCUAUUUGAAACUCAAGCACUCCUUGUAUAAAGUCUCAUAUACAAGGUCAAAACUCAUUUCAUCAUCAUCGAAGUCACUUGACUUGCAAAAGUCACUUAGAACCUCUUUCUUAAGUAGUUUCUCAAUGACACUUGCCAGAAAGGUUGUAAAGUUAGGGCAUUCCUUGCUGCCAUUGGAUUUGUUUUCACUUGAUUAACAUAAUUCCAUGUCACUUUAAGUGACUUGCAUGACCUUCUUUCUUUUUUUCUUUGAGGGACAUUCGGUGGCAUAGUGCCCCUUUCCCCUACAUUUGAAGCACUCAAUCUCAAACUCCUUUUUGACAUGUCUAUAUUUCCUUUUUGUCUUUUUCCACUUGAUUUUCCCAUUGGAUUGUUCCAUUUUUUUUAUUUAGACUUAUUCUUAUAUCUCCUAAACUUCAUAUACUUCUUAAAUUUCAUAGCAAAUCUAGUGACUUCUCCAUCCAACAUUUUUUUUAUCACUCUCACCUUCGAAACCUAAGGACUUCUCUUUAAUGGCAUUCAAGGAAAUGCCCAUUGAUUUCGUAGGUGAUCCAAGAGUCAUUCAAAGGUUUGGAGGGAAUCUACAAGUUCAUCUACUUUCAAGGAAUCCACAUCCUUGGACUUUUCAAUGGUGGUGAUCUUUUCUCUAAAUAUCUCUAGAAGAGAUCUUAGAAUCUUUCUAACCAUUUUCAAGUGAAUGAUGGGUUCAACUAGAUUAAAGAUAGAAUUCACAAUUGUGGGCCUGCAUUUUUCAUGUGCAUCCCCUCUCAUUGGUGAGACUUGCUUUUGGUUGGUGAAAAAUUAGUUUUGGAAAAUUUGGAGUCACCUCUUAUUUUAUUUUAUUUGAAAAAUGGGAAAUAAAAUAAAAAAGAAAACCCUAAAAUAGUGACUCUAAAGUUUUGGAAAAACAUGUCUUCGAAAAGCCUGAGUCUAAGUCCAGGAAUCAAGUUACCUAUUGGGAAGGUACCUCAAAGAGGUAGCACCCCUCUAAGACUAAAGAAGUCUCUACUGGCUAAGUUGAAGGAAAUAACACACUUAAUAAAUUGAUUAUAGAUACUUAGAUUGGAUAAGGUGAUUUUAAAACUAGCAUGCCAAACAAGAAAGCCAAAUUGUAAUCAUAAAGAGGAGUUAGAGUGCGUACCUGGAUCGCUUCUUAAGCAUUAUCACAAGACAUCAAAGUUAGUUAUGGAAUAUGGCACACAACAUGCAUUACAUCUCAUUUAAAUAAUCAAUAAUAAUCAAAGCAUACGAACAAAUAGCAUAUAUCAUAAUUUCCACACUGAAAGUUUGCAUAUAUGCAUAAUUAAAGGGAUAAAAAGUGUGAGAGAUGUUCCUGGAUAGCACGCAUAACUUACAGCAUGCUUACGUGUAAUGAAAUAAAGUUAGAACAAUUCAUGAAACAAAUAACUAUGAUGCAAAACACUAAUAUAUAUGACAUAUGCAUAACAAAUAACAAAUACGUAAAUCAUACAAACUAACGAAAAUAUUCAUCAAGAAUUAACAACUAGGACUUGAAAAACAUGCACCUAAAUUGAGAAUAACAAAUCAAGAACAAGUUUAAGAUCACCUAAACACACAAACACAUCUAGACUAGAAAAUAAAUUAAAAUUGAACUAAAUCAUAAUUAAAAAUGUAAACUUUAUUUAACAUGAUUAACUAAACUAUUGGAUUAAAAUCACUAAACAUCCAAACUAAAAGAUAGAUUAAAACUAAACUAAUUUGGAAUUAAAAAAUAUAAACUUUAUCUAUUAGGAUUAAGUAAACUAUUGAAUUAAAAUCACAAACAUAUUUAAACUAAUAGAUAAAUUAAAAUAAAAAACUAACUAGGAAUUAAAAACAUGAACUUUAACACUUGGAAAUCAUUAGAUUAACAAACUAAAAUAAUAAAAACACCUAAACUAAACAUAUAGACUAAAACUAAAGUCAAGAAAAAUAAAGUUAUGGACUUGAUCACAUGAAUUAAAAAUAGAACUAAACUAAAAUUUAAACUUUCAACGUGUCAAUUUUUAUUUUUUUUAAAAAGACCAAAACUAAAAUUUAAACUUUCAAUAUCUCUGCAAGAAUUAAAAAUAAAAAAUAAAAACUAAACCAAAAUUUAAGUUUUCAAUAUUUCACAUGAAUUAAAAAAGAACCAAACCAAGAUUUAAGUUUCCUCAAUUUAAUAUGAAUCAAAAUAGGGCUAAAAAAAACUUUUUAAAUUAAAUAUGAAUUAAAAAUUAAACUAAAAGAAAAUUAACUUACCUUUGCUAAAAAUGAGUGUGGGGCUGUGAAGGGAUUUUUCGAAGUGCAAGCCUGUGCGUGGUGCUACAAAAAUGGGUUGUGUGUAAUUUCCAAUGCUGAGGUUUAACUGACUUUUUUCCUCCAAAAAAAAUCUAGGUGGUGUUCUUGAAAAAAACAAAGAAACAAACAAACAAACAAACAAACAAACAAAAAAACAAAACCUCAUAAUCCCCUUUGAUUCCCCCACUGUGUAGUCUUCCAUUGUGCUCUUAUCUCCUAGUGCCCACCGUUCUUUUUACUCUCCUAAACCAUAAUCUCCUCUUUUUCAAAAUUUAAAACUUAUCCUCUCUAUUUCCACAAAAAUAAAUAAAUAAACUUCUGAUUUUCCAAUCUAAAACUUAAUCUCUCCAUUUUCAAAAAAUAAUUCCGAUUUUCUAAUAAAUAAUAAUAAAAAUAAACAAACUAAAUCUUCUUUUUUUAAAAGAAUAUUUUGAUGCUAAUUUCAAAACUUAAUUUCAAACUUAUCCCCUCAUUUUAGAUAAACAAUCUAAUUGGAUUCCAAUUAAAAAAAAAAACUAAAUUUCCUUUUCAAGAAAAAAAGAAAAAUCUGAUUCUUCAACUUAAAACUUAUCCUCUCUUUUCAAAUAAACAUUUUGAUUUUCCAAUUUAAAAACUUAAUCUCUCAUUUUUAAAGAAUAUUCAAGUGUCAACCCUUUCAUUUCAAAAAUAUUUUGAUUUUCCAAUUUAAAACUUAAUCUCUCAAUUUAAUAUAUAUAUAUAUAUAUAUAUAUAUCCGAUUUUCUAAUUAUUAGCCCAAAGGUUCUCCUUAUCAUGUUUUGAUGAUAACAAACCAUGGUUAAGUUACUAAUUGGUUUGAAUUAUAAAGAAUUUUAAGUGUUAAUUUGCAAAAUUCAUCAAAUGACCUAAUGGAUGCAAGAUCAAGACCUUUGGAAGACCUUUAAUCAUAGGUAACAUAUGUAAGAUGAAUGCAUGGGUGCACUUAGGUUUUACAUAUCAUUUCAUGCAUCUUUGAAAAACUCGAUUUAUUCUUUAAAGUUAUAGUUUCAUCAAAACUUGAGUUUUAUCAAAUGAACCUUAGGCAAAUCACUCCUAAAUUGGCAUAUUAAUUUACCUAAAGACCUUGCCUAAGUGUUAGUAGAGAAAAUAACAUAAAAAGAUAGAUUUUCGGGUCAAAAAUGGUGAACCGAUCUAGGCACUGUCCAAACCAGCUCAACCGACUAGGGUAUCGGUCGACCGGUUCCCUUUUCCCAGUUGAGGUUCGGUAGAGAUGAGAAAAAACACACUCUCUCUUCCAGUAGUCUUUCCUUCUUGGUCGAGGUAUAUGCCUUCCUGGUCAACCUCCGAUCGAGGUUCGGUCGAGGGUAACGAUCACUUGUCAAGCAUUAAAUGUUCCAACGACUAGUGAACUGAUUAACCCCCAGCUCGACCAGUUGAGGCAGCUUUUUUGUUCUCUUGGCUCCCGAGGUUAGAAACCUAUAAAUAGAGAGCUCCACUUCAUUUAUGAAAAAGAGAACACUUGCAUUUAUUUGUCUACCCACUUGUUAUUGCCUUAAAAGCUCUCAUUUCUUUCUUGGAGCAUUAAACUUUCAUUUGUAUAUCCUUUAAUCCACCUUUGUGAUUUAUCAUAGCCUUAAGUUGUAUUUGAGCUAUUGUUGAGCUAGGUUGAGAGAUUCAUUCUUAUUAAUUGAGAGUUAAAGCCUUCAAGUGAGGUGAAACUUGAAGAGAUUGUAUAAGAGCCCAUUCAAGUCGGAAUAUAAGUGUAAAGGUGAUUAGAAGCUUGGUUGAAGCUUCAAAUUAGUGGAACGCUCACUCAAUUAGGAGCUUGAGGAGAGUGGACGUAGGCAAGGAAGUGUCAAACCACUAUAAAAUCUGAGUUUGAUUUCUCUAACUCUAUCUCUUUGUAUUUGCUUUUAUUGUGCUUAAAUUUUUUGUAUUUAAAAAGAUUUUUUAAAAACCUAAUUCACCCCCCUCUUGGGUGUUUUUCUCUUUUAAGAUUAGCCUUUAUUUUCUCACUAAUAAAUAAACUAAAUCUUUUUUUUUUUUUAAUAUUCUGAUGUCAACCUUUUUUUUUCUAUUGGUAAGUUUCCUUGCAAAAGCAUCAAAUUUAUUAAAUUAAAUAAUUGAAUGAAUGAAUAAAUAAAUAAGUUAAUUAAAAAAUAAAAAAUAAAAUAAAACAGAAUGAUAACAAAUAAAAAUAAACAAGUGAUUGAUAAUAAUAAAAAUAUAAAUAUAAAUAAAUAAAUAAAAUGAGCCUUGCAACCAUGCAAGUCAUACAAGUCACACAAAGAAUGCCUAAAUGUUGACUUAAGUGUGCUUAAGGUGGCUCUAGGUGAACCUAAGUGUGCCUAGAUGAACCUAGAUGAGCCUAGGUGGGCCCAAAUGGGCCUAGGUGAGCUAGGUAAGCCUAGAUGGGCCAAAUGUGCCUAAGUGGACCUAAGUGGCCUAAAGGGGCUUAGGUGACCUAAAAGGGCCAAGGUGAUCCUAAAUGGGCUGAAUAUGCCUAGGUGGGUCUAAUGCGCCUAAAUGGGCCUAGGGGUGUCCAAAUAUGACUAGGUGGACCUAAAAGGUGUCUAAGUGGCCUAGGGUGAUCAAUGCCUAAGUGAACUAAGGUAAUCAAGAAAGUGUCCAAGUGACCUAAACAUGCCUAAGCAUGCUAUCCUAAAGGUGUGCCUAAAUUAGCUUUCCUAAAAAAUAAUAAAAAAUGAAAAUGCUAAAUCUAACUCGAGGCUACCAAGGGUCACAAUAAGAGGCCAAAUAAAUCCCUCAACCAAUCCUCAAGGUGGUUCAUAACGGUAGGUUACAUGAGUAGCAAUGGGCUAUCAAGGAACUGCUAUAGAGUAUUGAAAGAACACCAAAGACAUGUGCUAAGGGGACAAAAUGGAGGGUCUAUAAUAAUGUCCAUUAAUUUUGCAUGAAACUCUCCAAAGUUCUCAUGAUCUUCCAUCCUAAUUAUCUUAAACCUAGAGGUCAACAUUUGAAGUUUGGACACUUUCAUGACAUUAGUUCCUUUAUGAGUCACUUGGAGGAUAUCCUAAGCCUCCUUAGCCAAAGUACAUGUAGCAAUCCUACGGACUUCAUCCAUGCUAAUGGCAUUAAAGAUGGAAUAGAUGGCUUUAGCAUUGUUCUCGCUAGCUUCAUUUUCACCUAUAUCCCAUUCUAACUUAGGCUUUAUAACAUUUGUUGGUCUACUUUCUCUAUCUAACACCUUAGGUGGAGAUCAACUAAAUUCAACAGCAUUCCAAACUUUUUCACUUUGCAUUUUGAGAAAAUAUUGCAUUCUCGCUUUUCAAUGAGAAUAAUUUUCACUGGUUAAGAAUGGUGGUCUCCCAAUGGAAGCUUUCCCUUUAUGAGGUUCCAUGAUUGAGAUUCAAGGACCGAAAAUGAUUUUUCCUUUAAAAACUUUCUUCGAUACCAAUUAAAGGUGAAUCUCAAAUAUAGAACACACCUAGAAAGGGGGUGGAUAGGUGUUAUUAACCAAUUUAAAAGGUCUCCCAACAUAAUUUAUCUAACCUUAAAGAUUUUUACAAUUUUUUAUUUUCUUUUCAAACACAUUCCAAUACAAAGUAAAGAUCACAAUCAAAUAUGAAUGCAAUAACACUCACCAACAAGAUUAAAAUGCAAGUCACAUGCACAUGCUCCAACACUCCCCAACACAAUUCCUUAAAUCAAUUUAUGAUUAAAAGCAAGAGUAUAAUAUCUCAAAUAUGCCUAUGAACAAUAUGCAGAAACAACAUUCAAAUUAUCCAAAGGCAACUCAUAUCUAUUUCACCUCAAUAUUCAACCAAGUAUUAGAUGCCUAAAUAAUUUUUUUUUUAAAAAAAAAGCCAGAAGAUGAAAACAAAAUGAAGAGGAGAAUGAGAGACAAUGUCAAAUUUUACGUGGAAAACCUCCAAGGAAGUCAAAACCCACGAGCCUACAACCGAUAAAAAAUUCUACUAUGAAGAACAAUCAAGGUGUACAAAGAUUUACCUAAGUCAGGAUCUCUAAUCUCUCAUGGACUACUUCAUGACAAGCACCUUCUCACCUCACCAUCACACCUUCAUCUUCAGGAACAUGCUUGGAGUCCUUCCCAAGCUUGAUCUUAGCCUUUUCCUUGAUAUUCUAUCAAGAAGAAAAUGAGUUUUCACUUAAACCCAAAUAAUUGAGAAAUGAAUGUUUAAUGAACUCAACCCAUUUUUCUUUUAAAAAAACAAAAUCAUUAAAGGAUUGGCUUGAAGACUUGUAUGAAAAAUGAAAUUUUCUUGUAAAGCAAACAACCUCAAAAAGAAAGGAAACCAUGAGCUCAAGGCAUGUUGUUGCUCUCUUACAUGUAGAAAGAGGAAAUUUUCAUUUUAAAGGAAAAUGAAGCCCUUAAUCCAAUUGGAAAAAGCAAGGUAUGCAUCAUUUUCUUUUAGUUGAAUCAUGUUUAGUGGUGGAUUCCACCAAGUCAUGGUGGAUAGAUUCCAAGGCCAGCGAUGAUAUCUAUAAUUCUUCACAAGGGUUUCAACUAAGGAGAAGACUGAAGGAUAAGGAGAUGAAUCUAGCUCUAGCUUUUCAAGCAAGGAUUGUUGUGUAGCAAGUGAGAGAUGUUACUCCUAACUUAGAUAAUAGUUGUCUUCUAGAACUCAAAGAUUGUCUUUAUGUCCUUGAGUAUAGAAAAAAUUUGAUUUUGGUUUCUAAUUUAUGUAAAUUGAAUUACUCAAUGGUUCUUAAUAAUAAACAAGUUUGUAGUAAGAUGAAUGAUUUGUUUAUAUGCUUAGAAUCACUACUUGAUAAUCGUUAUUAUGUAUCUCCACUAUCUCUUUUACCGAGUAAUGAGAAUAAUCAUAUCCCACUUAAAAGAAAGGAAAUUAGCAUUAAUCAAACAUAGUUUUGGCAUUACAACUAGGCCAUAUUAAUCUAAACAGGAAACAAAGAUUAGUUAAGUCUGGAAUAUCACAAGUAUUGAUCCUAGAGGAUUUUCUAGUCUAUGAAUCUUGUAUAGAAGAUAAAAUGGCCAAGAAGACCUUUACUACUAAAGGAUUAGAGCCAAGGAGUGUUUGUUAUUAGGCAUGUUGACAUGUGUGGACCUUAUAAUGUCCAUGCAUGGGGAGGUAUGGAUACUUCAUCACCUUUAGAAAUGAUUACUAUAUGCUUCGAUAUAUUUAUUUGAUGCAUAGGAAAUCUGAUGCCUUAGAUAAAUUCAUUGAACUUAAUGUAGAAUCAGAAAACCAAUUGGGUAAACAUAUCAAGGCUUUUCAAAUUGAUCAAGAUGAAAAAUAUAUGUCCAGUUUGAUUGAUUCUUUCCUUAAGGAGUAUGUUGAGUGCACUUGGAACUCCACACCAAAAUGGAGUAGCGGAAAAAAAAAAAUCAAGCAUUGAUGGAAAUGGUGAGAUCUAUGAUGAGUUUCUCAUCACUUCUUGUAUCCUUUGGAGAUGGAGUUUGGUUCAUACAAAAGAAUAAAGAUUUGCAUGGUUUAUCAAAUGGUUCAUACACCUUUAGACACACUUUUUAGUUUUUAUUUUUAAAAAUAUAAAAUAAUAAUAUAUAAAUUGGUUAUAUAUAAAAAAGGAAAAAUUCUAAUGCAAAUAGAAUAAACUUACCUCAUAUUAUUAAAAAUUAUUUUCCAAUUUUGUUUUUUUAAAUUUGAGGUGGUAAAUUUUUUUGACACCUAUUUUUUAAAAAUAAUUUCCAAAAUCCAUUACCAUUUUAGUGAAAUUCUUUAAAAGUUUUUAUAUAAGAUAUAAAAAUUAACAUUAUUUUCUAUUUUUAAGAAUUUAAAAAAAUGUAUUUGAAUGGAUGCUAAGUUUUAUAACUGAAAUAAUUAGAUAUAUUUAUUUGACACUAUGAAUAGGUUGGGAAGAAAGGGAAAAUUAGUACCAUAAAAUUUCAUAAAUAAAAAGUAAUAUAUAUAUAUAUAUAUGUUUAUAUAUAUUCACCGAAGCAAUUGAUCAGUUGUCUGGUUGGUUAUUACAAUCAUUUAAACUUUAGUCUAGUUUCCCUAAUCCCGUAUGAUAAACCUAGAUAAGUCACCAUUCGAAUUCUUAAAAAUUCCAGUUUCGUUUACAAUAUAGUGAAUUCCUUUACUUUCUUCCAUCCUAUCCCUCUAGCCAUCACAAGUAGUAAACUCUAGUGAAGAGGGGCCCAUCUCAUGUCAUAAUAGACAGUUGGACCCAAAAUGAGGAAUCCAUGUAUGUGAAAAAAAGAAAAAUAAGUCUAACUAAGUUGUAUAACGUGAUUCCUAGGAUUCUUGUCUUUGGAAUGGCACAAAAUCGCUAACGGGAUGUCUAACUUGUUUCAAUCAAGAUUUUAACUUUGGGAUGAAAGUAUAUCCUGAAGCCAAUUAUCCUCUCUAUAGCCUUGUUGUUGAGCUUGCUUUAUGGAAAGAAAAGCAAAUGGAAAAAUGAGUACCUAAAAUUCCUAAAGAAAAAAGAAAGGAAUGCAUCGUUUGCUUUUAGUUGAAUCAUAUUUAGUGGUGGAUUCCACCAAGUCAUGGUGGAUAGAUUUUAGGGCUAGUAAUGAUAUCUAUAAUUCUUUAUUGGGGUUCCAACUAAGAAGAAGAUUGAAUGAUGGGGAGAUGAAUCUGGAUCUGGCUUUUCAAGCUAGGAUUGUUGUGUAGGAAGUGGGCGAUGUUACCUUUAUCUUAGAUAAUAGUUGUCUUCUAGAAAUCAAAGAUUGUCUUUGUCCCUAAGUCCAGAAAAAAAUUGAUUUUUGUUUCUAAUUUAUGUAGAUUGAAUUACUCAAUGGUUCUUAAUAAUAAACAAGUUUUUAGUAAGAUGAAUGAUUUGUUUAUAUGCUCCAAAUCACUGCUUGAUAAUCUUUAUUGUCUAUCUCCACUAUCUCUUUUACCAAGUAAUGAGAAUAAUCAUAUCCCACUUAAAAGAAAGGAACCUAACAUUAAUCAAACACAGUUUUGGCAUUACACCUAGGUCAUAUUAAUCUAAACAAGAUACAAAGACUAAUUAAGUCUGGAAUAUCGCAAUUAUUGAUUCUAGAGGAUCUUCUAGUCUGUAAAUCGUGUACUUCAUCACCUUUACAAAUGAUUACUCUAAUCUUGGAUAUAUUUAUAUGAUGCAUAGGAAAUCCAAUGCCUUUGAUGAUGAAUUCAUUGAAUUUAAGGUAAACAUAUCAAGACACUUCGAUCUAAUCUAGGUGAUGAAUAUAUGUCUACUCAGUUCAAUUCUUUCCUUAAGGAACAUGUUGAGAGCAUCUAGAACACCACAAUAAAAUUGAGUAGUGGAAAAAUAAAUGAAAUAUUAAGGAACAUGGUGAGAUCUAUGGUGAGUUUCUCAUCACUUCUUGUAUCCUUUUGGGUUGAGUUUGGUUCAUAUAAAAGAAUAAAGAAUUUAUGUGGUUUAUCAAAUGGUUCAUACACCUUUAAACACACUUUUUAUUUUUAAAAAAAAUAUAAAAUAGUAAUAUAUAACUUAAUUAUAUAUAAAAAUAAAAAAUUCUUAUACAAAUAAGAAUAAACUUACCUUAUAUUAUAAACAAUUAUUUUUUGAUUUUUUUAAUUUUAAAUUUGAGGUGGUAAAUUUUUUGAUACCUAUUUUUUAAAAUAAUUUCUAAAAUUCAUUAUAAUUUUAGUGUAAUUGUUUAAAAGUUCUUGUAUCUUAUAUAUAAAUUAACAUUAUUUUCUAUUUUUAAGAAUAAAAAAAAUGUAUCCAAACGGAUACUAAGUUUGACAAUUACUAAAAUAAUUAGAUAUCUUUAUUUGAGACUAUGAAUAGGCUGGGAAGAAAGGAAAACCCACUCGAUAAACUUAGACAUGUGACCAUCCAAAUUCUUAUAAAUUCCGGUUCCAUUUACAGAAUAGUGAAGUCCUUUAACUUCGUUCCUAUCCUGCCAGCCAUCAUAAGCAGUAAACUCCAGUGAGGAGGGACCCCAUCUCAUCUCACAAUAGACAGUCGGGCCCAAAAUGAGGAAUCCAUAUAUAUGAAAUUGAGACGAAUAUAUCCCGAAGCCAAUUACCUUCUCUGUAGCCUUGUUGUUGAGCUUGCGUAUCGCCUGACAGGAAUGACAUUUGCGACAGAAGCACAACCACAAAUGAUACAAGCAAUAAUGCCACGUUGGGUAAAUCGAUCAGAUUUCAAAACUCCAACCACUCUGCAACCCUCCUACAUAAAUUAUAAACCUUCAACCUUCAUUUAUAGCUACAGCUCCACCACCACCAUUCUAUCCUCACUCUUUAAGUCACUUGUAACACCUUCAUUCAUUUACCAUAGCUCAACAACAAAUUUACCGUUGUGUUUAUUAAGUCUUUAAGAUACUACUACUUUAUAAUUAGGGACAAUUGCGUUUUUAAUUCAUAUAGGCUUAAUAAUUAAGGUAAGGUCUUCCAACCACCCAUAAUUGAUUAUAAGGAUAUGAGAUAGUAAUUGAUAAAAAUACCCCCUUAACUCAUUUUUCUCUUUAUUCUACCACUCUUCACAUGUCACUAUUCUUUCUUAUUUAACCAUUUUUGGAUUUUUCAUUAUUUUUUUAAACUCUUUUAUAAAUAAUUGAAAAAUCAACAUUAUUUUUUAUUUUUAAAUUAUAAAUAAACAAAAAUUAUAUUAAUGAUUCAAAGACUAUUUUGGAAAAUACUUUCUAAAAAAUAUUAAUUUAAAUAAAUAAAAAUUAUUUUUUAAAUUUAUUUUUAUCUUUUACAUUUUAGAAGUAAAUAAUUUAAUGAUUAAAAUACUAUUUAAAAUAAAUAUAUUCACUAUUUUAAUUUAUUUUAUACUAAAUUUAUUUUAAAGUUUUUUUUACUAUUAUAAAAUAAAAAGUUUAAUUUUUUUUUUAAUCUUCUUCCUUUCUUAUUUUAAUAACUUUUUGAACAUGACUUUUAGUAAUAAGUUAUAUGAAAUGUUACAAAUUUGUUUAUUAAGGAUUUUUUUUAAUGAUUUUAAUUAAUUGAAAAUUUAUUAAAAUAAGAAAAAAAAAUGAUGGAUGGAGAGUUUUUAUUUUAAGUAAUCAAUUAAAAUGUUUUCAUAUGACCUAAUUUUAUAAAUGAAUUAUAUCAAUACAUAGUAAAGAUUGAAUUUUUAUUAUAUAAAAUGGUUGAAAGGUAUAUUUACUUAUUUUAGAUGAAAACAAGUAGUUAAAAAUUAUAUAGAUUAUAUUUGAGUUUGGUUUUAAACUAUUUUUCUAGUUUUUAUUUUUUAUUUUUUAUUUUAUUUUUUUAAAUAAAUUUUAUUUUCUAUAUUGUCUCUUUUUGAAAAUACGUUUAAUUAAAAAAUGAAAACUAUUUUUUAAAAAUGAAAAUUGAAGUACUAUUUUUUAUAUGAAAAUAAAAAAAAUAUUUAUUCAUUUAUUACACCACUGUACAAUUGUAUUACACUAACUGUACAAGGGAAAUGUACUAAGUGUACAAAGGUGUACAAGGCUACCCUUUGUGAAAUAUUAUAAUCGAUUAUGAGUCAUUCUUUUAUUUUUCUUAUCACUCAUGAAUUGUACACAUAUGUCAUGCACUUUAUUUAAUUCUCAUAUGGAAAUUCCAAUACUUUCCCCAAUAAUGAUAUUUGGGGAAAAAAAAUUGACCUUAAGUUAUCCACCAUCUUCUCAACUAAACUAUUGGAAAUAUGGUUAAACACUCCUAUAUGGACACAUAACUUAGGAGGGAUAUGAAAUUUGUGUCAUUGUACAAGGGUAUUACACUAACUGUACAAGGGAAAUAUACUAAUUGUACAAAGGUAUACAAGAUUAUCCUUUGCGAAUGAUUUUAAUAGAUUAUAAACCACUUUUUUAUUUUCCUUGUCACCCAAGGAUUGUACACCUAUGUCAUGCACUUUAUUUAACUCUCACAUGAAAAUUCCAAUAUUUUUCCUAAUAAUGAUAUUUGGAGAAAAAAAAUUGACCCUAAGUCAUCCACCAUUUUCUCAACUAAACCAUUGAAAAUCGGAUUAAUACACCUAUAUGGACAUAUAACUUAGGAGGGAUAUGAAAUUUGUGUCAUUGUACAAGGGUAUUACACUAACUGUAAUAGGAAAUAUGCUAAGUAUACAAGGAUGUACAAGACUCUUAAUAGGUUUUGUACGAUUUUUAAACAAAUUGAGUUUGGCAUUAAGACGAUUAUUGAUAGUUUUUUUUUUUUUUACCAAACUAUGUCAUUAAGACAUUCCCUACAAAAAUUAACACAUAGGAAAUAAAAUUAAAAUCAAUCAUAUUUGAAUUGUUCGUCAUAAGUAAACUAAAUGAAAUAUAUAUUUUUACUAUUUUACCUUUAUAAACAUAAUUUUAUUGUUAUCAAUAGAGAUUAAAAAUAUCAUAUUUAAAUGGAAUUAAAAAUAAACAAAAUUAUUUUUAUAAUAUUUUUAUUUUUUAAAAUCAUUAAUUUAAAUUAUGAAAUUAAUUUUAAAAUAAAAAAUAUUUAUUGUAAUUAUAGUUUUGAAAAUUUCAUGAUUUUUAUUUUAUUACUUAAAAAAAAUUCUUUAAUAAGAAAGUAUUUAUUUUAAUGGUUUUAAAUAUUUAAAUCUUUAUUAAAAAAUAUUUAGGAUUAGUGUGGAGAGAAAUUAGGUAAUUUUGGAAUUGAGAAAUUUUGAAUAUUUUGAAGACUUUAAUUUGGCCAAUUACCCUAUUUACACUUUCAAAAUUAUUGGAAAGUUGGUAAAUUAGUCUUAGAAAUAGUCUUCUUGAUUAAUAUUAUAUAUUUACAUGUGAGUGUUUACAUUAUUUUCGAAAUAACAUGAGAAAUAAUAAAUACCAUGUGUCUAAUUUGCAAGUUAGAAAAAUAAUAAUAAUAAUAUUUUAUGAGGUAUUUAAAAAGUAUUUAUUAUAUGUUCUAUAAAUUUGAAGAAAAAAAAUAUUUGAUGAUAUCUAAUUUACAAGUUAGAACAAACAAAUAAUAUUAAUAUUUUAUGAGGUGUUUAAAAAUUAUUUAAUAUAUAUGAGAAAUAAUAUAAGUUUGAAAUAAAGAAUAAUAUUUAUUAUAUAUUAUGUAAGUUUUCAACAUAUUUAAAAAAUAUUUAUUAUAUAUUAUGUAAGUUUGAAAAAUGAAUAAUAUUUGAUGAGGCAUUUAAAAGUUAUUUACUUCAAAAAUGCAUUUGACAAUAAUAAUUUUUAACAGUCUUUUAUAUUCAAUUUGAUGAAAAAAAAAAUGAUUCAACUUGGUUCCACUGUUAAAUAGGUGAGAGAAGGGUAAAAGAGUCAAAGAGAAUGAGAAAAGUAAGGUGAUUGGUUAGUUUUUUCAUUUAAUAGUAAAGGGUAUUUUAGGCAUUUUUUAAAUACAAUAUCCUUCCUCUCAAUUUCUACUUUUUCAUUGGGUUUUGAGUUUAAUUACGAAUAAUAGGAGGACCUUAACUCAAUUACCCAACUCAGUGGGGUUGAAAACACAAUUUUCCCUUAUAAUUAUUUAAGGAAUGAUAAUAACAAUGGGGUUGCUAUGCUUUUUUUUUUGGUAUUAAUGCUCACAUUUUAAUAUUAUCUUUCCAGCCUCAAUCUCUUCUCAUCACGUCACCAACCUUAGCAGUAAGGGAACCAAAUUUAAUUUGUCCUAGCCUAAACAAUGUCGGCUCAUAUGAUUUUAAAAAUAAAUAAAUAAUAAAGUAAAAAAUAAAUCUAAUUUUAAGUCCAUGGUUUUAAAUUUUGGGCACUACAAGCUUAAACUUUAGGUUGUAGAUCAAAUAAUAAUAAUAAUAAUAACAUAAAAACCCUAAAGAAUUUGUUUCGUUUAUCAAAUGAUACGUUAAAAAUAAUAUAGUGUAAAGUAAUCUAUUAUAUCUAAUGAGUUAAUCUCAGGAAAAAAUCUUGCAAUAAAGCAGAUAUGCAUUUUAUAAAAGCAACAAAUGUGAGAUUUAGUAACAAAUUUUUUGGUCGUGAAAUUUCGUUAAUAAUUAUGAAUUUCAUGCCAUAAAAAUGAUAUUUUUGUCAUAGAAUAUUGUACCAGUAGUCUUCUAUACAAAAAAAAAAAAAUUAUCAUUAAAAUUUUACUUUGAAGAAUUUGUGUAAAAAUUUCCUGCUCCCACCAUAUGAUCCCACCAUAUGACAGGAAAUUUUUUGAUGAUGAAAAUGCAUAUAUUUGUGAUGAAAUUAUUUGUCACUAAUAUGCUUAAUUUUCAAUAAUAACUAAUUUUUGUUAUCAAUGAUGAAAUACAUAUAUUUGUGAUGAAAUUCUUUGUCACUAAUUUUAAAUUUCUAGUUAUUAAUAUUUUUUUAUUACUAACUCAUCAACCAUUUAUUGAAAAACAUAUUUAUUUAUUUUUAUUAUUAUAUUGUGAUAUUAUUAUUUCAUUAUGAAAAAAUGAAAUUUUAAAUUAUAAAAGUAAUUAAUGUUUUGAUUUUUCUAUAUCCUAAAUAUAGAAUUUAACAUAAAAGACAAAGACUUUAUUUGACAACUGUUUUCGGAAAUAGUUUUUUAUUUUUUUUAAAAAAAAGAAACACCUUUAAUAAUAAUAAGAAGAAAAUUUAUUUUCUAUUUUUAAAAACAAAAACAUGAUGUUUUUUUAGGGUUAUGUUAAAAAAUAAAUAUACAAACUGAUUAAAAAUAAAACACUAGUUAUAAAAAUUAUUUUUAAAAUAUAUUUAAAAAUAUUAAAAAACAUGUUAAAAAACUUUUUAAAUUUAUAAACAAAUUUUUGUUUUAUAAUACAUUACAAAACAAUUUUUAAAAACUAUUUUCAAAAAUUGUUUUUCAAAACUAAUUUAAAAAUAGUUACGAUAUAACCCUUACUAACUCAUUUUCACUUUAUACACAACAUUUUCGAAAGAAAGGGGGUCCAUCCCUAUCUUGGAAAAGCAAAGAAAGGGGUCCAUCCGUAUCUUGGCUGUUGGGUCUUAUAGAGAAUACAUAUCGACCCGCUUUCUGUAAAGUAAGUGUAAUGGGUGAUGAUUUCAUGAGUGAUGCUUGGAUCUUACGUCCUCUUUUCUACCUUUACUUUCAUAGAUUUUGAAUGAAAUAAUUGUAGGGAUAAUCAUGACAUAUAAGAGGACGCUUGUUUCCCUUGCUUUUUAUUAAAGCCUGACAGGUUACAAUGUGACAAAAUAGAUAUCUUUAAUCAAAUUAGAAAAUUAGUUCAAAAGUUAAUCUAGAAUAUACAAAUUUAACUUUGAAUUAUGUUACUUUAUUGCACCUAUUCACCAUCACAUAUUGGGUGUCAAAGUCCGCUUUUGAAUCAUGCCGAUCAGCUUAGAAACACAGACAAUGAGGCCCUGGCUUACAUAAUAAAAAGAAAACAGGCCUAUCCAGGCCUCAUCCAGCUUUAAUAAAGAUAAAGGAGAGAAGAAAUUAAAGAUAGCAUAAAGCAUAAUUUUGAAAAGAAGCCUUGGUUAUCGCAAUUUGCUCAAUAAUGUUGUUAUCCCGCACCCAAAACUGGGUUAGUUUUGGUUUUAGGCAUUACCCCGCACCUGAACCUAGUCUCACGGCUGCAUCGUCCCGGCCACCACCGGACAAAUUCUCCACACAGUCAACCAGGCACGGACGCAGCCUGCGCAGUCCAUGCUCACCACGCCUAGGGCCUAGAUAUCAGGCCAAUACUCAAGACAAGCUUCAUCUUUGCUAUUAAAUUUUCCUUGCACACGUGUCUAAGAAUGUAAUUUAUACGGGUAUCUAGUUAUUCAGAUCUUAAUCCAAAAGUCGAUCCAAAUUAAAUUAAGGUUGAAAAAACUUAAUCCAAAUCAAAUGGAUUAUUAAAAAUGAUUGUUUAGAUCUAUCUAAACAUCAAAUUGUGUAGUAUAUAUUAUACUUUUUUAGAUUUUAUAUUGAAAUUUAAAAUUUAAUAUUAAAUUUGAUGCGCAUGAAUAAUGUCGCCAAACAUCAACAAGUACACAUGACCUAACUAAACCUUAGGUUUAUGUUUAUUUCUCAAAAAGUAUUACGAAAAGGAAAAAACUGUUAAAGAAAAUUAUUUUUCUUUUUUUUUUUCACUUUUUUUCUCUAUUUGCUUUCUCUUGCAUUUUCCUUCAAUUUUUUAACGAAACAAAGAUAGCCUAAUGACAAAUUUAUAUAUGUUCCUAAUACUAAUGAUAUUAUCUUUAUUAUUUUCUUCAUUUUUAUUUUUAUAAAUAUGUAGGGGAGACAAAUAGUAUAGAUUGAGGGUAUUUACAAUCCAUCACUUAUAAUAUGUAGCUCUUAAUAUGUUGAUGAUAAAUAUCGAAUCUAUAUAAUUAAACUUCAAACUAUGUGAUACAUAUAUAUAUAUAUAUAUAUAAAAGAGCGUUUGGUAAAAGAACUAAGAACUUACAAGCAGAAAAAUAGUGUUUGGUAAAAGAACUAAGAACUUACAAGUGGAAAAAUGGUGGGUCAUGUCAACUAAAAGCACUUGAAUUUAUUUAAUAAAAGGAACUUUAAUAAUCACUUCUUGCAUAUACAACAUUUUAGGGAGAAUUGUGCUUUGGACCUGUUGGGCUUUGAAAUUGACUUUCAGCUUAUGUAAGUGACAUAAUUGAUAUAAAGGAUAUGAAAUUAUAAGAAACAAAAAUACCCAUGAAGAUGACACAUCUGAUUUUUUUUAAAAGUUGGUUGGUUGCACAUAUGCCAAUGACCUUGGAAUGACCAUAAUUUUUUAUUUGAUUAAAUAGAAGAAAAUGUUAUUUACAAAAUAUCUUUUAAUCUUUUUUUUUUUUUGUAGACAAAAACCAAUUUCUAUUUGAAUUAGAAAAUAUUUAUAAAAAAAUAAUAAUUUAUGUUUUUAAAAAAAUCUCAAAUUUAUUUAGAAAAACAUUACACUUUAUUUUUUAAAAAAAAUUAUUCCCGUUUUAUCCUAUUUUUUUUUUAAAAAAAAUUAAUUAUAAAAAAUUAAGAGAAAAAAAGUUCAAAUUUAUUAAAAAAAAUUGAUUUCAAAUUCUAAAAAAAAAGGUAUAUUUAAAAACAAUUAUUAAAAUAAAAACUCAAUUUAUUAUAAAGGGAAAUUCUAUUUUAUUAAAAAAAAUUCUAUUUAGUUUUAUUCUAAAAAUGUUUUUUUUUAUAAUUUAGUAAAAAAUAAAAACUAUUUUAAAAUUUUUAUUUUGAAGAGUUUUAUUUUUAUUUUCUUUUUUUUUAAAAAAAAAAAAAAGGUUUUUGAUAUGAUUUUCAACUUGGAUUUUGUGCUUUUGUUUUUUCACAAUCAACAAAGGGCAUUUCAGGAAAUAUUGAAGUUUCAUAUCAUUCUUCUCAAUUUCCAUACUUUCACUAGGUUUUGAACCUAAAUGGACAAGUUUUAUGGACAUAAGGCCAAUAUGUCCACAAAUUAUAUUAAAUUAAACUCCAUUUUAAUUGAUGCAUAUUAAAAUAGAAUUUCUUUUAAAAUAAAAUAUUUUAUUUUUAGUUAUUUAAUAUAAUAAACUUAAAAUUUCAAAUAAACUCUACUUAAAUUUACUUAUAAGUACUAAUUUUUCAUUGAAGGGUUCAUUAAAAAAUAAAAAUCAUGAUUAUAUUUCUUUAAAUGAUUUUGAUAAGAAAAUAAAUUGAUGAUAAAAUAAUUAAGUAAUACAUAACUUUUAUUUACUAUAAACUCUUUAUAUUAUUUUAGAAUGAAAAAAUAGAAGGAAAGACAUUAAUAGUGAAUAGAAUUUCUUUUUGUUCCUUAUUCAUAAAUUUUUUAAGAGAAAUAAAUUAAAUUAAACAUAGAGUAGCAAAAGUGUUAAUUUAGGAGAAAUAUACUUGGUCUUUUUUAAAUUAAAACUUAACAUAUUUUUAAGAAUAGUUUUUAUUAUAUAAAAUAAAAAUAGAAUUACAAAAUAAAAAAUUAAAUUAAUUUUAUUCUUAUAAUUAAAAUUUUGAAGUUUGGACAAAGUAGUAAAUAAAAUAUUACAACUAUAUAUAUAAAAAAAUGUUUAUAUUUACUUUAAGAGUAAAUUGUGACAUCCCACAUCGGAUAGAGGGGAAAAUUCCUGGCGUUAUAUGAGUAUAAACUCCUCUUUAUCUUGUAGACGUGUUUUAAAGCUGUGAGGGCCCCUUUGGGUCCAAAGUGGAUAAUAUCUACACAAUUGGGAGUAGGUCGUUACAAAUGGUAUCAAAGCUGAUCUCCGACCUUGGUGUGAGGGGUUUGUUUGGCCCCUUAGGGAGUGUUUGUCCUGUUUGGCCCCGUAAUCCCAUGGGACACAACGAGGACGUUGUGUCUGCAUGAGAGGUGCUUGUGACAUCUCACAUCGAAUAGAGGGGAAAGUUUCUGACGCUAUAUGAGUAUGGACUUCUCUUUACCUUGUAGACACGUUUUAAAGCUGUGGGGGCUCCUUUGGGUCCAAAGCAAACAAUAUCUACACGGUUGGGAGUGGAUCGUUACAUAAAUGAUGGGGAAAAAAAGUCGUUACAUUUCUAUAAACUAAAAAAUGACAAUAUUUAUUAUAGUUGUAAUCUAAAAAUAUAAAAUUAUAUUAUUAAAUAAAGAUUGAAUCGCUUCACUUAAAUAAGAUAUUUUUAUUUCUAUAGGGUAUUGUGUGCAAUGCUUAAAUUUUUUAAGAUGUUAUAUGUAGUGUACGCUUAAAUUUGUAACAAUGAGUCAUUUUUAGACUUCAACUAUUUUCAUUAUCAAAUGGUUAAAUUACAUUUAGCACUUGACCUUAAUAAUAUAAAACACUUUUCACUUCUAUUACUUUAGUGCUUAAAAUUUAGUACUAAAAUAUUUUGGUACUUAAUUUUGAAUUUUAUAUUAACACCGCCUAAUAUUCCUCAUGUAGGGAAUAUGUGGAUUACUCCAAUCCCAUUCUUGGACUGUUAGGGUAUGUGCAAAACUUCUUAGAGCUCUAAAUCCUAGCAACAAAAGCAAAUAAGAAUUUUAAAACUUAGUGUAUUACCUCAGAUUUGAAUGCUUCUAAAUCAAUUCCUAUAUGUAAAGAUGUGUUGAAUGUGUGGUAGAUCUUGUAAACACUAGUCUUCCACUUCAUGGCUUUUUCUAGAUCCUGACAUGUAAAUGGUGGUUUCCUUUGGAAUGUUUGGUGGCUAGGGUUCUCUUCUCUCUAGAGAUUAGAAGACAAGAGAUGACAAAAGUGUGAAGCCCUAACCCCUAAAAAGGGUUUAUUUAGGCUUUAAGUAGACUUAGGUGACUUAAGCCCAUCCUAGGCUUAGUUACUUAAACUAGCCCACUUAGAUCCUAAUAUAUUAACCAGUCCUUUGCACUCUAAUUAAUCAAUUAGCUCAAUCCAAAUAGACCAAGGAAUAUGGAAACAUGAUAUGCUUUAUAAUAGUUGUAUCUAUUUUUGGUCAUUUGUAAUAUUUUCUAUGGUAUAAUAUUAUGAUUCUCUCAUAAUAUAGGCAUGAUUGGCUUGUAAAUUCAAAUAAAUUCAAAGUUUAAUACCUUUUCUUUGUAAAAUGUUCCAUUAUCUAACCUUGACAGAGCUACUCCCCUUCUAAAAAUAGUCAUUAUACUAUUUCCAUCAAACAACUAUUUACAAGUAAAUGCUUUUCAUCAUUGUUAUUGUAGUGAUUAAAUUAGACAAAUUUUGAAGUUUUCAUAUUUCAUUAUCAGGUAUGCUAAUCUUUAAUAAUAAUCUUUCUUACUUGCUCCUCAUUUAACAAUCAAGAUAGAAAUUUAUAUAAUAACAAAUAUCUUCACUUUAAUUGUUGAAAAAAAAAAAAGGUUUGCCUUACACUAGCUAUUGCCUUUAAUAACAAUCGAGUAGCCUCUUGAUAUAAAAAUUAUACUAAAACUAGAAAAGUAAUAAAUGCUCUUUAAUUAGAUUAAUUUUGGAAUGGAUAACAAUUCGAUAAUUUAUUAAUGGACUUGUACUUUUGGAAAAACAAAAAUGUUUAUUGACUAAAAUAUGAAUAUAAUAUAAACUUUGAAAAUAAGGACAUUAAUUUGAACCUUAUUUACUAUUCUAUUUGAAUGAUAUCCUUAGAUUCUAAAUGAAAUAGUGACCUAAAUAGUCAUUUUUUAUAUUAAAGUGGAGGAGAACAAGUAUAGGAACUCAAAUAGGAAGAAAAACAAGAGGGUUUAGCUAUAUAUAUAUAUUAAACAAAGAAAAAGAAAAAGAAAAACCAUGGUUCACACUAGAAAAAAAAGUGUUCACAUAACACCAAAUAUUUAUAUAACUUGAACUAAAUUUGAAAGUAGAUAUAUGAGUGGAUGUGUAAAAAGUCACAUAAUUUUAUAAAAAGUUACUUUAAUUAAAUAGCUGCUCAUUAUCACAUAAAAUGUUACAAGAACCAAGUGAUAUAGAAGAAGAGCCUUUACUUAUAUAAAAGAAAAUAUGGCUUUCCCAUACAACUUUAAUAAAGAUAAAAGAAGAGUGAUAAAUCAUUUCCAUGAAUUUGUUCGAUCAAGGCUUGGUAUUAAAGGUGUCCACAUAACUUGGAUUGUGAUUUUCACUACCAGUACUAUUAGGAGGGGAAUAUAGAUUAGAACUCAAAUAUUUAUUCCAAAGGUACAUAAACUAUAUGGUUUAUUCCAUGUUAAAGGCUAAACUCACCCAACUUAGCUUGAAUUAAUGCUAAGACCCUAGCUAUAAAUCUAUAAUGUUUAUUUUGAGUUCAAUUUCGAGUGAAAAAGGGUGAAAAUGAUACAAGGUGAUAAAGGCCAACUUCAAUCAAGGUCAGUAGAUGAGGUAAAUCACUCAAAGGAGAGAUUCAAAACUAUAAAGCAUGAUGAGAGCUUAAACAAGAGCAAAUGAAGCAAUGCACUAUGUGAAACAUGAGGAAAGAAGGUAAUAGAGAGAGUUACAGAGCAAGUAAAUGUAAGAAAGAAAGUCAUAAGUCAUACCUCAAUGUUCACAUUGGACUUAUAACUCAAAAAGUUUGAAGAAAAUUACGGUUGAUUUUGAGCUAAAUUCUAGCCUACUUUCCAAGAUUUUUUUUUUCUUAACUAAUUCAUAUAUGGUAUUAAAGCUUGAUAAUGAAUCCAACGUUUCAAAUGGUAUAUUAAUUAAAGUUGAAACAAGGAAGUUAUGGCAUCCAAACUCAUUUAAAAUUGAACUCAAGAUGCAUAUUGGAGUUUCUAACAAGAUUUGAGUUAGAAAACCAUGGGGAUUUAAAACUCACUUCGAUCUAGAUCUAAAGGAGCAAAAUUUUUGUAGAAAGGGAGUUCAAAAUCAAAUACAAACUCCCAAAAAAUAUCAUUUUUUUUAGUUCGAAAAAUUUUGAACUCCCAUUUUGAAAUCAAACUCUUCCCCAACUUCAAUAUUCGCACUAUUACGCUUUAAAACUUCAAUCUUUGGGCUUCUUAAGAAUCCAACCAAGCCCAAGAAAAGUUUGAAUGGUCUAGGAUUUGAAGAUUUAAUGCUUUUUUUGGGAAUUUCAUGUAAUAUUAGGAAUUUUUUUGCCAAUAUGGCUAAUACCAUAUGGCGAGUUUGUUCUCAUUUGUUUUAUGGUUAAUGUAGAUCUUUAGAAUAUGUUUUAAUAUUUUUGAGAAAGAAAACAUUGAAGACUUUCAAGGUUUGCUUUGUUUAUGUAAUUUAAUUUUUGGUUUUACUUUCCUUUAAUUCAAGAAUGAUGUUUUUAACUUUCUCUAUGGUUUAUGUGUGUACAACACCACCAUGAGUAGCUAGUUUCAUCUUGUGGAGUGAAGCUUGAAAACCUAGGAUUAGAAAUUGAAAGAGGAACAAUGGGUAAAUGAAAUUAAUAAUGACAUUGGUGAAGGUUUAAGUUAAAAAUGUUAAAAAUUAUAAACUCUUCAAGUUAGUUGGAACUAGGAGAUGACAUGUUAGAUCACUAUAGGAUGUUAAAGAUUCAUAUCACAACUUGAUUCUUAGUUAUCUUGGUUAUCUCUUCCGUUACCUAUCCUAUGAAAAAUCUACACUAGUAGGAUUUGUAAAAUUGAAACCUAAACCUAAAAUUAAUUUCAAUUUAUCUAAUGGUAUUUAUGUAUGAGGAUUAAGGGUAAAUUAGGGUUUGGAUGCAACUUUAAGCUAUAAAAGUUAGGUCAAUCCUAAUUGACCAUUGAACCUUAAAACCCUAAGAUCUUAAUAAAUGAACAAGUUUUCUUUGCUCUAAGCUUUAAUUCCCAAAGUUGGAUUGCGGAACCCUUAUUCUUGAACCAAUAGACUACAAACCUUUAACUAUUUUCCAUGUUAUUUAGAUUUUUUUAGUAAUUUACAAAUUUCAAAAAUCGAUCAUCUAAAUAAUUUAGUUUUAGAAUAUAUAUAUAUAUAGGUAACAUAAAAAAUAAAAUAAAAAAAUCAACUUUGACCUAGUUAAUAUUUGAAGCUAGUUUUUAAGAAUGAUACUCAGAGUACUACAAAAGCCUUGUGACUCUUUUUCUAGUUUUUCUUGACUAGAGUUGCUAUAUAAAAAGACUUAAUAUUUCGAAUAAUAGAACAGAGUAAACACACCUAGAAGUGUUGUUAUUACAAUUUGCUUAACACUUAGGCCCUUGAACCCUAAUUUAUAGUUGGCAAAGUUUAACCAUACUAGUUGCUCUUGUUCAAAAUGAAAAACUGAAAAUUGAAUUUAGUUUGAGUCAAGAUCUAUGCUCUAAACAUAUACCAUCAACCCUAAAACCAUCCUAGAUUUAAUCCUAGUAUGAUUUGACAAAUCAAUCCUUGCUAUCUAAUAUAAAUUUAGUUAUCGAAAAAAUAAGUUCAAGGCUAAUAUUAGCGCACCAAUAUUUGAGGGGAGGCCUUAGCAUAAUUCAUGAAAUUUUGUUCAAAAUAUCAAAUUUUCAUUUAUGGGUUCCUCCUCCAAAUUGGCCUCUUUUCAGUGAUUUCUAACAUGUUGGGAUUUGACUCAAAUUAUUUAUUUUAAUUUUUUUAAGAAAGUCAAUAUUUAUAGAGUUUGUAUUUUGGUAAAUUACCUUUUUAAGUUUAACUAGAACUAAGAAACUAUUGUUUUAAGGUUAACACCUACGGUUCUAUAAAUAUGUGGUUUCAUAGAGAGAGAAAAAUAAAGAAAAGAAAAAAAAGGGUAAGAAAAUAUUGAAGAGAGUUAGGUAAAGGGUGUAUUGAGUUUUGGGUAGAGAAAGGUUGAAAGAGUUUGAAGUGUGUAAUCUUGAAAAUUAUAAUAAAUUUGAUCUCCCUUUUCCCGUAGACAUAGGUGAUUACACCAAACCACGUAAAUAGUUUUGUCUUCUCUAUUUUGUUUUAUGUUUCCCAAUUGCUUUUAAGUGUUGUGAUUUUCUCACAGCGGUAUCAGAGCUANNNNNNNNNNNNNNNNNNNNNNNNNNNNNNNNNNNNNNNNNNNNNNNNNNNNNNNNNNNNNNNNNNNNNNNNNNNNNNNNNNNNNNNNNNNNNNNNNNNNNNNNNNNNNNNNNNNNNNNNNNNNNNNNNNNNNNNNNNNNNNNNNNNNNNNNNNNNNNNNNNNNNNNNNNNNNNNNNNNNNNNNNNNNNNNNNNNNNNNNNNNNNNNNNNNNNNNNNNNNNNNNNNNNNNNNNNNNNNNNNNNNNNNNNNNNNNNNNNNNNNNNNNNNNNNNNNNNNNNNNNNNNNNNNNNNNNNNNNNNNNNNNNNNNNNNNNNNNNNNNNNNNNNNNNNNNNNNNNNNNNNNNNNNNNNNNNNNNNNNNNNNNNNNNNNNNNNNNNNNNNNNNNNNNNNNNNNNNNNNNNNNNNNNNNNNNNNNNNNNNNNNNNNNNNNNNNNNNNNNNNNNNNNNNNNNNNNNNNNNNNNNNNNNNNNNNNNNNNNNNNNNNNNNNNNNNNNNNNNNNNNNNNNNNNNNNNNNNNNNNNNNNNNNNNNNNNNNNNNNNNNNNNNNNNNNNNNNNNNNNNNNNNNNNNNNNNNNNNNNNNNNNNNNNNNNNNNNNNNNNNNNNNNNNNNNNNNNNNNNNNNNNNNNNNNNNNNNNNNNNNNNNNNNNNNNNNNNNNNNNNNNNNNNNNNNNNNNNNNNNNNNNNNNNNNNNNNNNNNNNNNNNNNNNNNNNNNNNNNNNNNNNNNNNNNNNNNNNNNNNNNNNNNNNNNNNNNNNNNNNNNNNNNNNNNNNNNNNNNNNNNNNNNNNNNNNNNNNNNNNNNNNNNNNNNNNNNNNNNNNNNNNNNNNNNNNNNNNNNNNNNNNNNNNNNNNNNNNNNNNNNNNNNNNNNNNNNNNNNNNNNNNNNNNNNNNNNNNNNNNNNNNNNNNNNNNNNNNNNNNNNNNNNNNNNNNNNNNNNNNNNNNNNNNNNNNNNNNNNNNNNNNNNNNNNNNNNNNNNNNNNNNNNNNNNNNNNNNNNNNNNNNNNNNNNNNNNNNNNNNNNNNNNNNNNNNNNNNNNNNNNNNNNNNNNNNNNNNNNNNNNNNNNNNNNNNNNNNNNNNNNNNNNNNNNNNNNNNNNNNNNNNNNNNNNNNNNNNNNNNNNNNNNNNNNNNNNNNNNNNNNNNNNNNNNNNNNNNNNNNNNNNNNNNNNNNNNNNNNNNNNNNNNNNNNNNNNNNNNNNNNNNNNNNNNNNNNNNNNNNNNNNNNNNNNNNNNNNNNNNNNNNNNNNNNNNNNNNNNNNNNNNNNNNNNNNNNNNNNNNNNNNNNNNNNNNNNNNNNNNNNNNNNNNNNNNNNNNNNNNNNNNNNNNNNNNNNNNNNNNNNNNNNNNNNNNNNNNNNNNNNNNNNNNNNNNNNNNNNNNNNNNNNNNNNNNNNNNNNNNNNNNNNNNNNNNNNNNNNNNNNNNNNNNNNNNNNNNNNNNNNNNNNNNNNNNNNNNNNNNNNNNNNNNNNNNNNNNNNNNNNNNNNNNNNNNNNNNNNNNNNNNNNNNNNNNNNNNNNNNNNNNNNNNNNNNNNNNNNNNNNNNNNNNNNNNNNNNNNNNNNNNNNNNNNNNNNNNNNNNNNNNNNNNNNNNNNNNNNNNNNNNNNNNNNNNNNNNNNNNNNNNNNNNNNNNNNNNNNNNNNNNNNNNNNNNNNNNNNNNNNNNNNNNNNNNNNNNNNNNNNNNNNNNNNNNNNNNNNNNNNNNNNNNNNNNNNNNNNNNNNNNNNNNNNNNNNNNNNNNNNNNNNNNNNNNNNNNNNNNNNNNNNNNNNNNNNNNNNNNNNNNNNNNNNNNNNNNNNNNNNNNNNNNNNNNNNNNNNNNNNNNNNNNNNNNNNNNNNNNNNNNNNNNNNNNNNNNNNNNNNNNNNNNNNNNNNNNNNNNNNNNNNNNNNNNNNNNNNNNNNNNNNNNNNNNNNNNNNNNNNNNNNNNNNNNNNNNNNNNNNNNNNNNNNNNNNNNNNNNNNNNNNNNNNNNNNNNNNNNNNNNNNNNNNNNNNNNNNNNNNNNNNNNNNNNNNNNNNNNNNNNNNNNNNNNNNNNNNNNNNNNNNNNNNNNNNNNNNNNNNNNNNNNNNNNNNNNNNNNNNNNNNNNNNNNNNNNNNNNNNNNNNNNNNNNNNNNNNNNNNNNNNNNNNNNNNNNNNNNNNNNNNNNNNNNNNNNNNNNNNNNNNNNNNNNNNNNNNNNNNNNNNNNNNNNNNNNNNNNNNNNNNNNNNNNNNNNNNNNNNNNNNNNNNNNNNNNNNNNNNNNNNNNNNNNNNNNNNNNNNNNNNNNNNNNNNNNNNNNNNNNNNNNNNNNNNNNNNNNNNNNNNNNNNNNNNNNNNNNNNNNNNNNNNNNNNNNNNNNNNNNNNNNNNNNNNNNNNNNNNNNNNNNNNNNNNNNNNNNNNNNNNNNNNNNNNNNNNNNNNNNNNNNNNNNNNNNNNNNNNNNNNNNNNNNNNNNNNNNNNNNNNNNNNNNNNNNNNNNNNNNNNNNNNNNNNNNNNNNNNNNNNNNNNNNNNNNNNNNNNNNNNNNNNNNNNNNNNNNNNNNNNNNNNNNNNNNNNNNNNNNNNNNNNNNNNNNNNNNNNNNNNNNNNNNNNNNNNNNNNNNNNNNNNNNNNNNNNNNNNNNNNNNNNNNNNNNNNNNNNNNNNNNNNNNNNNNNNNNNNNNNNNNNNNNNNNNNNNNNNNNNNNNNNNNNNNNNNNNNNNNNNNNNNNNNNNNNNNNNNNNNNNNNNNNNNNNNNNNNNNNNNNNNNNNNNNNNNNNNNNNNNNNNNNNNNNNNNNNNNNNNNNNNNNNNNNNNNNNNNNNNNNNNNNNNNNNNNNNNNNNNNNNNNNNNNNNNNNNNNNNNNNNNNNNNNNNNNNNNNNNNNNNNNNNNNNNNNNNNNNNNNNNNNNNNNNNNNNNNNNNNNNNNNNNNNNNNNNNNNNNNNNNNNNNNNNNNNNNNNNNNNNNNNNNNNNNNNNNNNNNNNNNNNNNNNNNNNNNNNNNNNNNNNNNNNNNNNNNNNNNNNNNNNNNNNNNNNNNNNNNNNNNNNNNNNNNNNNNNNNNNNNNNNNNNNNNNNNNNNNNNNNNNNNNNNNNNNNNNNNNNNNNNNNNNNNNNNNNNNNNNNNNNNNNNNNNNNNNNNNNNNNNNNNNNNNNNNNNNNNNNNNNNNNNNNNNNNNNNNNNNNNNNNNNNNNNNNNNNNNNNNNNNNNNNNNNNNNNNNNNNNNNNNNNNNNNNNNNNNNNNNNNNNNNNNNNNNNNNNNNNNNNNNNNNNNNNNNNNNNNNNNNNNNNNNNNNNNNNNNNNNNNNNNNNNNNNNNNNNNNNNNNNNNNNNNNNNNNNNNNNNNNNNNNNNNNNNNNNNNNNNNNNNNNNNNNNNNNNNNNNNNNNNNNNNNNNNNNNNNNNNNNNNNNNNNNNNNNNNNNNNNNNNNNNNNNNNNNNNNNNNNNNNNNNNNNNNNNNNNNNNNNNNNNNNNNNNNNNNNNNNNNNNNNNNNNNNNNNNNNNNNNNNNNNNNNNNNNNNNNNNNNNNNNNNNNNNNNNNNNNNNNNNNNNNNNNNNNNNNNNNNNNNNNNNNNNNNNNNNNNNNNNNNNNNNNNNNNNNNNNNNNNNNNNNNNNNNNNNNNNNNNNNNNNNNNNNNNNNNNNNNNNNNNNNNNNNNNNNNNNNNNNNNNNNNNNNNNNNNNNNNNNNNNNNNNNNNNNNNNNNNNNNNNNNNNNNNNNNNNNNNNNNNNNNNNNNNNNNNNNNNNNNNNNNNNNNNNNNNNNNNNNNNNNNNNNNNNNNNNNNNNNNNNNNNNNNNNNNNNNNNNNNNNNNNNNNNNNNNNNNNNNNNNNNNNNNNNNNNNNNNNNNNNNNNNNNNNNNNNNNNNNNNNNNNNNNNNNNNNNNNNNNNNNNNNNNNNNNNNNNNNNNNNNNNNNNNNNNNNNNNNNNNNNNNNNNNNNNNNNNNNNNNNNNNNNNNNNNNNNNNNNNNNNNNNNNNNNNNNNNNNNNNNNNNNNNNNNNNNNNNNNNNNNNNNNNNNNNNNNNNNNNNNNNNNNNNNNNNNNNNNNNNNNNNNNNNNNNNNNNNNNNNNNNNNNNNNNNNNNNNNNNNNNNNNNNNNNNNNNNNNNNNNNNNNNNNNNNNNNNNNNNNNNNNNNNNNNNNNNNNNNNNNNNNNNNNNNNNNNNNNNNNNNNNNNNNNNNNNNNNNNNNNNNNNNNNNNNNNNNNNNNNNNNNNNNNNNNNNNNNNNNNNNNNNNNNNNNNNNNNNNNNNNNNNNNNNNNNNNNNNNNNNNNNNNNNNNNNNNNNNNNNNNNNNNNNNNNNNNNNNNNNNNNNNNNNNNNNNNNNNNNNNNNNNNNNNNNNNNNNNNNNNNNNNNNNNNNNNNNNNNNNNNNNNAUUGCCAUCUGUCACAGGGAUAUCAAAUCUAGUAACAUAUUGUUGGAUGAAAACCUCCGGGCAGUAGUUUCUGACUUUGGACUUUCAAGGUCAAUACCCCUUGACAAAACUCACUUAACUGCGUUGGUACAAGGGACAUUUGGUUACUUGGAUCCGGAUUAUUUUCAUUCAGGUCAAUUUACAGAUAAAAGUGAUGUGUAUGCCUUCGGUGUAGUCCUUGCUGAACUUCUGACAGGAGAACAAGCCAUUUCCUCGGAUAGAUCUGAACAAGGUCUAGCUAAUCAUUUUAGAUCAGCAAUGAAACAAAAUCGUCUGUUUGAAAUUCUUGAUAACCAAGUUGUAAAUGAAGGACAGAAGGAGGAGAUUUUCGCCGUUGCUAAGCUUGCUAAGAGAUGCCUAAAGUUGAAUGGGAAAAAAAGGCCAACCAUGAAACAAAUUGAUAUAGACCUCCAACAAUUGGGCACAUUUCAGGAGCAGUUGUCUUUUCAGAAGACAUGGAUUCAAGAACCUUCCUUGCAGCAGCAAACAUGCCAGGACUACUGCACGGUAAGUGAAACAUCCCAUUCCUACACAUUUUGUCCAGUUACAGAAGAAAUAGUUCAUGACGAUGAGGACUUGCUUUCCUAAGGAAUACAGUAUGGUAGCUUGAAGUUUCGGUUAAAUAACGGGAUGUUUAUUUAUGCUAUUGACUUCUGGAAUAAUGAUGUAAUGAAUGACUCCGAACCUUGUUUUACUUUGUUUAAUUUGUUUCAAGUAUGGUAUAC